rnacentral:lncRNA from 1 species
AAGUCAAAUCGAGUAUGAUGCCUAUUGCCUCAUAUAUCAAUUAAGCUGGUUUGCAAAAUAAUCGUUGCAAGUAUUUCAAGCAAAAAGGCCGAGAAUUUAAUCAAAGAACAGACACCAAACUUUAUUCUACUUCUGAUUAUAAUAAGAUAAGAGUAAUAAGACUAUACAUGGAGAAGCCCCAAUCCCCUGGCCGCCAAAAAGAGAAGGAAAGAUCAGGUAAGUGAAGUUGAAAACAUAUGGAAACAUCAUUUCCACAACGUUUUUAGACGACCAACCAAUUUUGUGGAAAACUUUUUGAUGUUCUUGGAAUUCAAGCUGGCUUUUUCCUUAGCUUCUUUAUCUUUACUGGCCUUUUCCUUGGCCUUUUCCAGAGCUUGAAUUAAGUUAUUCAAGCAAAUCUCAGGCCCUUCAGAAACAUUUUUCAGCAUUAAAUUCUCAGCCACAUCACAAGGACUAAUGUUUACUUCCUCGAAUAAACCUUGAAUCUGUUGAAACAGAGGGUGUGUUUCAAUAUCCAAAUAAUUCUUAGCCAACACUUUAAAUGCUUCAUAUUUGCAAUAUGACAUCUCAAUGUGCAUAUCCAUCCGUCCUCUACGUAUGAGAGCUGGAUCAAGUUUAUCCUUAUGAUUGGUUGUAAAUAUGAUUAUCCUCUCUUGACCACAAGCUGACCAUAUUCCAUCAAUGAAAUUCAACAGUCCUGAAAGUGUAAGUUUGCUUGUUUCCUUAUUUUCACUUGCUUUUUCUUUAGACGAGUCUGAGUCAUCUUCCUGAUCUUCGUUUACUGUUUCCUCGCUCUUCUUUUUCUUCUUCUUUCUCUUGCCUGUGAGAUCAAUAGAGCAAUCAAUAUCUUCAAUUACAAUAAUAGACUUGCUUGUUGUUUCCAUAAGCAACUUCUUAAGCCCUGAGUUGUCCUUAACAGAAGUGAGCUCAAGAUCAUAAAUAUCAUAAUUCAAGAAGUUCGCAAUAGCUGCAAUCAUAGUUGAUUUUCCUGUCCCUGGCGGACCAUAAAGAAGAUAGCCGCGCUUCCAAGCUUUACCAACCUUAGAAUAAUAGUCCUUUCCUUUGCUAAAAGCAAUGAGAUCGAUGACUAUUUCCUUCUUCUUCUUAGGGUCCAUAGCCAAAGUAUCAAAAGUUGCAGGAUGCUCAAAGUUAAUGUCCCUCCACAUACCUUUUUCAUACCAAUACCAAUCCUCACUACAAUUGUUGGAGUAAAUCUUUUGUUUCCUGUUUUUAAACUCAAUAACCUUACCUUCUUCCAUCACAUGCUUCAAGUAUUUUCCAAUGACCAUUUCUUUAUAUCGUUGAUUGAAAGUUAUAGUGUAACUUUUCUUUUCAAUUGGACGUGAAUUUUUACGUCCUGAAGAAUUUUCAUUGAAUGUUUCGAUAUGAGAGCGCCAAGAGAGUUUAGCUCCUAGGAAUUGAUCAGUAAUCUCUUCUCCUUCGUCUAAGCUAACAGCAACAGACUUACUAUUCUUGGACUUUUCAGCUUUGAGAUAUUUAGCAUCUUUGUUGAUUGACUUAGUACCCAAAUAAGAGUUGACCUGGGUGUAUAUAUCGUUGCUUUUACCAUUGGUGAAUUCAUCAAUAGUAAUUUGAACAUAAGGGUAGAAGUAAUUUUCCAAUUUCUGCCAAAAGUAUUUGAUGCGUUUGCGGAGUGUAUAGGGGAAGAAUUGCUGGAUUGUGCCCCAAAUGAACAUCAAUCCAGCAAGCUUAGAGCCUAAUUCAGUCAAUGAUAUUGCUCCCAUAUUGGUGUUCUUUUCUAAGGUAUUUUUUUUAGUAAGAUUAUGAAUGAGGAUGAAAAUGAAAAUGGGAGCUUAGUGUGGUUUUAGUAAUUUGGAGGCGUGUUUAGUACAACUAUAUAUACUACUUUUAAAUUGCUAAAGUUAGCUCAGAAGAAGUGUCUGCUCCGUGUAGCGCAAGGAAAUUGGCCGGUUAAACGCGGCCGUAGAAACUUGACUUUCAUUACAAUAUAUGAAGUGAUAAAUGACGAUAGUACUUGUACUACAUCAUCCAAUUAUCUUAAACAAAUAUCUUAAAAUAUAAAAAGUAAACAUUUGUUACAAAAAUAGUUCAAACAAAACAAAUACGAAAUAUGUUUUGUAAACUCUAAGACAAAUGCCACUUCCAGUUCCUGAUCAUCCCAAUUUUUGAUAUGUUUGACUAGUCACAAAGUUUUUAAAAAAAAGUAGGAUAACAAUUGAAUUUAUACGCGAUUUUAAGGAUACAUGAUCUAAUUUGAUACAAAGCUAGAAAUCAGAUUUAAUAUGGAAGAACAAAUAAAUACAAACCAUGCAUAUUCUUAAGCAACGUAGGGUCAAUUUGUUUUCGAAUCUAGAUGUGAUAUUAUUGAAGCCAGAAUAAUAUGAACAAAGCUGAAAAAAAUAGUAUGCCACUCUUUGAAGUAUGUUACAAUAUGUCCCCUGAAUUACUAAGUUCCGUCUAUAUAUUUAGGGAGAUGAGGGUUUUAAAAUAUUAUUUUAUAAGAAAUUAUGUAGACCGUUGACUCCUUUUUUGACUUAAUUCUGUUAUUUCUGCCAUAAUAAUUGGUUAAUGGCGAGAAUCACGGAUCCUUAUCGGAUGAGCUGGCGAAGCUUUUCUUCGAGGCCGUUAGAAGUAGGAUUGGUCGUGCCCUCGGUAAACUCGAGGGAAAAUCUGAUGGUAUUGUCGAACUUCGAACCUCAAUAUCGAGCUCGAUUUUAUUUGUAACUUCGAUCUCUUGCAGAUGUGCCGAGCCUGGUCUAUUGUUCCAGAUACUCGACCAAGCAUCGAGCUCGGUUUUACCCGUAUACAGAUAGUCCCCUCGUUGUUUGGAGAGUAAAUGAUGAAAAAUGAUAUGAACCCUCGGUCUUCACUUCGAUAAACCAUGACAUAAGCGACAAAAGGUAACUGAAAUGUCCCGUCGGUUUAAUCUCCAAGGCAUUAAAUGUGUGUCAGUUGACGGUCGGCCAUUUCGAGAAAUGAACCGCCGCUUGAGAAACCUAUAAAUGCCCUUCAAUCCGUCUAUUAGAACUUUUACACUCAAAUUUUUCUUGUGUUCUAAGAAAACUUCACCACCUUCACUUUCUGAUUUUCAACUGUUAGUCUCAAAGCUGCCCUUACCAACAACUUCUCUUCUUUGGUUUUUAUAAAAAACGACAAAGACUUCAAAGUUUGUUCCUAAAAAAGAAGCACCUUCUUCUUCAAAACCUUCUGAAAGCGUUUCUCAUGUUGCUACCGAGGAGCCUCUUAUGAGAUCAUACAUCCCUGCUGGGUGCCCAACUGUGGCUGAUUUCAAGGUUGAGAAUACGCCUAUGGUACCAGGUCGGUGUGAACCAGUCUUGAGGUACAUAUGCACGAUUACAGACAAUAUCCUCGAUAAAGUUAAAAAGGAUUGUAACUGGGUAGACAAACUCGUAGUGGUUCCUACCCCCGAAGAGUCAAUCACCACCUACAUGAAUAGUUUCUUAAGUGCUUACACUUACCCUUUAACGUUGGGUCCUUUAGACCUGGUCAUCAUAGCCUUUUGCAAAAAGUAUGACGUGACGCUCGGGAAGAUACAUCCUUCUUUUUGGAGGAUCGUUAUUCUGCUUCGAUUCUUUAUGAGCACGGUCGAGAGGUGUCCAUUUACCAUCGACCAUUUGAUGCGCCUGUACAGCCCUCGACUUUACCGAGGAGGCUUAAUCAAGCUUGCACGUUGGGCUACUAAGACCUUGUUCUCGAGUAUCGACGAGGAUCGAGACCGGGGUUGGUUUGGUUAAUUUUUUCGAGUGAGGACUUCAGACUUAAUCCCAGCCGCGGACAUGCCAUUUACUGAAAAAUGGAACAUGAAACGCAAGUUUAACUUUGCCUUCGGUAUUUCUUUUAUUUCUUUUCAUUCCGUUGGUUUCUCAUCGAUGUUAUUUGAUGUAGCUGUCGCCCAAAUGCCGGACCCCAUUCCUGAACUUAAAGAGUGGGUCGAGGGCAUCGUAACACAGAGACCUUACCCUGAGCACUUAUGGCAUAAGCUCUCGAAGGGCCGAUGGGUGGCCCAUAAUCAUGGUAAGCGUUUUUCCCUAAUAAUAUAUUUGAUCUUGUUUUCUCAUCAUCGGUCUCUGAUCCGUUAUAUUUGCUUUUCGCAGAUUUACCAAAGGACGUCGAAAUAAGGCCUCCAUUAGCUGACGAUGAUAUAGACACUGAUCCCCCUGUUCCGAAACAGGACAAGAAGAAAAGAAAAGAAAAGAAAAGCUCUGAGUCCCUCGAACCCAGAAAAUAAAAGACAGAGGAAGCGACUCGCGCGCUAAACCAAAGAUGCUAUUACCCGGGAGCUCUCAUCGGACUCACUUCCCUGGUUGAUGGAUGUGUCUGAAGAAGAAGAAGAAGAAGAAGAAGAAGAAGAUUCCAAUCUGGUGGCCCGUGUGGGGAAUGGUUCUGAGCUACCUCAAGCUAUGAAGUCAGUAGAAUAAGGAGCGGUUGAAGCCUACGAACCAGGGAUGGUCGAGACCGCUUCGCCCCGAGCUGUGGAAGUUGACCAAGGAAAUUUGGCCGGUACUUCCCGGUCAGAAGAUAACAUGCCUAAGGAGGUGCUUGGGGUGAUCGACCUUUCUGGGUCGCCUUUGUUUACCAAUUCAAUGAUAAACAAGGCCCAGACAUUGAAAGGCAACAUUGGCGAGGGGGGACAAGAAGCAGUAAAUUCGCUUCACCACAUCUUCGAUGACUUGGAGUCUUCUGCCUCGAAGGAUGUUACCGAGUUGGGUGACUUACCGGUACCGAAAAAGACACCAUCCUCGGAAGCCGGCGAGCCCUCUUCAAGACCAAAAUUAGUAAACCAGUUCCCAGUUCCGAGUGUUGAUCCUACUCGGAGACCGGCAAUUUAUAUGUCCAACCCGGAGGAUGCCCGGGUUCUUUAUGCCCUGGUGGGGAUCGCCAGUUACCUUCGGUGCUUGGUAAUCAAAGAGGAUCAAACCAAUAUGAAUGAGGUAGAGGUGCCCUGCCUAUUCAACGAAGCUCAACAGGCGCUGAAUCGGGUAAUUUCGAAUGCCCCUUCAUUAUGUACUUAGUUUUAAACAUGAAUAAUCACAACGUUUUUCCUUUCUGUUUGUCGGCCUCGGUGCUUCAUCACGAGUCUUUUCUUCGAUACCGGAAGGAGUCAAAAUGUUACGAGGCUGAGGACCGGGAGCUUGCUGAAAAGAGGGACGCUUACAAGCUCCUUAGUGAGAAAUCCCAAGCUGAGCUAGAAGCGACUCGUAGGGAACAUACCGACCUGGUCGAGCGGGUAAGGAGAAUUUUUAAAGUUAGUGAUGAUGAGUCGGACUCAAUAGCUAAUGAUCCGUAUCUGAAGGUCCAGAAUAAACUUGAUGUGAUCGAGCAACGCCGAGGGGAGGUGGAUGCGGUCAAUACCGAGGCCGAAGAGUGGAAAAAGAAUAUGGAUCGUCUGGCCUCGGAGAAAGAGACUUCCCGGGCCCAGUUGGCUUCAGCUGAGGUUCAUCUUCGGGCUACAAAGAAGAAGAAUUUGGCACAGGCCAAAACGAUCGAGGGACUUCAAUCUCAGCUGAGCUCGACUAUUUCUGGUCAAGAGAAUUUGGACAAGGAGCUCAAGGCUGCCAAGUUAGAAUUUGUCACGGCCUAGACCGAGGCUGAUAAAAAGGUGGCCCAGUUCAAGGUUGAUGACGAGGAUAUCUAGGAGCAGGCCAAAAUCAUGGUGAAUCAUGCGAGGUGGGAAUCCCGGAGGGAGGCCCUCGAGUGAGUCCAUGCUCAAAAUUUUGAUAUAUUGGCUGAAAUCAAAAUGCCAAGAUAGGUGAAGCCAAUGCCCGAAGGCUAGCUUUUCCCGAGGAACAUUCUGAGGCGUUUGAAGAGUCGGGUGAGUCCGAUGGGGAAGAAGAUCCCGUAGGCGACGACGUAGCCCCCAAUGAGGAUUAGGGCAUUUUAGAGUUUUGUCAUUUGUACUAGUUUUUUGUUGAGGCCAUUCGUCCUUUGUAAAAAAAAACAUGCAUCAGGGCUAUUCAGCCCUUAUAAAUAAAUAUUGAUAUAUAUGUAUGGCUUUUACUUUCUAUGGCUUUUGAAAUUUUCCUAUGCUUUUCCAUUUGUGUUCACAAAGGUUGAAAUGCCUUAACAUUAAAUAGUUAGGUUAUGUUCGAAGGUUCGAUCAAACCUUGGCCGCUUUGGGUUAAGGCAUUGUAGGGGUUCGAUAUUACUGAUAAUUCUUUCUCGAAAUGUCUUAGGUUUAUAGCCUUGCAUAGGGCAACCUUUAGAACUGGUUAUAGAAAAAAAAAUUCGAAGGUCUUGUUUUUGUUACUGGUCUCGGAUGUCUCCGAGCCAUGUUAAUACGGACUUAGCCUUCUAAAUUCGAGCGUUGCCUAAUAGGUCUUUUACUUGGACCGUCCGAGAUUGUUUUCGAUCAGCAGUCCCCAAGUGAAUGUUCGAACUUGGAUUUAGGUGGCCCUUGGGAUUGAUACCUCUAGUUUGUGUUACAUGGCCGUAGCCUUUUAAAUUUGAGUGUUGCCUACUAGGUCUUUCGCUUGGAUCGUCCGAGAUUGUUUUUGAUCAGUUAUCCCCAAGUGAAUGUUCAAACUUGGAUUUAGGUGGCCCUUGGGCUUGAUACCUUUAGUUCGAGAUUUCUCUCGGUUGUGUUAAUAUGUCCUUAGCCUUUUAAAUUCGAGUGUUAUCUAAUAGGUCUUUUGCUUGGACCAUCCGAGAUUGUUUUUGAUCGGCAAUCCCCAAGUGAAUGCUCGAACUUGUAUUUAGGUGGACCUUGGGCUCGAUUGGUAGUCCCUGAGUGAAUGUUUCGAACUCAAAUUAAUGUGGCCCUUGGGAUCGAUUGGUAAUCCCUGAGUGAAUGUUUCGAACUCGGAUUAAUAUGGCCCCUGAGUGAAUGUUUAGAACUCGGAUUAUAUGGCCCUUGGGCUUGAUUGGUAAUCCCUGAGUGAAUAUUUUGAAAUCGGAUUAAUAUGGCCCUUGGGUUCGAUUGGUAAUCCCUGAGUGAAUGUUUCAAACUCGGAUUAAUGUGGCCCUUGGGCUCAAUUGGUAAUCCCUGAGUAAAUGUUUCGAACUCGGAUUAAUGUGGCCCUUGGGCUCAAUUUCUAAUCCCUGAGUGAAUGUUUUGAACUAGGAUUAAUGUGGCCCUUGGGCUCGAUACCCUUAGGGGACCGGAAGUAGGAAAUUUCUUAAACAAUGUGAUAUCAAAAGCAAGAAAAGUCUUCUUCUUUUUAUUCUUGUGUGCAAUGAUUGUAUAUGUAUACAUGUUUUGUGCCAGGGAUCGAUCGAUCCGUGUGGGCACGAUUCAUUUUGACCGUUUGGCCCUUACAAUAAAUCUUAUUGAUCGGGACCAAUCACGAAGUUUCUUCCGUUGUUAAAGUCAAUAUGUGAGGGAUACUUCUCCCCCAGUGUUCGGGGCUGAACGAAGUAAAGCCUUGAAUGUUGUUGUGAUCGUUAUCACCGGUUCGUAACCGGCCUUCAAUUCUAAGUUAGUACGAUUUACUUGUUGCCUCGUUAAAAACCUUUCCGAAAAACCCAUCUGGGACAAAAUUGGUUCAAGGUAAAAAGUGUGCAACGCAUGCUUUCAGACCUAGGACAUCGUGUCAUCCUUUGUUGGUUACCUGCAAAUGUUAGCUCGAACCAGAAAAAAUAAGAGAAAGAAUCGCAGUCGUACGUUAGCAAUAUUAUCUCUUUACGUGGGUUAUAUUCCAGUUUUUCGGUAAUUGCUCUUUGUUCAUUGUUCCGAGCUUAUAGGAUCUUUCCCGGUGAUCUCGAUAACUUGGUACGGCCCUUCCAAGUUCGGCCCUAAUUUCCCCUCGUUCGAGUUUCGGGUGCUCAAUGUGACUUUCCUUAGUACCAAGUCCCCUGUAUUGAAGUGUCAAAGGUUGCCCCUUCGAUUAUAAUAUCUUUCGAUUCGUUGUUUCUGGGAGACCAGUCGGAUGAGGGUGCCUUCUCGCCUUUUAUCCAGUAGCUCGAGGCUCGUACUCAUAGCCUCGUCGUUCGAUUCCUUGUUGCAUAUCAAAAUCUGAUGCUUGGUUCUCCAACCUCGACCGGUAUUAAAGCUUCGGUACCAUAAACAAAAGAAAACUAGGUUGCCCCAGUACUGGACUUCGAGGUUGUUCGGUAUGCCCAUAGGACUUCGGGUAGUGUCACGACCCAAAAUCCCACCACAAACGUCGUGAUGGCACCUAGUCUCUAAGAUUAGGUAAGCCGAUUUCAAUUACAUUUUGAAGCCAUUUUUUUAUAAGUAAUCAAAACUAAGAGCAGAACAAAUAUGAAUAUACAACCUCCUAAGACUGGUAGUACUGAGUCACGAAUUUUAACUGAAUCCAUGGAAUGAUCACGAGGACAGAAUAUACAACAUUGUUUGAUUAAAAUUAAUAGUACAAUGAAAUGAAAAGACUCCAAGGGAUUGCGAUGACCAAAUAACUCUACCUUGAAUCCUUACGAUCCCGCUUAAACUCUGAUCAAGUCCGAUAUCUCCAAUACUUGGCUCUGCACAAAAAUGUGCAGAAGUGUAAUAUGAGUACACCACGGUCGGUAUACCAGUUGGUAUCAAGACAAACCUCAGUGGAGUAGAGACGAGGUACAGUCAAGACACUCACUAGUCUAAUAGCCUGUGCAAUAUAAUAUACAAAAUAAUAGGAAACAGAUAACAAUAAGGGCAACAUAAAACAAAGUCUUUCAAAUAAAUGUCUUUCACAUAAAAUUCUUCCAAAUAACUCUCUUUCAAAUAUAAUUUUCUCAAAUAAUUAUCUUUCAAAUAUAAUUCUUUCAAUAAAUCUCUUCAAAUAUAAUUUCCUCAAAUAAAUAUCUUUUAAAUACAACUCUUUCAUAUAAUACUUUCUAAAUAAAAAUUCUUCCAAAUAAAUAUUUUGAAUAUAAUUCUUUCAAUUAAAAAGUCACCAUGUGACACCUCAUUUCGUAAUCAUAAAAAUACGGGUCUCAUCACAUUUUUAUAUUUUUCGUAAACACGAGUCUCAGCCCAUUUUUCAUAUUUCCACAGCACCUCGUGUCCAUAAUUAAAUCAUCAUAUUUCUCCGGCACCUCGUUCCCUCAUUUCAUAUCACAACUGCAUGGACAAGUUACGUGUCAAAUAUCAUUAUCCUUUAAUCACAACACCUCGUGCCCAUAUUUCAUAUCACAACUGCACGGACAAUUCACGUGCCAAUAUCCUCAUUAUUUACUCACGACACCUCGUGCCCACAUUUUAUUUUUUAAUCCGCCUGGCAAUAGCCACAGGCUCUCCAUUUCAACAUAUAUCAGAUUGUUAUCAAUUUACCAACAACAAGACAAAUUGCACAAGGUAUAAAAUAAACACAAAAAAAUCACAACAUCAUAUGAAAAUUACCAACACCACAACUCCACAUCAUCACAUAUCGUCCCUGACAAUAGCCACCCUUAUCUCUCCUAUAGCCUCCCUUAUCACUCCUAUAAUAGCCACCCUUAUCCCUACGCCAUGACAAUAUCAAUAGUCAUCCUUAUCGCUCCUAUUGGCACCCUUAUCGCGUCUAUUGCCAUCCUUAUUGCUCCGCUCAGACAGUAUUCCAACAAACACAAUAACAGUGAAAUGCCACCCUUAUACCCACAUAAUAUUAACGGUGAAAUGCCACCCUUAUCUCUCCAAUAUAAUAACUCACACAACACAACAAUUUACACAGAAAAUUAUCACUGCAACAUAACAAAAAUCAAUUCAUAUCACAAUUUGCCUAAUGGCCACAACCAAAGUUUCAAAGAUACAACCAAAUCAAUUAAUUUCACAACAAAUAGCUGAAGGCCCCACAUAAUGUGUACAACACCCCAAAAAUAAUCAACAGAGAUAGAAAUUACUCAGCAUAAAGCAAAGCCUUCAUUAAUCCAAACUUAGAUAAUUAUAUUAACACUUCUUUUUAAACUUGCUUAAUUAAUUAUUUGCAUAGAAAAAAUUCAUAUUAAAAUUAAAUUCCAAGAAAUAUCAAACCAACAAUACUCACGAAAUUAUAUGGCAUGUAGAUGAUUUAAUAAAUACUAAAAAUUAUCCAAAUUACUAUACAAUUUUUCAUAUAAAAUAAAUUCAACAACAAGGAUUUAGGCAUGGCAAGUAGAUGAUUUAAUAAAUACUAACAAUUAUCCAAAUUACUACACAAUUUGCCCAAGACUUUAACUCAAUGAAUUUUGCACAUAUAAGCCCAAGUACGUACUCGUCACCUCGCGUACACAGCUUUUUCACAUUUCACAAAUGGCAUAUAAGACUCGAUGCCUAAGGGGUAAUUCCCCCACUCGAGGUUAAGCAAGACACUUACCUCGCUUCGCAACCAAAUUCAAGAUUCCAAUAAACCUUUGCCUCGCGAAUUCAUGUCCGAACACAUGAAAUCUAGUCACAAACAAUUCAAUAUACUCAAUACGAAUCGUAGGAAUUAAUUCCAUAUGAAAUUACUAAUAUUCCGUAUUAAAAUCUGAAAUUCAUUUUUAAAAUUGACAGUAGGACCCACGUUUCGAAUCCCGGAAAAACUCACGAAAACCGAACACCCAUUCCGAUACGAGUUCAACCAUACAAAAUUAUCGAAUUUCGACAUUGGAUUGCCCUUCAAAUCUUCAAUUAAAGUAUUUGAAGAUUUCUAUCAUUAUCAACCCAAUCUUUACAUAUUUGAACUCAACAAUCUUCCCACAAACCUUAUUGGUACAAGCAUGUGUAACUAAUACUCUCACAUCCAAGAAUCAUCUUGCUAAUUACCCAUUUCUAGUUGGAUUUCGAACUUGAAGAAUUGGGGAAAGCAAUUCUUACCUCUUUGUAGCCUUAACAACCCUUUGAUGCGAUUUCAAGGUUUGAUACAAGAAAGAGUAGUGAAAUCUUUAGUUCUCCCCUUUCCUCUCUCUAGAAUCGCUCUCCCUUCUCUCUAAAAUACCAGAAAUUACCCCAAAUAAUGAACCCCAAUCGAGUUAAACGAAAUGGGAUUCGGGUCAUAAAAACUAUCUGGAAAUGAAAUUUCGGAAUGUUCUGAAAUUUUGCGACAGGCGCGACACAUGGGUCGCCGCGUGGGACGGCGCGGUAGUAUUAAAUUAUGCCAGCGUUUGGUAAUUCGGUCAUCACUUCUUGUAGGAGUGUCCAAAUGAAGAACGGUGUGAAGCGUUAGAAACUAGACUCAAAGAUCUUUUAUUUGAUAGGUUGUCCAUCACAUAACUCCUUACAUAUAUGUAGAUAUGCUCGUCCAGAAUUUGGUCUUGUGCGUACUCAUUUGGAAUUUUAGUCUAUUAUGAAAUUUUCCAACUUGGCUUAGACUUUGGACUUUCCUUAGACCCCAUAUCACUUAUAAUAUGCCUCUUACACUUAUUAUCAUAUCCAAUAGCUAUCCAUCAUAUUGUUAGUCCUCGUUCGCACACAAAAUAAUAUAAUUAGAACACAUCUACUUUCUACUUUUGCCAAAAUGCGCUGAAUUGUUCUACGGCUUCCAACUCCAAUUCCAGACAUACGCCUAAGUCCGAAAUCACCAUACGAAGCUAUUGGAACCGUCAAAGUUCCAUUCCGGGGUCGUUUACACAAAAGUCAAACUCCGACCAAUUCUUUUCAUGUAAGCUUCCAAAACAAGAAUAUAUUAUUCUUUCAAUUAAAUCUCGAAUCAUCCGAAAAUCAAACUCGACCGCGCGCGUAAGUCAUAAUACACAUUACAAAGCUUCUCAAGGUCUUAAGCCGCUGAACGGGUCGCUAAUUCUUAAAAUGACUAGUCGAGUCGCUACAUUCUCCACCUUAUAAAUAAAUGUUCGUCCUUGAACAUGUUAAAAAUUAUUCUAAGGUUACCAAAUUGAUGAUUUUACUUUUACACAUAUACUCGCGGUUUAUCCCACGUUACCGCAUUCGACAUAAGCCUAACAACACCAUCUCAAUUGAGAUUAUUUCUUUUAUCCAUAUUUGUUAACUUUAAAACCAAAUUUCUUACACUCCAAAUAUUUUCAAAAAAAAUUCGAUUUUCACAUCAACGCAGUAUUAGUCUCAACUGGCUAUGGCAACUCGUGCCUACGCGCUCAUCAACUUUCUUAAUAGCGCUUAUGUACAUCAAAAAUUUUUGGGGUGUUACAUUCUCCCCCUCUUAGGAUCAUUCGUCCUCAAAUGAGAAGUAGAGUCCGCCUUCAAACACAUAACAUAACUUAUCUCUUCUUUCGCACAUCUCAAUCUCCCAAUUUUUUUUUUCUAACUCCCAAUUUUUUCGGAAAUUUUGGCAGAGUCUCCCCUAUAAUUGGGCAUAUCCACCUGCUAGAAUAACACCAAAACAACUCCUAACAACAUAUCCACAACCCAACAAAGCAUCACAAUAUAUAUAUAUCAAUAACACUAAUCUCAGCAUUACAAGCACAAUAUUAUUAUAAUGAUAUCCGGACAUGAAACACAUCCUAUGUAUGCUCAUAACCACAUCUCUGGUCUUAAUAGUUAUUCAUAAUUGAUUACAACAUCGCCAAGUAACUUCAUGUUAACAAAAAUCUCGUUUCAAACCUCCACUUUACUAACAACGAGACACGAGGCAUGAAGUCCUCAUGAUUAUUUAUCCGAAUUGACGAGUCACAUUUAACGCACAUGGGCACUCACCUCGUAGGCUAAAACUCAAUAAUUACAAUAAGAAUUUGGCAAAUUUAUGCACAGAGAAAUUCAUACAAGAAUUUUCAAAUAAGUCUAACAUGCAUGACUCCCUAUAAGUACUAUAGUACAAAUUUAAUUUCACAAAGGGAGAAUUUUAAACUCAUAAAUAUUUUACCACAAGGACCUCACCCUUAUAUAAAUUCCACUGUGGCUUGUAGCCCAGUUUAAAUAUUUCACAUCAUAUAAAAAUAAAUGCGAGGAUCUUAUCCUCAACUUCGUAUCACAAGUAUUUUUCACAUUGUGCCAACUGAAUUUCAAUUUCCUUUCUUUCAUCUUUUCAAUAAAUUUAGUAAAACAUUUUCAUAACACAUAACGAACCCUCAUACCGGUAUGGCUUAUAAUGAAUAAAAAUUGAAAUCAAUUAUUCCGAAAUCAUAUCAAAACUCACUGUAAUGAAUAAUAAAAAUUGCUUUUGGAUUUAUAGCCCUCAAUGGUGCACAAAAAUAAAAUGACAGGCACGGGCUCACAUAUUCAAAUCUCCCAACAGGGAUAAACAUAUAAAUGGUUUACAAAAUUACAAUGCUCACCCAUAAGCGGAGCAUAAUAGGAGGACUCACAUCAUUAUUCAGAACCGAAUCAAAUUAAGAAGAAUUAUCCUUUUAUAACAAAUCAGGAUCACACCUAUGACGACACCAUCUGGUGUAUCGGCCUCAGCCAAAUCAUAGCGAUUAUAUCAACGGGUUGGGCCUCCACCUCUUAGGCGCCCUCUACCCGUCUUUUCUCCACCCCUAACUGGCUGUGCACAUGUAGUAGUAACUGCAUUGGGGCCGAUAGCCUCAGUGUUCUCAUGAAUUCCACCUCUCCCAAGUCUGGGACAAUCUCUCAUGAUAUGCAUAGUAUCACCACACUCAUAACAACCCCUCUGAGGUCUCGACUGCUCGUACUGAGUAUGUGCCGGAUAACUGGAAUAACCACUGUAAUAAUCUCGUGUCAGUGGUGCACUAUGUGAACUUAUUGGAGCACCUCGAGUAAUAUGAUGUGCGGACUGAGCUAGCCGACUGCUCGAGCCUCCGCUAUAAUGGGUCCUAGCUGAAGAGUAAAAUUCACUGAAUCCUCCAGAUCUUCGAGACUUUUUGACCUCCUUAGACUCCCUUUCCUCGCCUAAAACACCCUCAAUCUUUCUUGCAAUCUCCACUACUUGUUGAAAUGGAGUAUCAGUUUGCAACUCUCGAGCCAUGCAUAUUUUAAUAUCAUAAUCGAGCCCCUCAAUGAAUCUGCGGACCCGUUCUCUGACUGUAGGAACCAAGAUAGGUGCAUGACGGUCUAACUCACUGAACCUGAUAGCAUAUACUGACACUGUCACAGUACCCUGACACAAUCGUUCAAACUCUAUGCGCCACGCAUCUCGGAGAGUCUGGGGAACAAACUCUUUUAAGAACAUUUCCAAACAUUGAGCCCAAGUUGGUGGUGUUGUAUCGGCUGGUUUACCUUCUUCAUAGAUUUGCCACCAUUGAUACGCUGCGCCUGACAGUUGAAAUAUAGUAAAGGCAACUCCAUUCACUUCCACAAUACCCAUGGUGCGGAGAAUACAGUGACACAUUUCUAGAAAUCCCUGGGCAUCCUCUAUAGUUGUGCCACUGAAAGUAGGUGGACUAUACCUCUUAAACCUUUCAAGUCUCUUUUGUUCUUCUUAUGAUGCCUCUGGCCUGACCUCAGGCUGAACCUGAAUAACAGUUUGUACAGGUACUACAUCCGAAACCUGACCAAUGUGAACCUACUCUUUUGGAGUCGUGGUAGGAGUCUGGGCUACUCCCCCAAUCUGCGAAAUAUUUGGUGUAACGGAGAUCAAUUCCGCCUGAGUUAAUGUACCAAACAUACUCAGGAACUGUGCUAGAGUCUCCUGAAGUCCGGGGGUAACAACAGGUGCUUCUGGUACCUGUCCCCCAACUGGAGCUACUGGUGUCUCCGCAACUGUUGUUCUGACAGGUGCUCUAGUCGCGGCGCGUGCCCUUCCUCGACCUCUACCUCGGCCUCGGCCUCUACCUCGUCCCCGGCCUCUUGCAGCCCUAGCAGUAUGUGCAGAUGCCUACUCAGCUAACCUGAUAGUACGUGUCCUCACUAUCUGUGAGAGAAUAGAGAUACAAAAGGCUCAAAUUCUACAAUAAACAAAUUCCGCACGACAGGAAUGAAAGAAGUGAAAUUUUCCUAAAGGUUCUGUAGCCUCUCGAAGAUAAGUACAAAUGUCUCCGUACCGAUCCACAAGACUCUACUAGACUCGUUCGUGACUCGUAGAACCUAUGAACCUAGAGCUCUGAUAACAACUUUCCACGACCCAUAUUCCCACCACAGGCAUCGUGAUGGAACUUAGUCUCUAAGACUAGGUAAGACCAUUUCAAUUACAUUUUGAAGCCAAUUUUUUUUGUAAGUAAUCAAGACUAACAAUGGAACAAAUAUGAAUAUACAACCUCCCUAGACUGGUAGUACUGAGUCACAGACUCUAACUAAAUACAUGGAAUGAUCGCGAGGACCGAAUACACAAUACUGUUUGAUUCAAAUUAACAGUACAAUGAAAUGAAAAGACUCCAAGGGACUGCGACGACCAAGCAGCUCUACCUUGAAUCCUUACGAUCUCGCUUAAACUCUGCUCAAGUCCGAUAUCUCCAAUACCUGGCUCUGCACAAAAAUGUGCAGAAGUGUUGUAUGAGUACACUACGGUCGGUACCCAGUAAGUAUCAAGACUACCCUCAGUGGAGUAGAGACGAGGUAUAGUCAAGACACUCACUAGUCUAAUAGCCUGUGCAAUAUAAUAUACAAAAUAAUAGGAAACAAAUAACAAUAAGGGCAACAUAAAACAACCAAUGAUAUGCACAGUAAAACAACAAGAACACCAUUAAUAAAUACAAUUACACCCAAUUAAAUCAAGUCCUUCAAAUAAAUAUCUUUCACAUAUAAUUCUUCCAAAUAACUCUAUUUCAAAUAUAAUUUUCUCAAAUAAUUAUCUUUCAACUAUAAUUCUAUCAAUAAAUCUCUUCAAAUAUAAUUUUCUCAAAUAAAUAUCUUUCAAAUACAACUCUUUCAUAUAAUUAUUCCAAAUAAAUAUUUUGAAUAUAAUUCUUUUAAUUAAAAAGUCACCGUGUGACACCUCAUUUCAUAAUCAUAAAAAUUCGGGUCUCAGCCCAUUUUCAUAUUUUUCGUAAACAAGCGUCUCAGCCCAUUUUUUAUUUUUUCACGGCACCUCGUGCCCAUAAUUAAAUCAUCAUAUUUUCACGGGACCUCAUGCCCUCAUUUCAUAUCACAACUGCACGGAUAAUUCACGUGCCAAAUAUCAUUAUCAUUUAAUUACAACACCUCGUGCCCACAUUCCAUAUCACAACUGUACCGACAAUUCACAUGCUACUAUCCUCAUUAUUUACUUACGUCACCUCGUGCCCACAUUUCAUUUUAUAAUCCACCUGGCAAUAGCCACAUGCUCUCAAUUUCAACAUAAAUCAGAUUGUUAUCAAUUUACCAACAACAAGACAAAUUGAACAAGGUAUAAAAUAAACACAAGAAAAUCACAACAUCACAUGAAAAUCACCAACACCACAACUCCACAUCAUCACAUAUCGUCCCUGACAAUAGCCACCCUUAUCUCUCAUAUAGCCGACCUUAUCACUCAUAUAAUAGCCACCCUUAUCGCUCAUAUUGCCACCCUUAUCACUCCUUUAGCCACCCUUAUCGCUCCGCCCAGACAAUAUUAAAACCACCCUUAUCGCUCUACCCAGUCAGUAUUCCAACAAACACAACAACAGUGAAAUGCCAUCCUUAUACCCACAUAAUAUUAACGGUGAAAUGUCGCCCUUAUCUCCCCAAAAUAAUAACUCACACAACACAACAAUUUACACGGGAAAUUAUCACGGCUACAUAACAAAAAUCAAUUCAUUUCACAAUUUGCCCAAUGGCCACAACCAAAGUUUCAAAGAUACAACCAUAUCAAUUAAUUUCACAACAAAUAGCCAAAGGCCCCACACACUGUGUACAACACCCAAAAAAUAAUCAGCAGAGAUAGAAAUAACUCAGCAUAAAGCAAAGCCUUCAUUAAUCUAAAUUUAGAUAAUUAUAUUAAUACUUCUUUUUAAACUUGUUUAAUUAAUUAUUUGCAUAGGGAAAAUUCAUAUUAAAAUUAAAUUUCAAGAAAUUUCAAACCAACAAUACUCACGAAAUUACAUAAGUUUUCAAGUAACAAUCACAUCAAAGUGUUAUAUAAAACAAAUUCAACAACAAGGAUUUAGGCAUGGCAAAUAGAUGAUUUAAUAAAUACUAAUAAUUAUCCAAAUUACUACACAAUUUGCCCAAGACUUUAACUCAAUGAUUUUGUCACAUAUAUGCCCGAGUACGUACUCGUCACCUCGCGGACACGGCUUUUUCGCAUUUCACAAAUGGCAUAUAAGACUCGAUGCCUAAGGAGUAAUUCCCUCACUCGAGAUUAAGCAAGAUACUUACCCCGCUUCGCAACAAAAUUCAAGAUUUCAAUAAACCUUUGCCUCGCGAAUUCGUGUCCGAACGCUUCAAAUCUAGUCACAAGCAAUUCAAUAUACUUAAUACGAAUCGUAGGAAUUAAUUCCAUAUGAAAUUACUAAUAUUUCGUAUUAAAAUCCGAAAUUUAUUUUAAAAAUCGACUGUGGGACCCACAUUUUGAAUCCCUGAAAAACUCAUGAAAUCCAAAAACUCGUUCUGAUACGAGUUCAACCAUACAAAAAUUAUCGAAUUCCGGCAUCAGAUUGCCCUUCAAAUCAUCAAUUAAAGUAUUUGAAGAUUUCUACCAUUUUCAACCCAAUCUUUACCCAUUUGGACUCAACAAUCUUCCCACAAACCUUAUUGGUACAAGCAUGUAUAACUAAAACUCUCACAUCCAAGAAUCAUCUUACUAAUUACCCAUUUCUAGAUGGAUUUCGAAAUUGAAGAAUCGGGGAAAGAAAUUCUUACCUCUUUGAAGCCUUAGCAACCCUUUGAUGCGAUUUCAAGGUUUGAUUCAAGAAAGAGUAGUGAAAUCUUUAGUUCUCCCCUUUCCUCUCUCUAGAAUCGCUUUCCCUUCUCUCUAAAACACCAAAAAUUGCCCCAAAAAUGAACGCUAAUCGAGUUAAAUGAAAUGGGGUUCGGGGGUCAUAAAAACCCAUUUUUGUACAGUCACGGCACACGGGGAGCCACGGGGAGUGGGGCGGCUGUGAAAAAAGUGUCUGGAAAUGAAAUUUCGGAUCGUUCUGGAAUUUUCCACAGGUGCGGCGCAUGGGGCGCCGUUUGGGAUGGCGCGGUAGUGUUAAAUUCUUCCAGUGUUUGGUAAUUCGGUCCUCACUUCUUGUAGGAGUGUCCAAAUGAAGAACGGUGUGAAGCGUUAGAAAUUAGACUUGAAGAUAUUUUGUUUGAUAGGUUGUCCAUCACAUAACAUUUUAUAUAUAUGUAGAUAUGCUCGUCCAGAGUUUUGUCUUGUGCGUACUCAUUUGGAAUUUUAGUCUAUUAUGAAAUUUUCCAACUUGGCUUAGACUUUGGACUUUCCUUUGACCCCAUAUCACUUAUAAUAUGCCUCGUACACUUAUUAUCAUAUCCAAUAGGUAUCCAUCAUAUUGUUAGUCCUCGUUCGCACACAAAAUAAUAUAAUUAGAACACAUCAACUUUCUACUUUUGCCAAAAUGCGCUGAAUUGUUCUACGGGAUUCCAACUCCAAUUCCAGACAUACGCCUAAGUCCAAAUUCACCAUACAAAGCUAUUGGACCCAUCAAAGUUCCAUUCUGGGGUCGUUUGCACAAAAGUUAAACUUCAGUCAACGUUUUUCAUGUAAGCUUCCAAAACAAGAAUAUAUUGUUCUUUCAAUUAAAUCUCGAAGCAUCCGAAACCCACACUCAGCCGCACACGCAAGUCAUAAUAUAUAUUACAAAGCUUCUCGAGGUCUUGAGCUGAUGAACGGGAUGCUAAUACUUAAAAUGACAAGUCGGGUCGUUACAGGUAGCAUUUCCUUCCAUUUUUCUUUAGCUCGGUUAACCUCUUUUUAAGGCUUUGGAGUAUGGUUUUGUUAGUACAUUCAGCUUGUCCAUUCCCACUAGGGGUGAUAAGGUUUUGAUAGGAUUCUUUUAAUCUUAUGGUCUUCAAAUAAUUUGGUCACUUUGCUUCCGACGAAUUAUUUUCCAUUGUCACAUACAAUCACGGCUGGUAUCCCAAAUCGGCAUAUGAUGUGGUCCCAAAUUAAAUCGAUAACUUCCUUCUCCCUGAACUGUUCAUAUGUCCGGGCUUCUACCCAUUUAUAAAAGUAGUCAGUCAUAAAUAAUAUAUAUCGGGCCUUACCAAGUGCCCAUGGAAGGGGGACGGCGAUAUCCAUUCCCCACUUCAUGAAUGGUCGUGGAGACAAAACUGAAUGCAGAAGCUCCCUAGGUUAAUGAAUCAUCAGAGCGUAUCUUUGACAUGCAUCACAUUUUCGGACGAAUUCCUUUGCAUAUUUUUCCAUCCCGAUCCAGUAAUGCCCAACCCUGAUUAUUUUUUGAAUCAAUGAUUCGGUGCCAGAAUGAUUUCCACAGGUACCUUCGUGGAUUUCCCUCAGAAUGUACUCAGUAUCGCCCUGCCCUAGACAUAUUGAAAGUGGGCCAUCGAAUGAUCUUAUGAACAAGGUUCCAUCUUCCGAUAGGCUAAAUCGGGAUGCCUUUGUACGUAGGUCCCUCCAUUCUUUAGGGUCCGAGGGCAACUUUCCGUUCCUGGGAUAUUCUACGUACUUGUUCCUACAGUCCCAAGUUAAGCUCGUUGAGUUGAUCUCGAUGUGACCUUCUUCCACCAUCGAUUUCAUAAGCUGCACGACUUCACCCGAGUUGAACUCAUUAUCUUCGAUUGACGAUCCCAGGUUAGCGAGGGCAUCAACCUCGUUAUUUUGAUCCCGAGGCACAUGUUGUAAAGUUUAUUUCUUUAACCGAUGUAAUAUCACCUGUAAUUUGUCUAAGUAUCUCUGCAUUCAUUCUUCCCUGACCUCGAAUGUUCCGUUAACUUGGUUUACCACAAGGAGGGAGACACACUUAGCUUCGAUCACCUCUGCCCCCAAGAUUUUGGCUAGUUCGAGACCUGCAACCAUGGCCUCAUAUUCGGCCUCGUUGUUAGACAAUUUCACAGUCUUAAUAGAUUGUCUAAUUAUGUUACAUGUUGGCAACUUUAGUACGAUACCAAGUCCAGACCUUUUUGCGUUCGAAUCCCCGUCCGUAAAGAGGGUCCAAAUUCCCGAAAAAGUUUUUGAGUUAAGCAAUAACUCUCUUUCGACCUCGGGUAUCAAGGACGACAUGAAGUCGGCCAUAAAGUCUGCCAAAAUUCGUACCCACUCACUUCCACUACCCACUUGGCUAAUCGGCCUGAAAGUUCGGGCUUAUGCAUAAUAUUCCUUAAUGGAUAAGUAGUUACGACACAUAUGGGGUGACAUUGAAAAUAUGGUUUUAGCUUCCUAGAGGCACUUAGCAAGGCGAACGCCAGUUUCUCUAGGUGAGGGUACCUAGUUUCGGCCUCACCUAAGGUUAUGCUAACAUAAUAAAUUGGAAAUUACGUACCUUGCUCUUCUUGAACCAAUACUCCACCUACCGCUACCUCUGAGACCGCUAGGUACAAGUACAGUUGUUCGUAUGUUCUUGGUGUAUGAAGCAGUGGUGGGCUUGAUAAGUAUCUCUUGAGUUCGUAUAGAGCCCGUUGACAUUCCGGAGUCCAUGAGAAUCUAUUCCUCUUUUUCAACAGUGCGAAGAAUCGGUGGCUUUUAUCGGACGACCUCGAGAUAAAUCGACCCAGGGCGGCUAUGCGCCCUGUUAGCCUUUGCACAACCUUUACAUUAUCUACGACCAUGAUGUCUUCAAUGGAUUUUAUUUUUUCUGGGAUGAUCUCGAUUAGAUACCAUGAACCCGAGGAAGUUUCCUGAUCCGACUCUGAAUGCACAUUUUUCUGGGUUCAACUUCAUAUUAUACUUUUUUAGUAUACUGAAGGUUUCCUGCAAAUAUUUUAAAUGGUCCUCUGCUCGCAUGGACUUAACCAACAUAUCAUCAAUGUAAACUUCCAUUAUUUUUCCUAUAUUUUCCUCGAACAUUCGAUUACUAGACGUUGAUAGGUGGCACCGACAUUUUAAACCUGAAUGGCAUUAUGUUAUAGUAGUACGUGCCGUAUUUAGUGAUGAAGGAAGUUUUUUCCUGGUCAUCCGUAUUUGAUUAUAAUCGGAAUAGGCGUUGAGAAAACUGAGGAUCUCGUGGCCGGCCGUGGCAUCGAUCAUGCGAUCAAUACUAGGUAAAUGGAAAGAGUCCUUGGGACAUGCUUUGUUCAAAUCCUUAUAAUCUAUGCACAUUCGUAAUUUGUUCCCUUUUUUAGGGACCACAACUACAUUUGCUAACCAUUCCAGGUAUUUAACCUCCCGAAUGGACCCUAUUUUAAGGAGUUUAGAUACCUCGUCCUUGAUGAGGGCGUGUUUUACUUUGGACUGGGAUCUCCUCUUAUGGUUGACUGGAUUGAUUUUCGGGUCCAGGCUUAGCUUGUGAGUAGUUAUCUCCGGUAGGAUCCUUGUCAUAUCAAGAUGGGACCAAGCAAAACAAUCUAUGUUAACUAUAAGAAAUUGAAUAUUUUUUUUCCUGAGCUUGGGAGUUAGCCCUGUGCCCAGGUAUUCCUUUCGAUCGGGAAAAUGCUCGAUCAAUAUAACCUAAUCCAACUCUUCAACCAUCGAUUUGGUUGUGUCAGAGUCAUCAGGGAUUAUAAAAGAUCGGGGAACCCCGUAAUCAUCGUUUUCAUAAGUCCUUUGCUUGUAUGAUUGGAUCACGACCGGUAUCAGUGAUUGCUAUUUGGCCUCUAAGUUGGCGCUAGAAUUUGGUUCCUUCGAUGUUGUGAGCGUUGAUAUUGGAACUACUUCUUCGAUGGCAAACAUCUCUUUUGCGGACGGUUGUUCCCUGUAGAUUGUCUUGAUCCCCCCUGGGACUGGGAAUUUUAGCACUUGGUGAAGAGUUGAGGGUACUACCCUCAUAUGGUGUAUCCAUUGCCUUCCUAGAAUGGCGUUGUACCUCAUGUCCCCUUCAAUUAUAUAAAAUAUGGCCUUUCAUGUGAUUUCAGCGGUAUUGACCGGUAACGUUAUCUCUCCUUUGGUGAUUUCACAUGCCAUGUUGAACCCGUUUAGGACUCAGACUGCUGGAACAAUCUUGUCUUGUAGACCGAGCUGUUCUAUGACCUUUGACCGAAUAAUGUUGGCCAAGCUACCUGGAUCAAUUAACAAACGUUUAAUUCUAGUUUUAUUUACGAGUAGAGAUAUUACCAUCGCAUCAUUGUGAGGUUGUAUGAUCCCUUUCUCAUCAUCAUCGCUGAAGUAUAAGACCCCUUCCGGUAUGUAGUCUCGAGUUCGUUUCUCCCUAGUGAUGGAGAUUCUGGUGCAUUUCAACAUGGGAUCAUGUGGGAUGUCGACUCCACCGAUGAUCAUAUUAAUUACGUGUUGAGGUUCGUAUCUUCUUAUUCCAUCUGUCUGUUAUAAUCUAUGUUCCUGAAAUGAUUCUUGGCCCGGUCACUCAAGAACUCUCGAAGGUGCCCAUUGUUGAAUAGUCGGUCUACUUCUUCUCUCAGUUGUCGACAGUCUUCCGUUCUAUGACCGUGAGUUCCAUGAUACUUGCAUACCUGGUUCAAUUCUCUUUGAGAUGGAUCAGAUUGCAGAGCCCGAGGCUAUUUGGUAUCCUUGUUUCGCCCGAUGGCUGAUACGAUGGCAGCUGCGUCGAUAUUAAAGUUGUACUCUGAUAGCCUCGACGCUUCUUUAGGCCCGUUGGGCCUGUCAAAACCUUUUUUCGUCAUUAGCCCCCGGUUGUUUCGACCUUGGUCAUUUCUUCUUUCGUUUCUUAUAGGGUUUCGCCCGGACCCACUAUUUCUCCAAUCUCCAUUAUAUGGCCGAUAUCGAUCUCUGUUUGAUCCUGGUUCACGAUCGAUUUCUCUCUUGGCUCUAUCGAGAGUCCUGGAGGAAUAUAUAGACUCCAAAGGUACCUCGAGUUGAUCAUCUUCGACUCUAAUUAUCGAUUGAUAUCGAUUGUGUACAUGGCCCAAGUAACGACAAGGUAUUCUAUCAGGUUUUGCUUUAAUUGCUGCGAAGACAUCGAGCUUCGAAUAUUGAGUCCCUAAGUGAAAGCCUAAACAACCCAAUCAUCAGAUCCAUUCGUUCCAUUUGAAAAAGGGACAUGAAUUCCCUGAGCAUCUCGCUCUCCUUCUGUUUGACUUUGAAAAUGUCUGAUUUUCUGGUUUCGACCUUGAUGGCACCGGCAUGUGCUUUUACGAAAGAGUCUGCAAGGAUAGCAAAUGAGUCAAUAAAAAUAAGAGGUAAGUUGUGAUACCAUAUCAUGGCUCCCUUUGACAGGGUCUCCCUAAAUGGUUUCAGCAAAACAGAUUCGAUUUCGUCGUCUUCCAAGUCGUUCCCUUUGAUGGUACAUGUAUAAGAGGUUACAUGCUCAUUUAGAUUGGUCGUUCCAUUGUACUUAGAAAUUUUGUAUGCCCGAAAUUUCUUGGGGAUCAUUUUUGGGCCGCGCUUGGAGGAAAAGGUUUUUGCACGAACUUCUUGGAAUCCAGUCCCUUCAAUAUCAGGGGCGCUCCUGGGAUUUGAUCUACCCUAGAAUUAUAGGUUUUGACUUUUUUAUCGUUCGCUUCGAUCUUUUUUCCCCCCUGACUCUAUCCUCUUUGUCAGCUCCUCGAGUAUUUUUAUAAUUUCGGGGUUAGUCCCUAACUCUUGUUCAUUCGACCUUACCACAGCCGGUUCCGAUAUGCGGGUGACUUCUUGGGGUUGAUCGGGUUCAACCCUGCUCGGUGCUUGAGUUUGGCUCUGCAACUGGGCUAUCACCUCCUGUUGAGCUUGCAGCAUUUCGAAGAUCAUGCGUAGGAUGAUCUCGUCUUCUUCAAUGUUUUGUGUGUUUGGAGCUGCCGAUCGGGCUCCACUACAAACGUUAUUUUCAGGGUCGGUAGGCAAGUUUGCGUCGAUGGCCACAUGUGAAUUUACAUCAAUUGAAUCCGCAGUUUGAAUUCCAACGGCAUCAGCGAGUGGCCCCGCAUUAGUGGGCGCCAUGUUGUUAUUCUCACCUUGAUGACCGGCUUCGUUGUCGAUAUGUAGAGGUGUUAAUUGAGAGUUUAUCAUUUUUAGCCUGAAAUCAAAGACACUUCAAAGAGAAAGUGUAAAGUAGUGUGUGUUAUGGAUAUUUGUAUCAAAUAACAAUUAUAAUCCUUAGCCCCACGGUGGGCGCCAAACUGUUUACCCUCAAACAAUUAAAUUUAUACGCGAUUUUAAGGAUACGUGAUCUAAUUUGAUACAAAGCUAGAAAUCAGAUUUAAUAUGGAAGAACAAAUAAAUACAAACCAUGCAGAUUGAACAACUUAAGCCUCGUAUGGUUAACUUUCUUCGAAUCUAGAUGUGUUGUUAUUGAAGCCAGAAUAAUAUGAACAAAGAUGAAAAAAUGGUAUGCUGCUCUUUGAAGUAUGUUAUAAUGUGUCCCCUCAAUUAUUAAGUUCCCUCUAUAUAUUUGGGAAGAUAAGCUUUUAAGACAUUAUUUUAUAAGAAAUUAUGUAGACCGUUGGCUCCUUUUUUGACUUAAUUCCGUAAUUUCUGCCAUAAUGAUUGGUUAAUGGUGAGAGUCACGGAUCCUUGUCGGAUGAGCUGGUGAAACUUUUCUUCGAGGCCGUUAGAAGCAGGAUCGGUCGUGCCCUCGGUAAACUCGAGGGCAAAUCUGAUGGUCUUGUCGAACUUCGAACCUCGAUAUCGAGCUCGGUUUCAUUUGUAACUUCGAUCUCUUGUAGAUGUGGCGAGCCUGGUCUACUGUUCCAGAUGCUCGACCAAGCAUGGAGCUCGAUUUUAUCCAUAUACAAAGUUGUUGUAUCAAAUUAAAUGUUAAUUUUCCAAAUUUAAGUUUUAUAUAUAUGCUUACCGUUUUUACGGCUUUUCACGCUAUCAAUAUAAAUUGAGCCAAUUGUAGUAUGUUAAUUACCCUGUUUUCAUGUUUCUAAUUUAGUUUAAUAUAUUAAAAAACGUUCAAGGGUUUGGGUUAGUGUGGGGAUUGGGGUUAGUAUAUGUUAACAAAAAAACAAAAAGAUAAUGUGUAAUAUUUGUUGGAUGUUUCCCUAGACUUUCGUUGGGGAUCGCUUUUCUCCAACAACUCUCGAGAAAAAGACUAUAAUAAAGUCAAAAAUAGUCCAAGUGUCAAACUCCAGCUAUUAAUUUAGUAUUAAAGUGAAAACUACAGCUAUUAAAUAAAUAAAUUAGUACUAAAGUCCGGCACUUUCGAAAGACUCGUGUGGAACUAACAUGCUUCUUGUUUUCAUUUACCGAGUAGCAUACAGUGUUAGGCAAGCAUUAGAGUGGAAACUUCAUAGCCAAGCUUUAUUACCUUUUUUGUUGUUAAUAUAUUAACAUAUUAAUUAACAUUGCAUUACAAUUUGAAUUCUUACCAGAUAUAUUAAUACUAUAUGUCAAUUACGGAAGGGUCUUUUCCAUCGUUAGCUAAAUCUGAAGAAAACAAAUUAAAAUAAUGAGUCAUGUGAUAAAUAUAAGCAUAUCCACAAUACUUAUAUACAACAAAUAUAGUAACAAUAUUAUUACCUUGUUCAAGCUGCUCGAUUUUAUCAAUAUCUUCCUCAACACUAACAUGUUGUUUUAAUUUUUUAUUUCGAAGCCAAUCUUGAAGACACACUAGAGCUUGCACCAAUUUAGGAGUUAAUGAACUCCUAAAUGAAUCAAGAAGACGUCCUCCCGUACUAAACGUACAUUCGGAUGCCACGCUUGAAACCGGAACCGCUAAUACAUCACGAGCCAUCUCCGCAAGAACAGGAAAUCUAGCUUAGUUCAAUUUUCACCAGAGAAGAACAUCAAAUUCUUUAGAGUCAUCCUCAGUUUCUUCACCAAAAUAUUUAUCUAACUCUGUUUUAGUAUCCACACCUCCACUCCCACUUUUAUAUUUUUUUAUAUCUUGCAUUAGUGAUUCUAAAAGUCCUGUAUUUUGGGUGCUUACUUGAUUGUCAGAAAGCCCGGAAGUAGAAGUGUCCAAUGAAGAACAAUCUGAAGAUGAAGCAAGCACGACACCUUUUGAGCUGGACUUUACAUACUCACAAAAUAAUGAAGUCAUGUACUUCUUCACUUCUGCUUGUAUAGUUGUCCCCGGAUCUUCACCAAACAUCUUUACAAGUGCAUAACUAACUGAUUCGAGCUUGUAACGUGGAUCCAAAAUACAUGCGAUGAAAAUUAUCUUGUUCAUUUUUCCUGGAUCACCCCAAUACUUAUUAAACUUUUCCUUCAUCUUCUUUGCCAUUUCACUUAAAACUGUAUCUUCAUUUGCUAUCAAUUGCUUCAAAUAAACAGCAACCGCACAAAUUUCAAGAAAAUGAAUAUUCGAUGUAACAUAACGUGAUCCAGAUAUUUUCAAAGUAAGAAGAUAGAAGAUUUUAAGAAACUUUGUAAUUCUUUUUACAUUCUCCCAAUCACUGCUCAAAAGUUCAUCUGUAGGAAUUCCAACUUCAAUAUAAGAAUGCUUAAGAUAAUGUCUUAGGCCAAUUUCACUAGAUGCAUAGUGUGAAAAUAUACUUUCAAAUUCAACAGCCCUACGCAACAUCAAGUCGGUGGAAUUCCACCUAGUUGGAACAUCCAAGCACAAAGUUUUUUUACAAUUGAGUUGUUCAUCAUCAAAAUAUUCUUGAAACCUCUUCAACCUCGCAGGAGACUGCCUAACAUAUCUCACUGCAUGCCUAACACGUUCAAUAGACACUGAAGAUUCUUUUAAACCAUCCUGGACCACAAGAUUCAUGAUGUGAGCCAUACAUCUCACGUGAAGGUGAUUACCGUUCAUCAAAUUAGUUCCCAUUUUUGUUAAUUUCUUAGACAAUUCUUUUACUGUCACAUCAUUGGAGCUUGCAUUAUCAACUAUGACAGUGAAGAUCUUAUUUAUCCCCCACUCACGUAAGCACCUACGAAUACCAUUUGCCAUAUCUUCUCCUUUAUGACUAACAAUAGGACAAAAAAUUAAUUAUUCUUUUAUGCAUAUUCCAUUCACUAUCAAUCCAAUGAGCAGUGAUACACAUAUAAUUAAUUCUUUGUAUAGAAGUCCAGGUAUCAGUGGUAAUAUAUACUCUUUGUUUCGUUUCUAUAAAAGACCUCUUCAACUUUUACUUUUCUUCAUUAAAAAGAUCAAAACAAUCCCUAGUUACAGUACUACGGGAAGGGAUCCGAAAAUAAGGUUUCGCAACUUUCAUAAAGUCUCUAAAACCUUCUUUCUCAACAAAGCUGAAAGGAAGCUCAUCAACUAUUACCAUACGACAUAACGCCUUCCUACACUCUUCUUGAUCAAAUUUCCAAGUAACAACAGCUAUGUCACCCUGACAACCUCCCGGAACAGAUUGAAAACCUAAAUUUGAUUGUUUUUUAUCAACAAUAGCAGGGCGUUUAGGACAUUUAAACAUAUGAGAAAGAAGUGUCGACGUACCGUCUUUGGUCUUAAAAUAAUACUCAAUAAAGCAAUAGUCACAUUUUGCUUUUGUACUCCCUUCAGAAGUAAUAAUUUCUGUAAAAUGAUCCCACACAAUAGACCUUUUUUUCCUUUUUUUGAUUAUAUUUGACUCCGUUGUUUCAGAUUGGCUUAUUGCAUUUGAAUUAGAAGCCCCACUUUCACCCAUCAUCUUAUCACUUUGUAUAUUUUCAGCCAUGCUAUGAGUCACUACAACAAGAAAAGAAAAGAAAUAAAAAUAACUAUUUCCUUAACAGAUAUUUAAACAGAAACUGUCAAAAUCGAUCUCAAAACAGCACAAGGCAACAGUUGGAAUUUCAACAAGAAAAGAAACUUACCAUCUGCUGCUCUGGGCUCUAGCUAUGGCGACAGGGAGAGGCGAGACGACGAGUUAGCGAGUUGGCGAGAGGGAGAGGCGAGAUAGAGAGUCGAGUUAGCGAGAGGGAGACAGUGAGUAUGCUGCUCUGGCUGCUGGGGCCUGGGUGUAAUACUGAAAUUAGCACUUUUAGAUGUUAGGGUUUCUUUUUCUAAUGUCUCAAAUCUGAAUGCCUAAUAGAGUAUUGAUAAAGAAGGGUAUUGGACAAGUGGACAACUGUAAAGAAACACUUUAAGUUUUAAAACUUUUGCAGUAUUGAUAAAGAAGGGUACUGGACAAGUGGACAGCAAAGAAACACUUUUAAGUUUUAACACUUUUGCUUGUAUAAUGCCACGGCCCACGAUAAGAAAGAGAUUUUUAUUACUUAUUUUAUAUACAUAUUAUAUAUAUAUUCUUAACGGGUUAACGGAUUAUCCGUUAAGAAAAUUGAAUAAUCCGUCCCCAAACCGAUAAGCCGUUAAUAAAAAUAUUUCAAUCCGUUCCCCAUCCAUUAAGCCGUUAACCCGAUACCAAUAAGCCAUUAAGCCAUUUUUGCGGUUCGGUUUUCGAUUUCGGUUCGGUUUUGAACACCCCUAGCAUACAGUAUUAGCCAAGCAUUAGAGUGGAAACUUCAUAGCCAAGCUUUAUUACCUCUUUUAUUGUAAAUUCAAGUGGUACAUUAUGGUCCAAUUCCAGCGAUUAUUUUUACCAAUUUAGCCAGUCAAAUACUGUAUUAACUUAUGCAAAAUUUUGGGUAAGGAAUCAAUUUUUCUAUUACCUUCAGCCGAACGACCCCUAAGUAAAAGUUAAAUUCAGUAGUCCUAAAAUGAAAAUUAAAAGAAAAAAACAGUAUAGUGAUAUGUUGAGAAACCAAGGUAUAUAUGUUAAUUUUGCAAAGUGCCCAAAAUAUUUUGUGAUAAAUUAUGCAACACAGCAAACAUAUGCACAAUAUUUAUCAUUUGUAGCUAUACAUUUAAAAAAUUACCAUAUGUAGCUAUACUUGAAUUUUAUAUUCAAUCCACUUGUAAUAUUGAAACAAGAGAUCAAUUAUUUUAAACUAAAAGAAGAGAUCAACAACCAUUACAUGCAUGUUGGAUUUAGUAUAAAAAAAAUUAAGUUUAAGAUAUAGGCUAAGAAGUUUUGGAAAUCGUUACAUGUUUGGAUUUAAUAUUAGAAUGACUUAUUUUUUUUGAUUUUUCACUUGAUGUCUGGUAUUUUCAUGGAAGCCCCGACCUUAGCAUUUUUCUAUCUGAAUUUUUUUAAAUUUCAAGACUCGUACUCAUGACUUUUGAUUGAGGGUAAUAAAUUUUGUCUAUUCCACCACGAACUCAUGACCUGUAUGAUUAAGUUUAAUUUAGGACUGAAGAAGGGUGGUAAAGCUAGCCUAAGAUGUUUCCACCACAUACUUCGUGGUCAAGGCACAUACUUAGUAGAAUAUAGUAUAUACAUUAUCUGGCACUAAAUGAUUAAUGAAUAUUGGAACGUGCAGAGUCCAGAUCAUGACCAAUGUAUAAUGUGAAAAAGCCAAAGCCCGACAUACAAAAGAAAUUCAAUAGAAUUAAAAAAUGAACCCUCGUUUCCAGAUUACGUAGUAGUAUUUUUUAAUAUGUUCCUGAAAUACUUGGUGGCCAAGACACUCGGUCGCAGAAUAUUACUCCAUCUCGCACUAAAUGAUUGGUGCCUGGAAACUCUUACGUGCAAAUCAUGCUAAUUUUCUUACCACGCAAACUCAGAGCCCCACGUUCAAAAGAAAUUCCAUAGAAUGAAAAAGUGAAGCAUGUAGCUACACACGAGUUUCAAAUAGAAUUAGUUAAUAGCUCGAGUUGGUCUAUCUUUUCACUUUUGCCCUUUUUAUUUCACAAAGCUUUGGGGGAAAAAGCGACCCAACCGGAGGCCUGGAAAAUUUCGAAAACAAACAUUAGUCUCAAGAGAUAGCCCAGUCCCUAGUGUCUUGAUAAUUACAAUUAUGUACUUUAACAUAUUCUUAAAACAUUUCACAUAAAUUUAGGGCAGAUUAAUUUUCUUUACUACCUUUACUAUUUUCAAGAAUUAAAGUUGUGUAUACGGUCAAAAUCCGAGUUUGCCCUUCGUAUGACUAAUCAAGAUUGAAACGUAAUAGUCCGAGGUUCAUCAUUGUUAUAUCGGGCCAUGAUGCGAAGUUAGGUUGUCGAGCUCGAGCCCCAGAGACCGAUCAAGAUCGAUAUCGGCCAAGACCAAUUUCGAGAUCCAGAGACCGAUCAAGAUCGAGCAAAAAAACAAAAAAGUUGUUAUAGCCGCAAUUGGGAGAGAAUUUCGACAGAAAUCACGACGCAAAUCAAGGAGAAACUAAUUAAUUAAUCUAUCAUGGAAUCCCCACUAUGUAUUUUUUACAAUGAUUUCCCCACUAUAUUAAGGGUUGUUACCAUUAGUAGAAGAAGGAUGGAUACAGACUCAUGGAGAUUCAUUGAGAUCCAUAGAAUAAAAGGCAACAACUAUCUUUCUUCUAUUUUCAGAUUUUUAGCCAUAUUGUUCUUCUAUUAGUUGCUCUUCAUUGAAUUUGAAAGUGAUAAAACUAGAAGGCUUUGGCUAACUAAUCCAUUUGGUUUGCAUUCAUCUCUUUUACAGCUAAUUUAGAUAUUCACUUAUUUAUCUUUCCCAAUUUAUACCAAGUUAUACCACGUAUCCUUAGAACUACGUAUAAAUUUAAUUGCCUAUCUAUUUUUUGGGUAAAACAGUUUGGCGCCCACCGUGGGGCCAAGGAUAAUAGUGGUUACUUGAUACAAAUCUUUGUAAAACACACUAUUUCGCACUUGCUCUUGGAAGUAUCUUUGAUUUCGGGUUAAAAAUGACGAACUUUCAAUUAGUGCCCCUACAUAUUGACUACGAAUAUGGUAAUCAAGAUGAGAAUAACAAAGUGGCGCCCGGGGACAAAAGGCCACCUGCUGACCCCGUUGGGACUCGGGCUAUGGAUCCAAUUGACGUUAACUCACAUGUGUCCAUUGAAGUUAACCAACAUUCCGGCCCUGAAAAAAAUAUUCAUGGUGGAACUCAAUAUGCAGUUCAAAAUACCCAAAAUAUUGGAGAAAACGAGAUCAACCUGCGUAUGAUUUUCGAAAUAUUGCAAGCUCAACAGGUAGCGAUAGCUCGAUUGCAGAGCCAAACCCAGGCACCAAGCAGGCGUGAGUCCGGUCCACCCAAAGAAGUCAUCCACAGAACGGGGCGAGCUGUAGUAAGGUCAAAUGAACAAGAAUCGGGGACUAACCUCGAAAUUAUAAAGAUGCUUGAGGAACUGACAAAACAGAUAGAGUUAGGAGAAAAGAGGAUUGAGGCAAACGAUAAGAAAGUAGAAACUUAUAACUCCAGGGUUGAUCAUAUCCCGGAGGAACCACCAAUAUUGAAGGGUUUGGAUUCCAAAAAUUCCGUACAAAAACCUUUCCCCCCGAGCGCAACGCCCAAAUCAAUCCCCAAGAAAUUUCGCAUGCCCGAGAUUCCUAAAUAUAAUAGAACGACCGACCCCAACAAGUGUGUUACCUCUUACACGUGUGCCAUUUAAGGGAACGAUCUAGAGGAUGAUGAGAUUGAAUUUGUAUUAAUAAAGAAAUUCGGGGAGACCCUGUCAAAGGGAGCAAUGAUAUGGUAUCAUAAUUUACCACCUAACUCUAUCGACUCUUUUGUCGUGCUUGCAAAUUCUUUUGUAAAAGCACACGUCGGAGCCAUAAAGGUCGAAACUAAGAAGUCGGACCUUUUCAAGGUAAGGCAAAAAGAGAACGAGAUGCUAAGAGAAUUUGUAUCUCGUUUUCAAAUGGAACGAAUGGAUCUACCACCGGUCACAGACAAUGGGCCCGUUCAAGCUUUCACUCAAGGCCUAAACAUACGAAGUUCGGUAGCCUCACAACAGUUAAAGCAGAACUUGAUCGAAUAUCCAGCUGUAACUUGGGCCGAUGUACAUAAUCGGUACCAGUCAAAGAUUAGGGUAGAGGAUGACUAGUUGAGGGCUCUUUCCGGGUCCGUUUAUCCAAACAUGACCAUCGACAGAAUUAAAAAGGAUAUUGAUUGGGAACCACGGUUAAACAAAAAUCGAUAUCAGCCAUACAGUGGAGAUCAGAGAAAUAACGGGCCUGGACGUAACACCGUUCGAAUUGACAGAAGAAAUGAUCAAGGACAGAGCUCUCGAGGGCUCAUGAUUAAGAGUAGUUUCGACAAAAAUGUCGAACCCAAAGAAGCACCACGACUAACGGAAUACAACUUUAACGUUGAUGCCUAAGCUAUUGUAUCGGCCAUAGGGACCAUCAAAGACACCAGGUGGCCCCGACCUAUACAGACUGAUCCAGCCUAGAGAAAUCCUAAUCAAAUGUGCAAAUAUCAUGGCACUCAUGGUUAUAGAACAAAAGAUUGCAGAUAGUUGAGGGAGGAGGUAGCCCGUUUGUUCAACGAAGGGCAUCUUCGAGCAUUCUUAAGCGAUCGGGCUAAAAAUCACUUCAAGAACAGAUAUUCAAACAAACAAAAUGAGCAAGAAGAGCCGCAACACGUGAUCCACAUGAUUUUUGGAGGGGUCGAUAUUCCUCAGGGACCCGUAUUCAAAUACACCAAGAUGUCAAUCACCAAGUUCUGAAGUUCCCGACAUUGGAGGGAGUCAAAAUAGUGUACGGGGAGCAAACCGCCGCUAAGGAGAUAUUUGCAGUCGAUGAAGUGAUACAAGCAUCGACAUUCUCAUCAACGAGGGGAUCGGGUUCAAAGGAAAAGCAGGAGGCCAAAUAGAAACCACAGAUACCGGCCUCGACCAAUUUGCAGGAGCAAGGGAUCAACGAGGACGACAACUACUGGAUCCCUUGAUCUUUCAUAAUCCCCGAUGACUCUGACGCCACCAAGUCAACGGUCGAAGAGCUGGAACAAGUCAAACUGGCCAAGCAUUAGCCCGAACGAAAGGUAUACCUGGGCACGGGGCUAAACCCUGAGCUCAUGAAAAAACUUAUUCAUUUCCUUAAAGCUAAUGUGGAUUGCUUUGAUUGGUCCCACCUCGAUAUGAUAGGGAUUCCACUAGAAAUUACCACUCACAAACUAAGCCUGGACCCUAAAUUCCGCCCGGUGAAGCAAACAAAAAGGCCCCCAGUCCGANNNNNNNNNNNNNNNNNNNNNNNNNNNNNNNNNNNNNNNNNNNNNNNNNNNNNNNNNNNNNNNNNNNNNNNNNNNNNNNNNNNNNNNNNNNNNNNNNNNNNNNNNNNNNNNNNNNNNNNNNNNNNNNNNNNNNNNNNNNNNNNNNNNNNNNNNNNNNNNNNNNNNNNNNNNNNNNNNNNNNNNNNNNNNNNNNNNNNNNNNNNNNNNNNNNNNNNNNNNNNNNNNNNNNNNNNNNNNNNNNNNNNNNNNNNNNNNNNNNNNNNNNNNNNNNNNNNNNNNNNNNNNNNNNNNNNNNNNNNNNNNNNNNNNNNNNNNNNNNNNNNNNNNNNNNNNNNNNNNNNNNNNNNNNNNNNNNNNNNNNNNNNNNNNNNNNNNNNNNNNNNNNNNNNNNNNNNNNNNNNNNNNNNNNNNNNNNNNNNNNNNNNNNNNNNNNNNNNNNNNNNNNNNNNNNNNNNNNNNNNNNNNNNNNNNNNNNNNNNNNNNNNNNNNNNNNNNNNNNNNNNNNNNNNNNNNNNNNNNNNNNNNNNNNNNNNNNNNNNNNNNNNNNNNNNNNNNNNNNNNNNNNNNNNNNNNNNNNNNNNNNNNNNNNNNNNNNNNNNNNNNNNNNNNNNNNNNNNNNNNNNNNNNNNNNNNNNNNNNNNNNNNNNNNNNNNNNNNNNNNNNNNNNNNNNNNNNNNNNNNNNNNNNNNNNNNNNNNNCAUAGUGGUAGUCCCUAAGAAGGGAAACAAACUUAGAAUGUGUGUAGAUUAUAAAGACCUGAAUAAAGUAUGCCCAAAGAUUCUUUUCUUUUGCCUAAUAUCGAUCAUAUGAUCGAUGCCACGGCCAGCCACAAGACUCUCAGUUUACUCUAUGCAUUCUCCGGAUACAACCAGAUAUAGAUGAACCCAGAGGAAUAGGAAAAAACCUCGUUUAUCACUAAGUACGAUACCUACUGUUAUAAUGUAAUGCCAUUCAGUCUAAAAACUAUUGGUGCAACUUAUCAACGCCUAAUAAAUCGAAUGUUCGAAGAACAAAUAGGAAAAUCAACGGAAGUUUCUAUUAAUGACAUAUUAAUUAAGUCCCUGCGAGCAGAGGACCAUUUAAAGCAUUUGCAGGAGACUUUCGAUACACUAAGGAAGUACAAUAUGAAGCUCAACCCCGAAAAGUGUGCAUUCGGGGUUGGCUCGGGCAAGUUUCUUGGUUUCAUGGUGUCCAACCGAGGAAUUGAAAUCAACCCCGAUAAAAUCAAAGCUAUCGAGGAUAUCACGGUAGUAGAUAAUGUAAAGGUCGUGCAUAGGCUGAUGGGGCGGAUAGCCGCUAGGACGAUUCAUUUCGAGAUCCUCAGAUAGGAGCCACUGAUUCUUUUCGUUGCUUAAGAAGAAGAGAAAUUUUUCAUAGACUCCGGAAUGCCAGCAAGCCUUGGAGGAACUAAAGUGGUAUUUAUCGAGCCCGUCGCUACUUCACACUCCGAAAGUGGACGAACAACUUUACCUGUACUUGGAAGUCUCGGAGAUAGCGGUAGGUGGAGUUCUGAUCCGAGAAGAACAAGGUACAUAAUUCCCUAUCUCUUAUGUUAGUCAGACCUUAGGUGAGGCCGAAACUAGAUAUCCACACUUAGAAAAAUUAGCACUUGCUUUAAUAAGCGCCUCUAGGAAACAAAAACCAUAUUUCCAAUGUCAUCCAAUAUGUGUUGUUAACAACUUAUCCUCUUAGAAAUAUUUUGCACAAACCCGAGCUUUCGGGUUGAUUGACCAAAUGGGGCAUAGAAAUCAGCGGGUACGAUAUUGAGUAUCGACCCCAAACAACCAUCAAGUCUCAAAUCUUUGCGGACUUCGUGGCUGACUUUACGCCGGUCCUCGUACCCACGGUUGAAAAAGAAAUACUGAUAAAAUCGGGUACAUCUUCGGGAGUCUGGACCCUCCUUACGGAUGGUGUUUUGAACGCGAAGGGGUUCGGACAAGGCAUCGUACUAAAAUCACCCACAGGUAAUGUAGUUAGACAGUCUAUCAGAACUACAAAUUGACUAACAAUGAGGCCGAGUAUGAGACCAUGAUUGCAGGUCUCGAAAUAGCUAGAAGUUUGGGAGAGGAGGUCAUUGAGGCUAAGUGUGAUUCACUCCUCGUGGUAAACCAAGUUAACGGGACUUUUGAAGUCCGAGAAGACCGAAUGCAGAGGUACUUGCAUAAACUACAUAUGACUCUACAUCGAUUUAAUGAAUGUACCUUACAACAUGUACCUCGAUUACAUAACAUCGAGGCCGACGCUCUUGCAAACUUAGGUUCAUCGGUCGAAUACAAGGAACUCAACUCGGGGACUAUCGUACAACUCAUGAAAUUGGUAAUCGAAGAAGGUCACGCCGAGAUAAACUCCACAAGUUUAAUGUGGGAUUGGAGAAACAAAUACAUAGAGUACUUAAAGAACGGGAAGCUUCCAUUAGAUCCAAAAGAUUCGAGAGCUCUUCGCAUAAAGGGAGAACGAUUCACUUUGUCCGAGGACGGGACACUGUUUAGAAGGACGUUUGAUGGACCGUUGGCAAUAUGUUUGGGACCGGGAGAUACCGACUACAUCCUAUGGGAAGUUCACGAGGGCACUUGUGGAAAUCAUUCCGGUGCCGAAUCGAUGGUCCACAAAGUAAACAGAGCAGGGUACUAUUUGACCGACAUGGGAAAUAAUGCAAGGGAGUUCGUUCGAAAAUACGACAAAUGCCAAAGGCAUGCACCCAUGAUUCAUCAACGCGUGGAACUACUCCACUCGGUCCUGUCCCCAUGGCCCUUCAUGAAAUGAGUAAUGGACAUUGUUGGCCCUCUCCCGCCGGCCCCAGGUAAGGUUCAGUUUAUUUGUUUAUGACUGAUUAUUUCUCUAAAAUGGGUUGAAGCACAGGCUUUCGAGAAAGCCAGAGNNNNNNNNNNNNNNNNNNNNNNNNNNNNNNNNNNNNNNNNNNNNNNNNNNNNNNNNNNNNNNNNNNNNNNNNNNNNNNNNNNNNNNNNNNNNNNNNNNNNNNNNNNNNNNNNNNNNNNNNNNNNNNNNNNNNNNNNNNNNNNNNNNNNNNNNNNNNNNNNNNNNNNNNNNNNNNNNNNNNNNNNNNNNNNNNNNNNNNNNNNNNNNNNNNNNNNNNNNNNNNNNNNNNNNNNNNNNNNNNNNNNNNNNNNNNNNNNNNNNNNNNNNNNNNNNNNNNNNNNNNNNNNNNNNNNNNNNNNNNNNNNNNNNNNNNNNNNNNNNNNNNNNNNNNNNNNNNNNNNNNNNNNNNNNNNNNNNNNNNNNNNNNNNNNNNNNNNNNNNNNNNNNNNNNNNNNNNNNNNNNNNNNNNNNNNNNNNNNNNNNNNNNNNNNNNNNNNNNNNNNNNNNNNNNNNNNNNNNNNNNNNNNNNNNNNNNNNNNNNNNNNNNNNNNNNNNNNNNNNNNNNNNNNNNNNNNNNNNNNNNNNNNNNNNNNNNNNNNNNNNNNNNNNNNNNNNNNNNNNNNNNNNNNNNNNNNNNNNNNNNNNNNNNNNNNNNNNNNNNNNNNNNNNNNNNNNNNNNNNNNNNNNNNNNNNNNNNNNNNNNNNNNNNNNNNNNNNNNNNNNNNNNNNNNNNNNNNNNNNNNNNNNNNNNNNNNNNNNNNNNNNNNNNNNNNNNNNNNNNNNNNNNNNNNNNNNNNNNNNNNNNNNNNNNNNNNNNNNNNNNNNNNNNNNNNNNNNNNNNNNNNNNNNNNNNNNNNNNNNNNNNNNNNNNNNNNNNNNNNNNNNNNNNNNNNNNNNNNNNNNNNNNNNNNNNNNNNNNNNNNNNNNNNNNNNNNNNNNNNNNNNNNNNNNNNNNNNNNNNNNNNNNNNNNNNNNNNNNNNNNNNNNNNNNNNNNNNNNNNNNNNNNNNNNNNNNNNNNNNNNNNNNNNNNNNNNNNNNNNNNNNNNNNNNNNNNNNNNNNNNNNNNNNNNNNNNNNNNNNNNNNNNNNNNNNNNNNNNNNNNNNNNNNNNNNNNNNNNNNNNNNNNNNNNNNNNNNNNNNNNNNNNNNNNNNNNNNNNNNNNNNNNNNNNNNNNNNNNNNNNNNNNNNNNNNNNNNNNNNNNNNNNNNNNNNNNNNNNNNNNNNNNNNNNNNNNNNNNNNNNNNNCAUCCAAAAUAUUAAGAAGAGACUGACCGACGCCAAGGGAAAAUAGAGAGAAAUACUACCCGAGGUUCUAUGGGCAUACCGCACAACAUCAAAAUCCAGUACCGGAGCAAUACCGUUCUCGUCAUUUACGGCGCCGAAGCUCUGAUCUCGAUCGAGGUCGGAGAACCUAGAAUCAGGUUUCGAUAUGCAACAGAGGAGUCGAAUAAUAAGACCAUGAAUACGAGCCUAGAAUUAUUGGACGAAAGACGCGAAGCCGCUCUCGUCCGAUUGGCCGCCCAUAAACAGCGGAUCGAAAGGUACUACAAUCGAAGAGACAAUCUUCGACAUUUUAACAUCGGGGACUUGAUGCUAAGAAAAGUCACCCUCAACACUCGAAAUUAUAAUAAAGGAAAACUGGGUCCGAACUAGGAAGGACCGUACCAAGUUCUCAAAAUCAUCAACAAAGGAUCCUAUAAGCUCGGCACGAUGAACGGCGAACAACGGUCGAGCAAUUGGAAUGUAUUACACCUAAAAUGAUACUACUGCUAAGGUACGAACCCUUCCAUUUUCAUUUAUAUUUUAAACUAACCCUUGCAGGUGUUCGACCAGAAACAUCGAUGGAUUCUUCGACACAAAACCUUUAGGUCUGAAAUCAUGCGUUGCACUCUUUUUCCCUUGGAUCGGUUUUGUCCCAAACGGGUUUUCCGACGAGGUUUUUAAUGAGGCAACCAUUGAUCAUGCUAAAUUAGAACAAUUCAACAAUAUCCGAGGCUUCUUUACAAUAAACCUAGAAUACUGGGGGGUAUUGCCCUCGAAUGCUAGCUUUGAUGUGAGGAAGUUACUUCAAGGCAGCAAGGUCUCGAUAGGAAAUAUUUGUAAGGACGAAACGGUCAAACGAACCAUGCCUGUGUAGUUUGCUCGAAGCCUGACAUAGAACAUGUAGACAUGUAUAAUCAAUUAUAAAGAGAAGUGAAUAAAAUAAAAGAGAUAUUAUAGAAAGAAUCUAAAUCUAAGGAGAUUAUGGGCACGAAAUCAUCCGCUAAAGAUUCUCCCACAUAAUGACGUCAAUCAAAGGCAUAAAUCAAGGGAUUUGGUAACAGGGAUAUUCUCUCAUUUAAGGAAGAAAUCACUCAAGCCCGUGAGUCAAGACAGGUCUGCAGAAGAAUCAAUCUCGGAAAGAAUCAAUCUACGAAUACGUCUGAGUACAACUCCUUUGGGUUCACAAUCUUUCAUAAAUAUGUACAAGACUUGAAGGUCUCGAGAAGUAUAAAUACCUACUGCUCUAGCUUUAGAAUGAUAUACUUUGAUCAAAUCAACUUCAGUCUCUUUGUUCUACUUCAAACAAAAUAUUGUAGUCUGUUUUAGAUUCCUUAUGUAACAAAGAAGAGAAGAGAAGAGAGAGAGAGAGAGAGAGAGAGAGAGAGAGAGAGAGAGAGAGAGAGAGAGAGAGAGAGAAGAGAGAGAGAGACGAUGAUGAGAUGACAGUUUUGUAUCAAUUAUUGAGAGAAGAAUGAGUGACAUAAGAUGUUGGUGUAUAACAACAUCAACUCAUCUGUACUAAGCCGCUUCAUACUUGAAAGAGAUCACCCUUGCAACCCAAGGGGAUUGGACAUAAGAUUCACUCUGAAUCCGAACAAGUAUAAAAACAUAAUGUGUCAUUUACUUCCUGCAGUUCAUCUUUACAUUCUAGUCCUGAAAAGUCCAGUCGACUAGAACUCAAAUUAGUCGACUACCUUGAAAAAGAAAAGAAAAAUUACAAUUCACCCCCUCUUGCACUUUCAAUUAGUAUCAGAGCCGGUCUCACACUUUUGCUUAACCGCUUGUGAGAAAAGAUCACGGCCAAUCAAAUAACUGUUGGAGCACUCUUUCAAGAGGGAACGUCAGAAGUCAGGCCACCAUACUAUAAUGGACAACACUUUUCUCACUGGAAAGUGCGAAUGAAAAUCUAUGCAAAAUCUUAUGAUGUGAAAGUAUGACAUGUUAUAAAAAAGGAAAACUAUCCACUACUAGCAGCAGCUCAACCACCCGUUGAUCCUGAAGAUGUAGAUAAAUACACACACGAACAAAUAAUGGUCAUUUAGGUUAAUGCUAAGGCACGAAACUUGUUGUAUAACUCUAUACGUGGAGAAGAGUAUGAGAAGAUUUCAAGUGGUGAUACGACUAAAGAAAUGUGGGGGACAAAUUGGAGGUCACCUAUGAAGGAACCAGCAAAGUGAAAGAAACUCGGAUAAACAUGUUGGUUCAUGACUAUGAACUCUUCCAGAUGAAAGAAGGAGAAUCCAUUGAGGAAAUGUUCGCAAGAUUCAGCAAAAUCAUUAGCGAUCUGAAAGCUUUUGGUAAACCCUAUUCAAGUGGUGAUCAAGUUCGAAAAAUUCUAAGGAGUUUACCUACCACUUGGCAGAUGAAAGUAGUUGCAAAAGGAAAGAUAGUUAGUACCGGUACAUUUCCAUUCGGAAAUAAUUGUGAUAUUACAGAGGUAUAUCUUGUAGAUAGACUCAACUCCAAUCUUUUGAGUAUAAGUCAACUAUGUGAUUCGGGAUAUGAAGUAAAAUUCAAGAAAACAGGAUGUGCCAUUGAGGAUGAAACAGGUAAAAUUAUUCUUCCAGGAAAAGGUAUGGAAAUGUUUAUAUUCUUGAUUAUCACGACCCAAUUUCACCUAUAGGUCGUGAUGGCACCCAACAUCACCGCUAGGCAAGCCAACUAGUAAAUUUACAUAUAUUCCCUCUUUUAAUAAAUUUUUCCGAUGUAAUUAACUUCCCUUACUAGCAAGGUUUAAGAAAAAUAGAAAAUCUAAUUAGAUAAAAUUCCAAAAUAAUAAUUUCAAGACCAUAAUUCUACUAGUGUAUGUGCCAAGACCUGGUGUCACAAGAGUAUGAGCAUCUAGUAGAUUAUACAAAAUCCAAAAUACUAUCUGAACAUAAAAUAGACAGAAUACAAAUACAAAUGGAGACACUAGGUGCUACGGAACGGCUCAGGAAAAAUAGCUCACCACUAGGCAUCGAGAUAACGUGGGUGCGCACCGGUAGGACUGCCUAAAGUUCUGUCUCAGAUCCUGCACAAAAAGUGCAACAAUUGUAGUAUGAAUCCGUAAAUAAUGUGUACCCAGUAAGUAUCAAGUCUAAUCUCGAGGAAGUAGUGAUGAGAGGUCGACUUUGACACUCACUAUGGGUCAAUAAUAUUAAAAUAAAAAUAUUUAAACAAACACAAUUUAUGUGAUCAUUAUUAAUAUUUUCUUAACAGGCAAAUAUUCCCUCUUACAAGGUUAGACAAGAGACUUACCUUGUCUCAAAGUUCACUUCCCGAUCACAAUAUCGCCUUAAAGCCUCAAUUCGGUGCCAAAAAAUCCGAAACUAUCCAAUGUUAUAUAAUUUAAUCAAUACAUGCUCAAUAAUUUGAAAUUGGACUAUUAGAUUAAUUACCCAACCCAAAUUGGUAAAAUUUCUAAAAUUCACCCCGGGUCCACGUGCUCGGAUUCCAAAAUUCUUCAGGGAAAAUCGUUACCCAUAAUCGCAAGAACAAAAAUAUACAAUUUUCAUCCCAUUCCAUAGCCAUUUGCGUGGUUAAAAUCUCAUUUUUUUCAAAACCUAGUUUUUUCAUCUAAACCCUUGAUUUCCACAAUUUACAUAUUAUAAUCUACCCAUAAUCUAUGUAUUUAACUCACAAUAGGUAUAAUUAACUUACCUCCAAGUUUCUAGGUGAAUACUCCUCUGAAGAAGUUCGAAAAUCGCCCAAACAUGAAGCAAAAUAAGCUAAAUAUACGCAACUCCGGACUUAAAUGCAGGUUCUGCCUCCUGCGAUUUUCGCACCUGCGGAGAGCUAGCCACACCUCCGGCUCCACACCUGCAGAAGAAUCCACGCAGGCGUCAGUUCCCCCCACUUGGCCUGGCUCCGCACCCACGGACAAGAGGCUGCUUCUGCGCGUCCGCAGGUGCGAGACAUUCUUUGCGCCUUCGCAUUUCCCCCGAUUCUACGCCACUGCCCUCGCACCUGUGCGCUCGCAGGUGCACCAAAUAUUCUGCACCUGCGGUUGCUGGGCAUGCCUUCACUAGUCCGCACCUGCGGCUCGUGGCUUGCAUCUGCGAGCUCGCACCUGCGGCUCUCCAAGCACAGGUGCGAUUGCACUAGAAGCUGGAAGCUCCAAUUAUUGCUUCCAAGUACAAACUUGGUCCGAGCCUCAUCCGUUUAACACCCGAGGCCCCCGAGGCCCCUCCCGAAUAUACCAACAAGUUUGAAAUCAUAAAACGGACUCGCUCAAACCCUCGGAACGUGUAAAACAAUAUCAAAACUAAAAAUCAUGCCUCAAACCAAAUUGAUUCAACUUAGAAAUUUCAAAUUCUUCAAACUUACUCCGAACGCGCCGAAGCAUACUUAAACUACUCGGAAUGACACCAAUUUUUUGCGUGAAAGUCUUAAAUAACCAUACGCAACUAGUCCCAGGCUCGGAAUUUCAAACAGACCUCGAUUCCUCCAAAACCUUCUCCAAACCAAAUUUAAUUAACUUUAAGCUUUCAAAUAGCUAACUUCCACUAUUAAACACCGAAACGCUCCCAAGUUGUCCAAAAUCCGAUUCAAACAUACGCCCAAGUUCAAAAUCAUCAUACAAACCUAUUGGGACCGUCAAAUUCUGAUUCUAAGGUCGUUUUCUCAAAAUGUUGACCGAAGUUAAACUUAGCCUUUUUAAAGCCAACUAAGGAACCAAAUGUUCCGAUUCUAACCCGAACUCUUCCAAAUCCCGAACUAACCAUUCCCGCAAGUCAUAAAAUAGUAAAAGCACAUACGGGGAGCCUUAUUUAGGGGAACAAGGUUCUAGAAGGCAAAACAACCGGUUCAGUCAUUAUAUUCUCCACCUGUUAGACAAAUGUUAGUUCUCGAACGAGUUUAAAAUCAUACCUGGAGUGCUGAAUAAGUGUGGAUAUCUUCUCUGCAUGUCCUCCUCGGCCUGCCAAGUCACUUCCUCGACUGGUUGGCCCCUCCACUGAGCUUUUACAACAUAAAUCUUCUUGGACCUCAACUGGCGAACCUUCCUAUCAACAAUGGCAAUUGGUUCCUCUUCAUUGCCCAAGCUCUCAUCUAGCUGAACUGUGCUGAAGUCUAACACAUGUGACAAGUCGACAUGAUACCUCCGGAGCAUAGAUACAUGGAAAACCGGAUGAACUCAUGAUAGACUGGGAGGCAAAUCAAGCUCGUAAGCAACCUCCCCAACUCGUCUCAACAUCUCAAAUAGGCCUAUAAACCUUGGGCUCAACUUGCCCUUCUUCCUGAAUCUCAUGAUUCCCUUCAUCGGCGAAACCUUUAAGAGAACGUUUUCACCCACCAUAACUCUUCUGUCUGGACUGUGCUGUAUGAAGUCGCUCCUGAAUCAACUUCACCUUUUCCAACGCAUCCUUCACUAAAUCAGUACCAUAUAACUUAGCCUCGACGGGCUCAAACCAUCCGAUGGGCGAACGACACCGCUGACCAUAUAAAACCUCAAAUGGAGCCAUCUCGAUGCUGGAUUGGUAACUGUUGUUAUAAGCAAACUCGUCCAAAGGCAAGAAACGAUCCCACUGACCUCCGAAGUCAAUCACACAUGCCCUGAGCAUAUCCUCUAAAAUCUGAAUUAUUCGCUCCGACUUCCCGUCGGUCAGCAGAUGAAAUGCUGUGCUGAGCUCUACACGGGUCCCCAAUUCACUCUGUACUGCUCUCCAAAAAUGUGAAGUAAACUAAGAACCCCUAUAUGAUAUGACGGAAAUUAGCACACCAUGCAACCAAACUAUCUCCUGAAUAUAAAUCUGGGCCAACCUCUCUGAAGAAUACGUAGUCACAACCGGAAUGAAGUGUGCCGACUUGGUCAACCUGUCGAUAAUGACCCAAACUGCAUCAAACUUCUGCAGGGUCUGCGACAACCUAACUACAAAGUCCAUAGUAAUGUGUUCCCAUUUUCACUCUGGUAUAGUCAUUUGCUGAAGUAAACCACCUGGCCUCUGGUGCUCAUACUUAACUUGCCGACAAUUUAAGCACCUAGCUACAUACUCAACUAUGUCUUUCUUCAUCCACCGCCACCAAUAAUGCUAUCUCAGAUCACGAUACAUCUUCGUAGCACCUGGAUGAAUAGAAUACCGAGAGUUGUGUGCCUUCUCUAGGAUCUUUUCCCUCAAGCCAUCAACUUUAGGAACACAUAGGAGACCUUGGAGUCACAUAACACCAUCAUCACCAAUAGUAACCUCUUUUGCACCACCUUGUAGUACUGUUUCCCGAAGAACCAACAAGUGUGGGUCAUCACACUAGCGAGCCUUGAUCUGCUCAAAUAGUGAAGACUGGGCAACGACACACGCAAGAACCCGGCUGGGCUCUGAAAUAUCCAGCCUCACAAGUCUGUUAGCCAAGGACUGAAUGUCCAAAGCUAAUGGCCUUUCCUUUGCUGGAAUGAAUGCCAAGCUACCCAUACUUUCCGCCUUUCUACUCAAGGCAUCUACAACUACAUUCGCUUUGCCUGGAUGAUAAAGGAUAGUAAUAUCAUAAUCUGUUAGUAACCCAAGCCAUUUGCGCUGCCUCAAAUUUAGGUCCCUCUGCUUGAACAAAUGCUGCAAACUACGAUGAUAAGUGUAAACCUCACAAGACACCCCGUAAAGAUAAUGCUUCCAAAUCUUAAGAGCGUGAACAAUCACAGCUAACUACAAAUCAUGUACUAGGUAAUUCUUCUCACGGGGCUUCAACUGACGUGGGGCAUAUGCAAUAACUCGCCCCUCCUGCAUCAAUACACAACCCAAAGCCAACACGUGAAGCGUCUCCCUGAACUGGAAUGCAGCACUAACACUGGUGUUGUAGUCAAUGCUGUCUUGAGCUUCUGAAAUCUCACCUCAUAAUCAUCGGACCAUCGUAACGGAGCAUCCUUCUGGGUUAAUUUGGCCAAAGGUGCUGCAAUAGAUGAAAAGCCCUCCACAAACCAACGAUAAUAACCUGCUAACCCCAGAAAACUCCUGAUCUCGGUCGCCGAGGUGGGACGGUGCCAAUUCUGAACUGCCUCAAUCUUUUUGGGAUCAACUUUAAUACCUUCACUCGAUACAAUAUGCCCCAAGAAUGCUACAGAGUCUAGCCAACAUUCACACUUGGAGAACUUAGCAUAUAACUUUUGUUUCUGCAACGUCUGAAGCACCACUUUCAAAUGCUGCUCGUGGUCCUCCAUACUACGUGAGUAGAUCAGAAUGUCAUCAAUGAAGAUAAUGACAAAUGAAUCAAUAUACGGCCUAAACACCAGGUUCAUAAGAUCCAUAAACACCGCUGGGGCAUUAGUGAAACCGAAGGACAUCACCAGAAACUCAUAAUGGCCAUAUCUAGUCCGAAAAGCAGUCUUCGGAAUAUUUGAAUCCCCAAUCUUCAACUGAUGGUACCCCGAUCUCAAAUAGAUCUUAGAGAACACUCUGGCACCAUGCAACUGGUCAAACAAAUCAUCAAUACGCGGCAACAGGUACUUGUUCUUAAUGGUAACUUUGUUCAAUUUGCGAUAAUCAAUACACAUCCGCAUAGUCCCAUCUUUCUUCUUCACAAAUAAAACUGGUGCACCCCAAGGUGAUACAUUUGGCCUGACGAACCCCUUUGCUAACAACUCCUCAAAUUGUUCCUUCAAAUCUUUCGGAGCCAUACGAUAUGAUAGGAUAAAUAUAGGUUGGGUAUCUGGAGCUAGGUCAAUACAGAAAUCAAUAUCACGAUCUGGUGGCAUGCCUGAAAGAUAAGAAGGGAACACAUCGGAGAACUCUCGGACUACGGACACUGAAUCAAUUGCUGGAGUCUCUACAGUACUGUCCCAAGCAUAGGCCAAAUAAGCCAAACAACCCUUCUCGAGCAUGUGUCGAGCCUUUAGAAAGGAAAUAACCUGACAAGAUGCACUGGCAGACGAACCCUUUCACUCCAAUCUAGGCAACUCCGACAUCGCCAAAGUAACAGUCUUAGCAUGGAAAUCUAGGAUGGCAUGAUAUGGGGAUAGCCAGUCCAUGCCCAGAAUGAUCUGCAAGUCGGUCAUAUCAAGCAAUAGAAGAUUCGCUCUAGUCUCGUAACCACAGAAAGUAAUAAUACAGGACUGGUAGAUUUGGUCCACAAUAACGAAUUUGCCCACAUGAGUGGACACAUAAAUAGGAGUACCCAAGGACUCACGAGAAACACCUAGGAAAUGAGCAAUUAGAGAUGAAACAUAGGAAUAAGUGGACCCUGGGUCAAAUUAUACUAAAACCUCUCUACCGCAGACAGAAAUAGUACAUGUGAUCACGACAUCUGAGGCCAAUGCAUCUAGUAUGUUCGGGAAAGCAUAGAACUUGGCUGAAGCACCACAUGGCUGGCCCCCACUUGCCUGGCCUCCACCUCUAGAACGACCCCUACCCACCUGCCCUCCGCUCUUAGGCAUACAGAUGUCUAGCGGAGCAACAUGUGCGGUAAUCAUAGGCUGCUGACCCUGCUGCACUGGUCUACCCCGAAGCCUGGGGCAGAACCUUCGUACAUGACUGAGAUCCCCGCACUCGAAAUAACCCCACGGUGUGAUGCACUGCUAACUUGAAGUCUGGCCCUGAUGACAUGAAUACCCAAUGGAGGAGACCUGAAUAGCUGGUGGGCAAUAAGAACUCUCUGGCAAAGAACUGAAAUAAGGUCGCACUGGAGCACCUCUAGGAGGUGGCGGUGUUAGAUAAAGGGGACUGCUGGACUGACCAUUUACCCUAGUUGGGGCACCACUAAACUCUCCCAAAUAUCAAAACUGCUUGUCCCUCGUUGCCUGCUCACGACUCCACUGAUGGACACCCUCAAUCCUCCGAGCUAUCACUACAACUAGCCCGUAAGAAGUCCCCAUCUCCACUUUUCGUGCCAUGGUGGCCUGAAUCCCAGAGUGCAAUCCGGCGACAAACCUCUGCACUCUCUCUGCAUUGGUAGGUAGUAUCAUGAGUUCAUGGUGAGACAACUCAUAGAACCUCGCUUCAUAGUCAGUCACUGACAUCUGACCCUGCUGGAGCUGCUCGAACUGGAACCACAACUCUUCCCUUUGAGAGAUUGGUAUGUACUUGUCCAAGAAGAGGUGUUUGAACUGAUCCCAAGUCAUGGGAGGUGAACCUGCUGGUCUGCCGAGUAGAUGUGACUACCACCACCUACGCUCCCCCUCCAGUUGAAAGUAGUGAAGUCCACCCCAUGGGACUCUAGUAUCCUCAUGUUGUACAGUCUGUCUCUACACCGAUCAAUAAAAUCCUGGGGGUCCUCAUGUCGCUCACCUCCGAAAGCAAGAGGAUGAAGCCUAGUCCAUCUGUCUAGUAGCCUGUACGGAUCACCUUCUACAGCCGACAUGGGUCCGGUGUAGCUGCUGCAACUGGAUAAGCUCCGCCCACGGGUAAUGCACAAUGGGUCUAGUAUACAGCAGUUUCCUGCCCAUGAGCAUGCACGGUAGGGGUCUAUGCUCCCCCUCCCGCCUAAGAUGUAGCCGGGUCUGCCGGAAAUAAACGAUCCCGAAUCAUAGUAUCAAUGAACCGCAUCAUACGGCCCAUGACCUCCUGGAAUCCUGGUGCAGACGUGAAAUCCACCGGAGUUGGCUCUGCUGCGGGCACCUCGCCCUACUCUUCAAUGAUAGGAUCCUCUACUGGAUCCACUGGUGGCAUAGCUGGAGUAACCCUAGGAUGUCCCCGUCCCCUACCACGGGCUGGAGCCCUUCCUGGGCCUCAGCCUCUAACAACAUGGGGAGUAGCUCUUCCCUGGUCUGGAACCUCCGUAGAGCGCGUUCUUACCAUCUGUGAGAGAAAAAGAGAAAUAUACUUAGUACUACAUUAUCUGCACAAUAGGAGAUGAAGAAAGGUGGUUUCCUAACACCCUAUAGCCUCUCAAAGAUAAGUACAGAUGUCUCCGUACCGAUCCGCAAGAUUCUAUUAGGCCUUCUCAUAACUUGUGAGACCUACGUGAACCGAGUGCUAUGAUACCAUGUUUUCACGACCCAAUUUUACCUAUAGGUCGUGAGGGCACCCAAUAUCACCUCUAGGCAAGCGAACUAGUAAAUUUAACAUAUAUUCCCUCUUUUAAUAAAUUUUUCCGAUGUAAUUAAUUUCCCUUACUAGCAAGGUUUAAGAAAAAUAGAAAAUCUAAUUAAAUAAAAAUCCAAAAUAAUAAUUUCAAUACCACAAUUCUACUAGUGUAUGUGCCAAGAUGUGGUGUCACAAGAGUAUGAGCAUCUAGUAGAUUGUAUAAAAUCCAAAAUAUUGUCUGAACAUAAAUAGACAAUACAAAUACAAAUGGAGACACUAGGUGCUGCGUAACGGCUCAGGAAAAGUAGCUCACCACUUGGCCUCGGGAUAACGUGGGUGCGCACCGGUAGGACUGUCUAAAGUUCCUGUCUCAGAUCCUGCACAAAACGUACAGCAAGUAUAACAUGAGUACGUAAACAACGUGUACCCAUUAAGUAUCAAGUCUAUUCUCGAAGAAGUAGUGACGAGAGGUCGACUUUGAGACUUACUAUGGGUCAAUAAUAUUAAAAUAGAAAUAGUUAAACAAACACAAUUUAUGUGAUCAUUAUUAAUAUUUUCUUAGCAGGCAAAAACAAAUAAUUCUUGCACAAUUUGACCAUUUCCAAAUAAUCAUUUACCUUCGCAAGCUGCAAUAAAAUAAUUAGUAAAGCACCGGGUUAUUUUUAUUAUUAAGCACGAUCUAUGUUGAGGUCGUACGACCCGAUCAAGAAUAGUGUAUACACUGCCGAGGAUCGAGCGGCACGAACCAUAGAUGCAUCUAUAAGCGUUCGGCCCACUCCACAAGAAGAGGAGAAUAUUUUAUAAGCAUUCGACUUGAAUAUUAUAUAGAUUUUUAUACAACAAUAAUACUAAUUUCAUAAGCGAACUCCCACAAUUUUUCCAACAAUUACUAAUAUAAUCUAGGCAAUUUUAAAUUGACAAGUAUGAUGCAAUAAUUCCCUCUUACAAGGUUAGACAAGAGACUUACCUCGUCUCAAAGUUCACUUCCCGAUCACAAUGUCUCGUUAAAGCCUCAAUUCGGUGCCGAAAAAUCCAAAACUAGCCAAAUAUUAUAUAAUUUAAUCAAUACAUGCUCAAUAAUUUGAAAUUAGACUAUUAAAUUAAUCACCCAACCCAAAUUGGUAAAAUUUCUAAAAUUUACCCCGGGCCCACGUGCCCGGAUUCCGGAAAUAUUCGGAAGAAAUCGUUACCCAUAAUCUCAAGAACAAAAAUAUACAAAUUUUAUCCCAUUCCAUAACCAUUUUCGUGGUUAAAAUCUCAUUUUUUUCAAAACCUAGGUUUUUCAUCUAAACCCUUGAUUUCCACAAUUUACAUGUUAUAAUCUACCCAUAAUCUAUGUAUUUAACUCACAAUAGGUAGAAUUAACUUACCUCCAAGUUUCUAGGUGAAUACUCAUCUCAAAAAGCUCCAAAAUCGCCCAAACAUGAAGAAAAAUGGGCUAAAAAUACGCAACUCCGGACUUAAAUGAAGGUUUUGCCUACUGCGAUUUUCGCACCUGCGGCGCCGCAGUAGCGAGUUCUCCCGACUUGGCCUGGCUCCGCACCCGCGGAUAAAGGGCCGCUUCUGCGCGUCCAUAGGUCCGAGAUAUUCUUCGCGCCCGCGCAUUUCCCCCGCUUCUGUGCCACUACCUUCGCACCUGCGCGCUCGCAGGUGCGCCAAAUCUUCCGCACCUACGGUUGCUGGGCAUGUCUUCACUGGUCCGCACCUUCGGCUCGUGGCUCGCAUCUGCGGCUCUCCAAGUGCAUGUGCGAUUGCACCAGAAGCUAGAAGCUUUAGUUAUUGCUUACAAGUCCAAACUUGGCCCGAACCUCGUCCGUUUAACUCCCGAGGCCACCAGGACCCCGUCCGAACAUACCAACAAGUUUGAAAUAAUAAUUCGGACUCGCUCAAAUCCUCGGAACGUGUAAAACAACAUCAAAACAAAAAAUCAUGCCUCAAACCCAAUGGAUUCAACUUAGAAAUUUCAAAUUCUUCAAACUUACUCCGAACGCGCCGAAACAUACGUAAACUGCUCGGAAUGACACCAAUUUUUUGCGUGCAAGUCUUAAAUCACCAUACGUAACUAUUCCUAGGCCCGGAAUUUCAAACAGACCUCGAUUCCUCCAAAACCUGCUCCAACCCAAAUUUAAUUAACUUUAAGCUUUCAAAUAGCUAACUUUCACUAUUAAACACCGAAAUGCUCCCAGGUUGGCCAAAACCCGAUUCAAACAUACGCCCAAGUCCAAAAUCAUCAUACGAACCUAUUGGUACCGUAAAAUAUCGAUUCCGACUCCGUUUUCCUAAAAUAUUGAUCGAAGUCAAACUUAGCCUUUUUAAAGCCAACUAAGGAACCAAGUGUUCCGAUUUCAACCCGAACUCUUUUAAAUCCCGAACUAACGAUCCCCACAAGUCAUAAAAUAGUAAAAGUACAUACAAGGAGUGUUAUUUAGGAGAACAAGGUUCUAGAAGUAAAAACGACUAUUUGGGUUGUUACAUUGAUGGCAUUGAAAAUCUAGAUAGUCACAUUUUUCUAGCAUCCAUUUCUGACGAUCCAUGGCUUUGGCAUAAAAAACUUGGUCAUGCAAGCAUGCAUCUUAUUGAAAAACUAUCCAAGCAUGAUUUAGUUAUUGGUCAUCCCAAACUCAACUUUUUUAGAAAUCAUGUAUGUUAUGCAUGUCAUAUUGGUAAACAAACUAGAAACUCUUUCAAAAUCAAGGAUAUUGUGUCCACUACCAAGCCACUGCAAUUACUUCAUAUGGACAUGUUUGGACCCAUUAGAACUGCCAACAUUGGAGGUAAACAUUAUGCUUUUGUUAUUGUUGAUGACUAUUGGUCUCGUCCAAUUUCACACCCAAAUCAAGGUUAUGAAACGGUUGAUUGCAAUAAUAGUACCCAACAAGAGACGAGAUCGAUUUCCACAUGGAGCUAUAUAUGGGAGUUAUGAGUAUAUAUUGUAGUAUGUGAGUUCGACUAUCUUAAUUUACACUUUCACAAAUUUGGGUUGUUUCUAUGUCUAAUUUAAAUCUAAGAUUGCAAAGUUCAGAAAUAAAACUAAGAGAAUUGUUUUUGUUGUUUUUCAGGUUUUGUAAAAAGCGUAGGGCUAUGACCUUCACCUAGAUAUUUGCCUAACGAGAUAUAAACCUUAAUGCUUGUUUUAUUGAUCGGGGUGUAUUAUAGCUAUCAACUCUCAAUUACCCACUCAAUACCUCUCGGUCAGAGAGUGAUUUUGCCCAAUUUGGCUUUCUCAAGUUCAAAUGGGUAUUGCAAGAAACGGUUGAUAAAAGCUCAAGUCGGGUUAUUACUAUCUCUAGGUUGAACCCUUUAAUUGGGAUUAUCAAUCUCUCGAUUGACCCAAUUUCUUGUUAACCAAGUUUUUCUAGAUUAAGACUCUCUUUCUCUAGUAGAGACUAAGUCAAAUAAGUAUGAACUAUUAUUUGCAACCAUUAAUUCCACAAAUUAAAGCAUGAACAAGGCUAAAUAAUAAACACCCAACCAUAAACAAGAAUUAAAUUAAAUACCCAUAAGGUUUACACACUAGGGUUGUGUCACAAUCCUAGUAAAAAUCUAGUUACUCAUGCUUGAAAUUAAAUAAAUAGAAGAAGAAAUGCUAAUUAAACUCAUAUUGUAAAAUUAAAAUAAUAAAAUGUAUGUUAAAAUAUCCCAAAAUAUGAAAAACUAAUUAAAGAAGCAACGAGAAACAACUACUGUAGCUGCUGAUGUCAAAAGUUGACCUAAUUUCGUGAAACUCUUCUAUUUAUACAAAGCUGAUAAUUUCUGACAAAAAUGCCCCUGGGAGGUUAUUCGGCCGCACAAUUCCAUGUGCGGUCCGAAAAUUUCUUCGACUUGUCAGGAAAUGGAGGUUUGCGGCUUUAUAAUUCUGAUCUGUGACCGCAAGGCAUUCUUUCUGUAGUCCACAGAUUUGUAACUGCAGUUGCAACUUAGUUCUGCGGUCCGCACUUUUACUUAUGCGCUCGCAAGGUACUUUUUCUGCGGCCGCACAAUUUUUGUGCGGUUCGCACUUUUGAGGGACUUGGAACUUGAAAAUUUGCACAUUCUCUGAACUUUGUUCCUAGCCCAGUUUUUGCGGCCUCACAAUUCAUGUGCGGUCCGCACUUUGCAUAAAAUUCUGCUGGAUUUUCUUUCAUCAUCUGCAUCCGCAGAUGAAAUUCUGCGGUCCACACUUUGUGAGCUUCUGUGCCUUUUAUUGCCUUGAGUUUAGAUUAAUCCUUUUUGAGUUGGAUUUCAUCUCGGAAGUCCAUCUUCCAAUAUUCCUGCAAUUUAGCAAAUUUCAUCAGUUUCUGGAACACAAUUCAAUGCUUUUAGUCUAAAACAAAAGCUAAAAGGUGCUAAUAAAUAGUCCAAAUCCCCACUUAUCAACUACUCAUGUUUUACAUAUGUAAUUUUCUUAUCUCAUAAAGAUGAAUCUCUCAAAACUUUUGAGAUUUUAUGUAAAAGAAUUGAAAGAGAAAAAGGGUAUCUGAUCACAACCAUCCAAAGCGAUCAUGGAGGAGAGUUUGAAAGUAGAUCCUUUGAAGAAUUCUGUAAUGAUCAAAGAUACACCCAUAAAUUCUCAUCCCCAAGAUCACCCCAACAAAAUGGAGUAGUUGAGCGCAAGAAUAGAACUCUACAAGAUAUGACAAGAAUAAUGAUAUUAGAACAUUCACUGCCAAAUCACUUCUGGGCAGAAGCAGUCAGUACAACAUGUCAUAUUCUUAACAAGUGCCUCAUAAGACCUAUUUUGAAGAAGAAUCCAUAUGAAUUAUGGAAAGGUAAGAAGCCAAAUAUUGGCUACUUUCACCCAUUCAGAAGUAAGUGUUUCAUCACAACAAUGGUAAGGAUAACCUUGGAAAAUUUGACCAAAGGAGUGAUGAAGGUAUUUUUCUUUGUUACUCUAUUAACAGUAGAUCAUUUAGAGUUUACAUCAAACAUACGUUAUCUGUAGAAGAAUCAAUGCAUGUUAUAUUCGAUGAAAUAACUCUAUGGCCGAGAAAGGAAUCAUUACAGGUGAUGAAGACACCAGCCAAGAAGUAUCACAGACAAAUAAACCACAGAAGUCGAUUGAUAUCCCAGCUAUAGUCACGGAGUCGACUAAUGAACAUGUGAUCAAUCCCGCUGAACCACAAAAAGAGACGGCUACUUCUGCAAUCGGAACCCGACCGAAUGAAUGGACAAGUGAACCUGAAUAUUCUCAAAACCUCAUCAUAGGGGAUCCAAGCGAAGGGAUGAAAUCCAAAGACUCUCUUAAAAUGAAAGCAAAUAUUAGACUCAUCUCUCAAGUAGAACCAAAGAAAGUUGAUGAAGCCCUAAAGGACUCCAGCUGGAUACAAGCCAUGCAUGACGAACUUGAUCAAUUCGAAAAAAAACCAAAUUUGGGAAUUUGUUCCUAAGCCUGCAAAUACUACUGUAAUCGGAACAAAGUGGGUAUUUUGAAACAAGCUAAAUGAAAAAGGAAAGGUAGUAAGAAACAAAUCCUAAGCCUGCAAACGCUACUGUGAUCGGAACAACGUGGGUAUUUUGAAAUAAGCUAAAUGAAUAAGGAAAGGUAGUAAGAAACAAAUCCAGACUAGUAGCUCAAGGCUACUUACAGCAUGAAGGAGUCGACUAUGAUGAAACCUUUUCAUCGAUAGCACAGUUAGAAUCAAUUUGUAUAUUACUUGCCUAUGCAUCUUUCAAAGGUUUUAAACUAUUUCAAAUGGAUGUCAAAAGCUCUUUACUAAAUGAUUUUAUUGAUGAGGAGGUAUAUUUAAAACAACCUCCUGAUUUUGAAAACUCACAAUUUCCUUAUCAUGUGUACAAGCUAGCUAAAGUUCUUUAUGGACUCAAACAAGCUCCUCGAACUUAGUAUGAAAGAAUGAGUUCCUUUUUAACUAAUCAUGGGUUCACCAGAGGUAAGGUGGAUACUACUUUAUUGAUCAAGAGAUCUACUGAAGGUAAUAUUAUUAUUCAAAUCUAUGUAGAUGAUAUCAUGUUUGGUAGUACUAAUUCUCUUUUGUGCAAAGACUUUUCAAAUCUCAUGCAAAGUGAGUUCGAAAUGAGUAUGAUGGGAGAGCUGGCAUUUGUUAUUGGACUACAAAUCCAUCAAUUAGAAAGUGGAAUAUUCAUACAAAGGAAUUGAUUUAAAAAUUUGGAAUGAACAAUGCCAAAUCAAUUGGAAUUCAUAUGAGUCCGUCUACAAGUUUAGAUAGGGACGAACAAGGAAAAUCAGUAGACGAAACAAAGUAUCGUGGAAUGAUUGGGUAUCUACUAUAUCUAAUGGCCAGUCGACCCAAUAUCAUGUUCACUGUUUGUAAAUAUGCCAGGUUUCAGUCGGCUCCUAAAAAGUCUCACUUAACAGCAGUAAAGCGAAUUAUUCGCUAUCUCAUUGGAACCACCUCCUACAGACUUUGGUAUCCUCACUCUAACAAUUUUAAACUUGAGGGUUUUUUAGAUGCUGAUCUUGUAGGUGACAAGGAGGACAAAAAAAGCACAAGUGGGACUUUUCAAUUACUGAAAAAAACACUAAUCUCCUGGAAUAGUAAGAAACAUGGAUCAAUGGCUUUUUUCUCAACUGAAGCAGAGUACAUUGCAAUUGGACAAUGUUGUGCUCCAUUUCUAUGGAUGUCUCAUUAAUUGGGUAACUAUGAAUUAUUUUUUAAGCAUGUUCAAAUAUUCUGUGAUAAUUCUAGUGUUAUUUGUCUAUCAAAGAAUCAUGUGCAUCAUUCAAGAGCUAAGCAUAUAGAUAUUAAGCACCAUUUUAUGAGAGAUCAUGUUUUUAAAAGGCAACAUAGAAUUAUUGUUUGUAAGUUUCACUGAUCAAUUAUCAGUACAAAACCUUUGUAGAAGAUAAAUUUUGUGCAUUACGAGUCUCUCUUGGCAUUAUUUUCAUAAACUCAUAACUUUAGGGCCUUUAUGGUGUUUUUUUUAAUUAUUACUGUAUCUUUGUUUAAAUAUUUCCUUAAGUGUGCAAGAUGCAUUAAUUGUGUGUAUGUUACUUUUUCCUUUUUUAUGCCUUUUCACACCCUUUUAGAAACCGGACAAUCAUUGAGUCAAAUCUCUGACGCCUUUUCGUUUGUACUCGACCGCCGUUUAUCGCCUUUUUUAAAGUUCAAAGCUUCUUCUAUCUCUAUUGCAUUGUUUGCAUCUCCAAUCCCCAGUUCCAAACCCUACCAUGGCAAAGCACUCCAAAAAUCCCUCUACUUUCACAAGCAAAAGCACUCGCUCUAGGGCAAAACCCUCUUCUCAACCUCCUGAACCAGUCAAUCUAGGAUCAGACCACUUCGAGGACUUUGACUCCUCUCAAGAUAUCUCAGAUGAUGCUCGCAAUCUCAACGAGAAGGCCCUAGGAAAUUUUUAGAACUCAGUAAAUUUCGAUGAUGCAAAAUAACCAAUUACUCCCUAUGUGCGGGAAAAGAUUCUAAGCAAUAAAAUGGAGGCAUAUUGAGGAAAUGAAUCCAACGAAAAAGGAAAGAUAAGCGGACAAAUCAAUCAAGGAAGAUGGCGAAAUCAAUUAAAAGAGAUAUUGUAGGAAGGAUCUAAAUCAAAGGAGAUUACGGGCAUAAAAUUAUCCGCGAAAGAUUCUCCCACAUAAUGACGUCAAUCGAAGGCAUCAAUCAAGGGAUUUGGCAACGGGGAUAUUCUAUCAUUUAAGGAAGAAAUCACUCAAGCCCGUGAGUUAAGACAAGUUAGCAGAAGAAUCAAUCUACGAAUCCAUCUGAAUAUAACUCCCUUGGGUUCACAAUCUCUCAAAAAGAUGUACAAGACUUGAAGGCCUCGAGAAGUAUAAAUAUCUACUGCACUAGCUUUGGAAUGAUAUACUUUUAUCAAACUAACUUCAAUCUCUUUGUUCUACUUCAAACAAAACAAUAUAGUCUGCUUUAGAUUCCUUAUGUAACAAAGAAGAGAAGAGAGAAAGAAAAGAACACUAGUGAGGCAUUGUAUCAAUUAUAGAGAGAAGAACGAGUGACAUAAGUUGUUGGUGUAUAACAACAUCAACUCAUCUGUACUAAGCCACUUCAUAUUUGAAAGAGAUCACCCUUCAAACCCAAGGGGACUGUACGUAGGAUUCACUCUGAAUCCGAACCGGUAUAAAACAUAUUGUGUCAUUUACUUCUUGCAAUUAAUCUUUUACAUUCUAUUCCUGAAGAGUCGAGUCGACUAGAACUCAAAUUAGUCAACUACCUCGAAAAAGAAAAGAAAAAUUAUAAUUCACCCCCACCCCUUCCCCCUCUUGCACUUUCAUAUUAUACCCAAACCAAAUCUAUGGUUAAUAGUAUAUAUCCUAAUAAUCUCCCACUUAGACUUUUAACCAUGACAAUUAUUAGAAUAUACUAUAUCUAAAUGCAUGGUUAAUAGUAUAUGCCCUAACAAUCUCCCACUUAGAAUCAUAACAAUGCAUCUAUAACUUUUACAGCUAUCCUUUUGCAUGAUUAUUAAAAGUCUCUGCCAAUAAACUUUAGCUAAAAGGAACUUGCCAAGUUAUUUUCAAAUGCAAUCUUUGUCUAGUAAUGCUUUGUCAUAACUAACUAUUUUGGUAUUAAGCUCUUUAGGAAACUUGUUAUGAAACUCUCCUAAGAAUACAUAACAAACUCUCCCAAGAGUACAUACCAAACUAUGAUUUUCCUUACUAUUCUCCCACUACGACGAAGUACUACUAAUAUUAUCUUCAUUACCUUGUGGUACUGAAAUAUUAAUGACUUAUUCCUACAGUAUUCUCUUCUCAACAUCACUCCCACUACUCGGAGGUAGUAUAUAUAUUUUUUAUCUAUUAACGUUUCUCCCACUGCUUAAAUAUAAUGGAACGCUAAUUCCGACUUAUAGAGUUGUAUGUUCUUGAGCCUCUGAAUUUUCAGAUGAUUCAUUUGUUAUUUUUUUGCUUAGCUAUUGUAAAACUAGUUUACGUCUAGGAACAUAGUUUAUUAAAUAAUCCUAUUAUAGAAAACUGGUAUUUGUGCUAACAAUUACGUUCUUUUCCUUAGGAAAUAAAAUAAACCUCCUUUCAUUUCCUUGGAUAUUCAAUAAACAUGCAUACAUUCGUCCUUGAUUUCAUCUUAUCCAUUUCCCUUUCAGUAUAUGUUGUAGACAAUUUCAUAUCUGAACUUUUCUGAGACUAAACUUACAUUAAGCCCACAGUUCUAUGGGCGUCCAAGAUACUGAACUAGAAGGAACUAAAAUCAGAAUGUAAUUUAUAGUUUCUAAGGCAUAUCCCAUAAUGAAAAAAGAAAUAAAUCACUCAUCAUUAAUCUUAACAUCUCCAUAAUAGUCUUAUUUCUUCUCUCUACUACACCACUCUAUUAUUGAGUACCCGACGUAGAUAAUUGAGAUAUAACCCCUUAUUCUAAUAAGUAACUAAUGAACUUUAUAGAGCAGUGCUAGCCACCUACAAUAAGAUCAUAGUAAUUUAAUAUAUUUCCAUUGCGCUUCUCCGUAUCAAGCCUUAAAAUCUAGAAUUAUUCAAAGCGUUCAUACAUACGAUGCAUCAAAUAAAUAUAUUCAUAGUCUGACUAAUCAUUUGUGAACGUCAUAAAAAUACUCAAAAUCACCUCUUGCCCAUAUGUACAUUAGAUAGCACAAUCAAAAUAGAUUAGUUCUAACUUAUGACCAACUCUCUUUCCUUUAGAGCAGAAAGUCUCUUAGUCAUAUUUCCUUCUAAACAGGAUCCAUAAGUUGGUAGUGCCUCUACUUUCAAUGAACCUUACGGUUCAUCAUUGACCAACUAAAAUCCUAUCCAGAUAAUUAUGACUUAGACGCAAGUGCACAGAUAAGUUUCACUCAAUUUUGAAGAACAUUUUCUCUUAUAAGGUAGACUAAUAUCGUUCAGUUCAGGAGAGACAUUAACAAUAACAAGGUCAUGCAUCCAUGUAUCAUAAGAGAUAAAGUAUUUAUCAAGCUCAAUAACACAAGAGUUCGAAAAUAAACUAUCUCUUAUUUUGCCUAAAACCCGGAAUUAAAUUCCUUAUAGCAAAAAGUACAUAUAUUGCAUCCUUUAAGUUAAUGUCUUAUCAAUACAAAAGAAAUUUUUUGACAAGUGAUAUGACAAACUCCAUGAAGUCAUUAUGGAGUUGAGAUAUACCACAUUAAAUAANNNNNNNNNNNNNNNNNNNNNNNNNNNNNNNNNNNNNNNNNNNNNNNNNNNNNNNNNNNNNNNNNNNNNNNNNNNNNNNNNNNNNNNNNNNNNNNNNNNNNNNNNNNNNNNNNNNNNNNNNNNNNNNNNNNNNNNNNNNNNNNNNNNNNNNNNNNNNNNNNNNNNNNNNNNNNNNNNNNNNNNNNNNNNNNNNNNNNNNNNNNNNNNNNNNNNNNNNNNNNNNNNNNNNNNNNNNNNNNNNNNNNNNNNNNNNNNNNNNNNNNNNNNNNNNNNNNNNNNNNNNNNNNNNNNNNNNNNNNUAACUAUUUAAUACGAAAAUUUCAAACGCACUACACACAUAUAUUCAUGUACCUUGAAUAGUAAAUUUCGAUGGGAAAAGCACUACUCAUGCAACAUAUACAUAUAAUGAUAGAUUAUUCACUCCAAUAAAUUAAAAUAUAUCCAACUCAGAUGGAGAGUAUACUGUUAACUUAAGUCAAGUGAACAUCAUAAUUAAUAGCUCUAGUUCCAUUGAUCCAACAUGUAUACUCAGAUGGAGAGUAAGUAUAUGAUAUCAAUAACUAGUAUUUCACCUAGUGAGCUUGCAAUAAAUUUAUCCGAUAUGGAGGAAGACCUAAAGUCUACACAUAAAUUUACACUCACUUGAAAUUAAUUGUGGGAGACCAUAGAAACAUAUUCCUAUCACCACUUAAUCAUGGUUACAUUAUAAUUACAAAAUUGAUUCAACGUGUAAACUCAGAUGGAGAGUCAAUACAUGUUAUCAAUAACUAGUAAUUAUACUCUGUGAGUUCAUAAUAAAUUUAUCCGAUAUGGAGGACGACCUAAAGUCGACGCAUAAAUUUAUUAUCUCACUAUAAGUAGAUAGUGGAGACCAUAUGGAUUAAUUCCUAUCACCAUUUAAUCACAACCAUGUAUUUACUUUGAAACUUAAGUUUCAAAAUUCGAAAAAAUUAUAGAUUAAGCAUUUUUAGGAAUUUUAAAAUAUGACAUACAUUCCAACCAUAUAUCAAUUCAUUUUAAAUAAACAUGUGUCAUCAUGUUCUAGAUUUAACAAAAAUAAGACUAACAUUGUAACGAACCGAGCGAUCGUUUUGAGCUCUAGCGUGUCGUUCAACGGAUUGAGGCCUUGAGUAGCUUCACUUCGGGUAUUAUGACUUGUACGUGUGGUCAGAGUUGAAUUUCGUGAAUUUCGAAGUUGAUUUAAGAAGAAAAUUCAAAAUCUGGAAGCUUUAAGUUGGAAGAGUUGACCAAGGUUUAACUUUUGAGUAAACGACAUCGGAAUCAGGAUUUGAAGGUUCCAAUAGGUACGUGUGAUGAUUUCGGACUUGGGUGCAUGUUCGAGUCUAGUAUCGGGUGUCCCGAGCGUAUUUCGGCGCUUAAUACAGAAGAUUGGCAUUUUGGAAUUUUAAGAAUCCCUAAUUUUGGGUUGAAGUAGAUGAUGAUGUUAUCGAUGUCCGUUUGGGAUUCCGAGCCUCGGAAUAGUUCCGUAUGGUGAUUUUUGGUCUUAGGAGCGUGUCCGGACGUUGGUUUGGAAGUUCAUAGGUCGUUUCAGCGUCAAUUGGUGAAAGUUGCUAAUUUGGAUGAUUUUGGGAAGUUUGACCGGGAGUGAACUUUUUGAUAUCGGGGUCGCAUUCCGAUUUCGAAAGUGGGAGUAGGUCCGUAAUGUCAAUUUUGACUUGUGCGCAAAAUUUGAGGUCAAUCGGACUUGAUUGGUUAGAUUUCGGCGUCGAAUGUAGAAGUUUAAAGUUAUAAAGAUCACUAAGCUUGAAUUGAGGUGCGAUUCGUAGUUUUGAUAUUGUUUGGUUUGAUUUGAGACCUCGAGCAGGUCCGUGCUAUGUUAUGGAACUGGUUGGUAUGAUUGGACGGGGUCCCGAGGGCCUCAGGUAUAUUUCGGGGUGAUUUCAGACCAAGUGUGGCUGGGUUGCUGUUGCUGGUUUGUUGGUGCUGGUGUUGUUCUUCGCGAAUGUGAAGGGACUCAUGUGUUCGUGAAGAAGGAAUUUUGGACUGGGCCAUUUUAUACUUCGAGUUCACAACUGAUGGCACGCGUUCACGAAGGUUCGAGGGGCAAAGCUACGUGUUCGCGAUUGGGGCAUCGCGUUCGCGAAAGGGAAAGCCAGUUUGGGGGAGUUUGGUCUUCGCGUUCGUGGUGGAGUGGACGCGUUCAUGAUUGAACAGCCUGGAGAAGCAUCGCAUUCGCGAGGCCAGGCUCGCGUUUGCGAAGAAGAGUUUGGGUCUCGAUUUUGUUGAGCUUCGCGAAUGCAAGGUCAGUGACGCGUCGCGAAGAAGGUCGCAUGGGCAGUGUAUAAGUUGCAAAAAAGGGGUCUUGGCUCAUUUUUAUCUCAAAUCUUCCAUGGGAGCCAAGCUACGUACUAUUUUGGAGGAGCUUCUUCGUCACCCAUCACUAGGUAAGUGAUUUCUUCACAUUGUGAGUUAAAUACAUGGUUUGUAUAUGGAUUUAGACAUGGAAAUUAGUAAAAAAUUGGGAUUUUGAAGAAAACCUAAAAAUUGAUAUUUUUGAAUUUUGACUACGAUUUUGAAAUGGAAUUAGGAAUAAAUGAUAUAGUUGAGUUCUUGGUGUUAUGGGUAAAGUUUAUCUUCGAAAAUUUUCGGAAUCCGAGAAUGUGAACCUGAGGGUUGAUUUUAUCGACUUUUCGAGCAGAGUUGAGGAUUCUUUAAAUUAAUUAAUUAUGGGUAUUAGAGUAUAUUUUGAUUGGUUCACACAUUAUUUUAAUAGUUUUGAACCGACAAGCUUUGGUUUGAGGCGUUAGAGAGGCCUUGGAGCCGGUUAUGGAACUUUGGAGCGAAGUAAGUCUCCUGUUUAACCUUGUGAGGGAAAAACUACCCCUAGGUGAUAUUUUUGUUAUGUGUAAUUAAUUGUGGGCGCUACGUACGCACGAAGUGACGAGAGUCUGUACGUAGCUACAACAUAUUCAUGUCCGGGUAGACUUAGGAUCUUACCAUGUACUAAUUGAAUUAUUUGAAUCCACUCUGUUGACUCAAUUAAUUGAAGUUAUAAUUAAAAUUUAUUUCAAAAUAAGUGUAUUUAUACUAGGCUAAGCCUUAACACUUUGAGUUGUGGUUGAGUUAUUUGAGAAAUGGUAAAGAGUUUAUUCAUAUUAUGCUCAUGUGCUGUAUUGUAAACAUGUGCCUCAUAAUUCAGUAACUUCCUUUUUUUUCUUGUGGAGUGGGCCGAAUACCUUGACAGUAUGUAGAUGCAUCUAUGGAUUGUGCCACACGUCCCUCUAUAGUGUACACGUUAUUCUGGAUCAUGCCGAACGACCUCGGCAUAAUCGUGCAUUAUAUCGCUAGUAAUUCGAAUAUUCACGACCUAACCUUCCACUGAUGCCCCGAAUACUAUGGCAUUUCUUAUUUAUUUGGUAUUAACACUUGGCAUUUUUAUGAGAAAUUAAGGUAAAAUACAAGAUCGAGAAAGUUAUGCUAUAAAGGAAAUAAUUAGAAAGUUAUGAGUUACAGAUUUUCUCCAUUACUGUUGUGCCCUUCGUAUCUGUUAUGAAUUAUUAUAUUGCUUUAUUGGACCUUUAGUAAGUAUCGAUGUCGACCCCUCGUCACUACUCCUCCGGGGUUAUGCUAGAUAGUUACUGGGUACACAUUGAUUUACAUACUCAUGCUACACUUUUUGCACCUUUUGUGCAGGUGCAUGUAUGUUUAGUGGUCUUUUGGGCGCAGAGGCGCGGCCAUUGCUGGAACUUUAUUGUGGGCUGCAUUUUAUGUUACGAUCCGCAGCCAAGAGAGUCUCCAUCAGAGUUAUUUAUAUUCUCCUUUCUUAUUUACAUUCUGGACAGAUAUUGUAUUGUUGUUGUACUUCCUAGAAAAAUGCUCAUGUACUUCUGACACCGGGUUUUGAGAGUUCUUUCAGGUUAUUCAUUAUUGUAGUUCGUGCAUAUAUUUUCAUUUGCUCUGUAUAUUCUAUUUUAUACUGUUUAAUUAAGAAAAAAUUAUGAUUUCAAAAUAAUAAGAUGAGUAAUUAAUUGGUAACUCACCGUUGGCUUGUCUGGCGGCGAUAUUAGGCGCCAGCAUGACCUAUAGUGGAUUUUUGGUCGUGACAGAUAUAAAAGGAAUGACUUUUCAUAUCCAAAUCACAUUUCUAAUCCUGCAAACCACUAAAACCCCCAUCUAAACGAUCCCAAUCUACAUAAAUACGGCAUAAUUCACUGCAAUGCAGUGGAUAUUUCUUAUCAGGUUAUUUUUGAUGGACCUACCAAAUUUUAGGUCAAUUGGAGAUCAUGAAAUUCAUGAUAACCAAAACUAGACCAAAUUCGGAUUAAUUGGUUCAGGCAAAUUUAGAGAUUAAAUAAAUGUGAUUUGCAUUCUUUACAUAUAUCACAUCAAGCUAAAUCAUAUCGUGUAAUCAUAUUCCAUAUUCAACACAAAUAAAACUGAUAUAUAAAAAAUAAUUUUUUUCAUAUUUAAAACUCAUUUAAUCAGAUAAACUGCUUAAACCCCCAUUUAAAAGACCUUGAAACACCUAAAAUAACGUGAUUCACUGCAUAGCACUGAGUGUUUCUCACCAAGUCGUUUCCGAUGGACCUACCAAAUUUCAGGUCAAUUGGAGUUCGUCAAUAUCAUGACCUCCAAAUUUAUGACCAAAUUCAGAAAAUAUCCGUUUUAGGCAUUUUCAUGGAUUAAAAUAAAUUUGAUCAUGCUUUCUAUUAUCCUUAUAAUUAUUCCAUGAGCAUAAUACAUUGGUUAUGUCCUUCCUUUUGCGUAAGGUACAUAAAACCACCUCUUAUAUUAAAUUGUCCUCUUGAUUAUUUGCACACAUGAGAAUUCGAGAUAUUAAAUAUUCCUCCCUUUGGGUGAAAACCUCAAUAUCCCUUCUCAUGAUUAAUUUAGCGUUAUUAAGGUAAUCUCUUUUGCAUAGAUAAACCAUAACCACUAGCUUAUACCUAUCAAGGAAAAUUUACACACGGUACAUUAAAAAUAUUCAAUGAUUCAAAUAAAUAGAUCAUGUUAGUGGAUCCUAUUUAUUUAUCAUUAACUCUCACAUGUAUAAACUGUUAGAGAAUUUUCAAUGAUUCAAAAUAAAUAAAUUGUUUUAGUGGUAACUAUUUAUUAAUUAUAAAUUGUUAACUCAGGCAUGUAUAACAUCAUCUCAUAUGUAUAAAUUAAGAGUUAAUACUUUUCAAUGAUUCAAAUAAACAAAUCACUUUGUAGUACCCAUUUAUUAAUCAUAAAAUUCUUAAUUUAUACUCAAUUAUAUAUUCAUGAGAGGUGAAUGAUGCCAGCUGUUCAACUCAACUAUUUUAAAGUAAAGCUUAACUUAGUAAAAAAUAACAGCUUUUAAGACUUAGUCAAAAUUAGGUGACUGAAAAUCUGAAAGUCAGGCUGGUGACUUUCAAGUUCUAAAUAAAGCAAGCACAACUUUAAACUAACUAAAAGUCAUGUGUAGCCUUGAACACGGGUACAAGACUCAACAAGGAACCUUUUGACUUGCUUUGAGAAAAAAACUUAUCACAACAAGAUCUAGCCGCCACUGUUGUUGUCUACCAAAAGGAAUCUUCAUGGUGUCUUAUAACAAUGCCACACAGUUAAUUACAAUCUAAAAGCACCAAGCGAACUAGCUUUACCCCAUCAUAAAUUGUAACGAUCCAAUAGGUCGUUUUGAGUAUAUUAGCCCCGACCUCCUAUUUAUUAUUCCCUCUAUUUCAUUUUAUGGUUAUGUGAUUUGCUUAGGCACUUGGUGUCGGGUUCGGGGUGAAAUGGAAUACAUAGUCCCUAAAUUGGAAGUUUAAGUCGUAAGAAUUGACCAUAGUUUGACUUGUAUGGAGACGACUCCGGAAUGGAGUUUUGACGGUUUCAAUAGCUCAGUAAGGUGGUUUCGGUCUUAAGAGCGUGUCCGAAUGUUGAUUUGGAAGUUCGUAGAUCAUUUUGGCGUUAAUUGGCAAAAGUUGGAAAGUUGGAAGAUUUUAGAAAGUUUGACCAGGAAUGGACUUUUUGAUAUCGGGUUCGGAUUCCGAUUCUGAAAGUUGGAGUAGGUCCGUAAUGUUAUUUAUGAUUUGUGUGCAAAAUUUGAGUUCAACCGGACUUGAUUUGAUAAGGUUCGACAUCGAAUGUAGAAGCUAAAGGUUUAUAAGUUCAUUAGGCUUGAAUUGGGGUGUUAUUCAUAUUUUUGAUGUUGUUGAAUAUGAUUUAAGGCCUCGACUAAGUUCGUAUAGUAUUUUAGGACUUGUUGAUAUAUUCGGACGGGGUCUCAGGGGCACCCGAUGUGAAUCGGAUGGAAAUCGUUCUGGUUUCAUCGGAAGCUCCCCGUUCAUCGCACAUGCGGAGGGAUUGGCUACAGGUGCGUACUCGCAUGUGCGAGCAGUGAAACGCAAAAGCGGAGAGGGUAGUCCAGGCAAGGCUCACAAGUGCGGCAAUUAUUUCGCAGAAGCGGCAUCGCUUCUGCGAUGGAGAAGAACGCAUGUGCGGCCAGAAGCGCAAAUCCGACCUGCCCUCGCAGAUGCGAAGUGUGCUGGGCUUAGUCAUAACCGCACCUGCAAUAGAAAUUUCACAGGUGCGGAGCCGCAGAUGCUGCAGUAAGGUCGCAGGUGCGAUGGAGAAGAACGCAUGUGCGGCCAAAAGUGCAGGUCCGACCUGCCCUCGCAGAUGCGAAGUGUGCUGGGCUUAGUCAUAACCGCACCUGCAAUAGAAAUUUCACAGGUGCGGAGCCGCAGAUGCGGCAGUAAGGUCGCAGGUGCGACAUAACUGAGCAAAAAAGAGGAUUUUUUGAGAGUUUGCUUCAUUUUUAUUUUUGGGACUUUGAAAGCUCGGAUUAAGGCAAGAUUUUGAGAGAUUUUGAGAGGAAGCAUUUGGGUAAGGAUUCUUGGCUUGUUUUUUUAUUAAUUCUCAUGAAUCUACUAUUAAUUACAUCUUUUAAUUAUGGUUUUGGAGUUUAAAAUUGGGAAAAUAGUGUAGAAGUUCUUAGACCAAGUUUUUGGNNNNNNNNNNNNNNNNNNNNNNNNNAAAUUAGUUUCUAUAGUUAUAUUUAUAGUAUGAAAUUAUUUUAGCUAGAUUCGAGCCGUUUGGAGUUGAAAAAUCGAGGCGAAGGCCUUCUAAUUGAUUGAUUGAGUGUCGUUUUAGGUAAGUGACUUGUCUAACCUUGUGUGGGGGAAUUUUCCUUAGGAUUUGGUAUUUUAAUGAUAAUUUGUGAUAUGUGAAGGCCGUGUACACAAGGUGACGAGUGCGUACACGGGCUAAAUAUUAAAAUUCUGAUUUAGCUAUGUAGUUUCCUUUUCAGGCCUUAAUUGAGUUAUUUUAGCACGUUAUAGUCAUCAUGUUUAGCCUCAUUUCACAUGUCUACUUGUCUUAUCUCCUAUUUGCAACUUGUAUCACAUGUUUAGUUGAAUUACUUGCUUUUCUUGAUUUCCGUAUUCAUUACUUAACUGUGAAAAUUCUUUACUUGAAAUUGCUAUCCUUGGAAUAUCAUUUAUUCAGUUGUUGUAUUUUGGAUUUCGUAUUAUUAUUGAGGUGAUUGUUUGGUUAUUUGAAUGCAGUUUUUGUCGUGCUGUUGUUAUUGUUGCAUGAGGUUUCUGCCGUGCGAUUUAUAUUGUUUGCACGAGAUUUUUGCGGUGCGGUUGUUAUUGUUUGUACAAAGUUUCAGCCAUGCAGUUGUUAUUGUUGCACAAGUUUUUGCCGUGUCGUUGUGAUUAUUGAAACGCACGCGGUGGUAUAUGGUCUAGGUGUUGAAAUGCAUGCGGUGAGAUAAGAUGGGCUUGAUACGCGUGGCUAGUAGGGAAACUACUCGAAUCCAUGCGGUGUGAUAAGGUGGGCUAAAAUGCAGAAUGUUAUUUCGGAAAAAUGAUUUUCAAAAAACAAAUAUAAAGGCUCCCGCAGUGAUAUAAGGAAAGACAGUGAUUUGUUUUUACGAUUUGGGACUACGAAGCGGUACCUCGAAAGUGUCCCUGUUGAUAUUCUUUAUUUGUUGUUUUGUUUGGUUCUUGUUUUCCUUAACAUGUAAAAUUCUUGUUUUCCUUUCGUGUUGUAUUAGCUUUCCUUGAUUCCGUGUUGUUAUUUCCCGUAAAUUCUUUAUUGUUCACUUCCCUGUCAUUUUCAUUAUAUCAUAUUAUCUCUGUCUUGUUUCUUAUUAUCUCCUGUAGGGCCUUAACCCGACCUCGCCACUACUCUAUCGAGGUUAGGCUUGGCCACUUACUAGAUACCGUUGUGGUGUACUCAUACUACGCUUUUGCACAUGUUUUGUGCAGAUGCAGGUACAUCCUAUCAGCCUCGGUAUUAGUGUAUUGUGUUGCUGCUUGGAGACUUCAAGGUAUACUUGUCCGCGUCUGUAGGCCUCAGAGUACCCUUCUACCAUGAUGUAUAGGAUUGUUCAACAUCGUAUCUAGAGCUUGUGGCUUAUAUCUCACCGGGUUUUGAGAAAAUUGUAUGUAUUGAGCUUAUAGUCUAUUGGUGAAAUUGUUGAAAUUUUGAAAUUUUAAGUUUUUAUUUGAUGUUUGCGCAUAUUGUUAGGCUUACCUAGUCUUAGAGACUAGGUGUCGUCACGACAUCCUAUGGAAGGGAUUUGGGGUCGUGACAAGUUGGUAUCAAAGCUAUGGGUUCAUAGGUGUUAUGAGUCACAAGAAGAUUUAGUAGAGUCUCACGGAUCGGUACGGAGACGUCUGUACUUAUUUUUGGGAGGCUAUGGAACUGUCAGGAAAAGCUUCACUUCCUUGAUUCCUUAUCGUGCGAAAUCUUUGACUUCGGAUUCUAAAUUUUUGUCUUUCUAUUCUCACACAGAUGGUGAAUACACGUACAACUGGAUCAGCUGACCAGGCACCCGCACCCCCUGCUAGAGCUGCGAGAGGUCUGGGUCGGGGUAGAGGCCGGUGGCGUCCACGUGGUAUAGCCAGAGAACCCGCACGAGCUGCUACAGAGGAGACACCAGUAGCUCCAGUUGGAAGGCAGGCACCUGAGAUACCUGUUACUGCACCAACUCUCCAGCAGACUCUCGCCUAGUUUCUGAGCAUGUUCAGCACUUUAGCUCAGGCAGGGUUGAUCCCACUUGCUCCUGCUACAUCUCAGGUCGGGGGAGGAGCACAGACUCCUGUCGCUCGUACCCCAGAGCACCGAGUCCGGUUUGACCAGGUCCUAGAGUUCAUACCAGUGCAGCUAGUAGCCCCAGUUCAGCCCGAUGUUAGGGCAGCAACUUCUGAGGAUGAGGAGCUCAAGCUCGAGAGGUACAAGAAGUACGACCCUCCUACUUUCAGUUGCUUGGCGUCAGAGGAUGCCCAGGGUUUUCUUGAGGAGUGCCACCGUAUCCUCCGUACUAUGGGUAUUGCGGAGUCUAGUGGGGUUAAUUUCACUACGUUCUAGCUUAAGGGAGAGACUUAUUAGUGGUGGCGAGCAUAUGAGUUGGGUAGUCCGGCCGAGGCAGCUUCACUCACUUGGACUUAGUUCUCAGAUAUUUUCUUGAGGGAGUAUGUACCCAGAGUCUCAGAAAUGCAUGGCGCGCAGAGUUUGAGCAGUUGCACCAGGGUUCUAUGACCGUGUCGGAGUAUGCAGUCCAGUUAAGUGAUUUGGCGAGGCAUACACCAACCUUGGUUGCUACUGUUAGAGAGCAGGUCCGUCGAUGUAUCGAGGGGCUCAACCCUAGUAUCAGAUUUAGCAUGGACAGAGAGUUGGAUAUGGACAUCGCAUACUAGCAGGUAGUGGGGAUUGCUAGGAGAUUGGAGGGUAUGCUGACUCGGGAGAGAGAGGAGAGAGAGACCAAGAAGUCUCGAGAGUCUGGCACAUAUAGUGGUACCUGCGCCCCAGAUGCAGCUCGUCAUGGUAGGGGCUAUAUGAGUCGCCCUGUUCAUUCAGCACUUCCAGCUUCUAGUAGUAUUCCGGCCACUCCUAGGCCUUAGGCUUCCUAUUAUGCACUGCCAUUAUCUAGUGCACCUCCUACACCGGGUGCUUUCAGCGGUUAGUCCAGCCGAUCAGGCUCGAGCCAACCACAACUUCCACGUCCUCCGAGAGCUUAUUUUGAGUGUGGUGACACUCGUCAUAUGGUGAGGGAUUGCCAUAGAUUCAGGAGGGGUGCACCUCCAUAGAGUACUCAGGCUUCGCGUAUUCCACCGGGUCCUCAAGCUUCUUAGUCCAUGGUCGCCGCACCAGCUGCCACCCCACCUGCACAGCUAGUUAGAGGUGGAGGUUGAGUAGGGAAAGGUCGCCCUAGAAUGGGAGACCAGGUCAGGCCAGAUACUAUGCUCUUUCGCUAGGAUGGAGGUAGUGGCAUCUAACUCUGUCAUCACAGGUAAUGUUCUCGUCUGUCAUAGAGAUGCAUCGGUCUUAUUUGAUCCAGGCUCCACUUAUUCAUAUGUGUUGUCUUAUUUUGCUUCGCAUUUGGUGGUAUCCCGUUAUUCUUUUAGUUCUCCUAUCUAUAUGUAUACACUUGUGGGAAAUUCUAUUGUUGUUGACCGUGUUUACUGGUCGUGUUUAGUUGUUCUCGGUAGUUUUGAGACCAGAGCCGAUUUAUUAUUGCUCAGUAUGGUAGACUUUGAUAUUAUUUUGGCCAUGGAUCGGAUGUUGCCCUAUCAUGUUAUCCUUUAUUGUAACUCCAAGAUGGUGAUGUUGGCUAUGCCAGGUCUACCACGGUUAGAGUAGAGAGGUACUUUAGAUUAUGUUCCUAGCAGGGUUAUUUCAUUUCUAAAGGCUCAGCGGAUGGUUGAGAAGGGGUGUGAUGCGUAUCUGGCAUAUGUGAGAGAUGUCAGUGUUGAUACUUCUAUCGUCAAGUCAGUUACGGUAGUGAGGGAUUAUCUAGAUGAAUUCCCGGCGAAACUUUCGGGCAUGCCGCCAGAUAGAGAUACCGACUUUGGUAUGGAUUUGUUACCGGACACCCAGCCCAUUUCUAUUCCACCAUAUCGUAUAGCCUAGUAGAGUUGAAAGAGGUAAAGAAAUAGUUGCAAAGGUUGCUUGAUAAGGGCUUCAUUCGUCCCAGUUUGUCGCCUUGGGGUGCUCCAAUCUUAUUUGUAAAGAAUAAAGAUAGUUAUAUGCAUAUGUGUAUUGAUUAUCUCCAGUUGAACAAGGUUACAGUUAAGAACAGGUAUCCAUUUCCACGUAUUGGUGACCUAUUUGAUCAGUUAUAGGGUGCCAGAGUGUUCUCUAAGAUCGACUUGCGUUCAGGCUAUCAUCAGUUGAAACGAGUGGGGGAUCAAGGUGGAUCUGAAGAAGAUCUAAGAAGUGCAGAGUUGGCCCAGACCGUCUUCAGCUACGGAGAUUCAGAGUUUUCUUGGUUUUGCAGGGUAUUAUCAUCGAUUUGUAGAAGGUUUCUCGUCUAUUGUAGCACCUAUGACCAGGUUGACUCAAAAUGUUGCUCUGUUCAAGUGGACCGAGGAGUGUGAGGAGAACUUUCAAAAGCUCAAUACUGCUUUGACUACAGCCCCAGUGUUGGUGUUACCUAUAGGUUCGGGGUCUUAUAUUAUGUAUUAUGAUGCGUCACGCAUUGGUCUAGGCGUGGUGUUGAUGCAGGAUGGUAGAGUGAUUGCCUACACAUCUAGACAACUGAAGGUGCAUUAGAAGAAUUAUCAGGUCCACGACCUCGAGCUAGCAGCUAUUGUUCAUGCCUUGAAGAUCUGGCGGGACUAUUUGUACAGUGUCCCUUGUGAGAUCUACACCGAUCACCGGAGUCUACAACAUCUGUUCAAAUAGAAGGAUCUUAACUUUGCAGCAGCGGAGGUGGUUAGAGUUGGUUAAGGACUAUGAUAUCACCAUUCUAUAUCAUUAUGGGAAGACUAAUAUGGUGGCCGAUACCUUGAGUCGCAAGGCAGAGAGUUUGGGCAGCUUAGCAUAUCUACCGGUAGCAGAGAGGCCAUUAGCCUUGGAUGUUCAAGUGUUACAUCCCGCAUUUUCGUAUGUUAAAGUUUCGUCGUAAGUUAAUCGACGUAAGUUCGGGAAUGAGAUUAUUUUGAGAUUAUAAGCAUUAUGCUAUUUCAAACAAGUGACGAGUAAAUUUGUAAAGGAUAGAGGGUAACCAAAUCGAAGAAAAUGAGUUUCGUAGAAGUUUGUCAAUUUGGGAUAGAAUACGGUCCGAGCUAUAAUACCCGGUAUUUAUAAACUAGUGUCAUACAAAGUACCCCAUAACCAUGAUAGUAGGGUGUAUAAAGUGUGUUAAAAAUGAGUAGUAUUUUAAACAAUUGGUUAAUUGUUAAUUUAAGUGGAUAAGUGUAAGAAUUGUUUGUCCCCGUGGGACCAUGACAACUAAAGUGAUGUAUGACUAAUAUGUAUGCUACAUUGGUGUCACACUUUGGGAUAAGAAGGCUUACCAAGCAUUAAAGUUAUAAGUGGAGCCUACCAACCAACACUUUUAAAGAAUUCAUUUGAAACUCCAAGUGUUUGGAUGCUAAGCUUACGGAUGGAACUCCAAAAAUUUUAUUUGAAACUCCAAGUCUUUGGACCAGAAUUUUGUGCUAAAACUACGAAAUUCGGGAGUGCGUCACACCUUCUCUCGGGUUAACAUAAUUUCUUACCCGAUCUUCUGUAUUCGCAGACCAUAAAUAAGAGUCAAUUUCCUCGAUUUGGUAUUUUAAAAUAAACUGGUGACUUGGGACACCAUAACAAAUAUUCCAAGUGGCGACUCUAAAUUAAAUAAAUAAUCCAAUUUCGAAUAAUGUCACAUUAAUUGAAAAAACUCACUAUCCCUCGGAAAAAAGAAGGUGUGACAGUCAACAUAUGUAUGUUGAUAGUUUGAUGUUUUAAUUAGUCGUACUUCACGAAAAAUUUAACACUUCUAUAGAUUUGAGAAUGAUUCACAUAAAUUAAUUUCUCGUUGAGAAUUCAAAUAUUAGCUCAUAAGUUUUCAAGUAAAAAUUUUCAUAUUGAAGAAAAUAUAAAAGAUGAUAAAAUUUAUGAAAAAAAUAUGUAACAACAACACUAAAGUAGGAAGGAAGUUUUGUGUGUGCUCAAGUUUGCCACCAUAGUAACUUUGUUGUGCACCUUUAGAGUAUAAUGAAGAAUGUUAACAAAGCUGUAAUGCAAAAAUAUUAUAACUGUUGAAGAUGAAAGAAACAAACAAUCAAGAAAAAUAAACUUACAAAUCUGCCACACUACAAAGUCACCAAAAUCAAAAUCAAACAAUUAAAUAAUAACAUCACUACAACAAAAAGAAAUUGUAUUAUCUAUUAUGACGUAUUGUCACACAAGAAGGAUGUAGCUAUGAAGAAUACUUAAACAGUACAUACACAAUCAUCGUUAAUAUCAUAAUUAAGUUUUAAUGCAGAUGAUGAAUUUAAUAAUCAUACUAAAUAAUAAGGCAUUGAAAUUACGACAAACAAAUGAUUUAAUGCGUUUUCUAAAUGAAGUAACUGAUUUAAGGCUAUAUGAAACGUAAUAAGAAUUUUGCCGUGACAAUAUCAAAAUCUGCGGGAAAAAAUAUAUAUUCUAUACUAAGUACUAUAGUGGUUAAUUAGUUAUGAUCCAAAAGUACUUAAGCGAAGUCUACAAUUACAUCAUAAGCUAUUUGAAUAUAACAUGACAAUAUAAAGGUCUUGUAUUGUCCUAAAAAAAAUUAUAUUAACUUAUCAUGCUCCAGAAUUUCUAGAGGAUUUUUUACAUUAGUACUAUAUUUAACUUUAGAACUUUUCAAGAAAUUGCAUAAUCAAGAAUAAUAGGUUGCUAGCAAUGAUCCAAAAAGGACUGAAAAGAAGUCAAUAUUGGCACCAUAAAAUAAGUGAAACAUAUAUACCUGUUAGCAGAUACUGGUGAGUGAAGACACUCUUUUGGAAAAAAAAUAAUUCUUGCAGAAAAAAUAGAAAAAGGAUAAUUGGACAAAGAUACCUUAUUGUGAACUUAUAUAGUGUGUGAUGAAGACUGUGAAAAGAAGUUACUAUUGUUGAAUAUGAAAAAUAGAAACAACCCGAAUAAACUAAGGUAAUUUACAUUGCUAUAAAUAAGGAAUGUAAAACGAAGGACGUUACCAUGGAAGAUGAAACAAACAAAAUAUAAAGAAUGAAACUCAACAAAUUCUUCAUGCGUUGCUUAUCAAAUAUCCUUUUUUAUUUUACCUUAUGUAUUGUUAAAGCAUUUGGAAAUUAAGAAUUUAAGAAAAUGAAGAAGAGGGAGAAAAGUUUUCCUUGGUUAUUAUGAUGAAGUAAUUAAAGGAGAACGUUUCUGGGAAGGAGAAUAUGAAUGGUCUAAACCUAAUUGAAUCCAUUGAAUUGAGUUGAUGAAGCAAUAAAGUAUUACAACAUCAGCGGCUAACUUCUAAUCUAAUUUGAAUAUUAUUUAAUUGAAGGUUUUUUUAAAGGAUAAAAUUGUAACUUAGAUUUUAAAGAAUAUUAUUGUAAUUCAACUUUGAAGGUAGGAACUUCCUAUUUUUAGUAUAACUAGUCUCUCGGUACGUGCAUUGCACGUGUAUACCUAGUCAUGUAAUCUACGAUAUUGUAAAAUAAUAUCAAGAAUAUUAAAUUAAAGCCUUAACUGAAAUUGAGGAUGAAAGAAUAAAUUACAAAAGCUUNNNNNNNNNNNNNNNNNNNNNNNNNNNNNNNNAAAAUUAUAAAUUGCAUAGAUUACAAAGGCUUAUCUAUAUUGUAAUGACCUGACCGGUCGUUUCGAGCUAUAGCACGUCAUACAGUGGUUUGAGACCUUAAGUAGCUUAACUUCGGGUAUUUUGAUUUGUACGUGUGGUCAGAAUUGAAUUUCGGAAAGUUCGGAGUUGAUUUGGAAAGAAUUUUAAUUUUGGAAGUUGGAGGAAUUGACUAAGGUUUGACUUUUGAGUAAAUGACCUCGGAAUCGGAAUUUGAAGGUUUCAACACAUUCGUAUGAUGAUUUCGGACGUGGGCGUAUAUUCGGAUUGACUAUCGGGUCGUCCGGGAGCAUUUCGGCACUUAUUAUGGAAGGUUAGCAUUUUGAAGGUUUAGGAAUUUCUUAAGUUUGAUUUGAGGUGGGUGUCACGACCCAAAAUCUAACUAGUCGUGAUGGUACUUAACCCAACCCGCUAGGUAAGCCAAUUAUCAACUAUCCAAUUCCAAUGUAAUUUAACAAGCCAAUUAAGCAAAAGAAAUUAUCUAAAUCUUGUACAUUCCCCAAAGACUGGUAGUACAAAUCAUGAGCUUCUAAGAAUAGAGUUUACAAAACUAGUAUGGAGUAAAUACAUCAUCUGUUUGAAAAGUACAUAAACAGAUUUUUAUGAAUCUAAGGCUACCAUGAACAAGAGGCAGCUACAACCGGAACGCAGGUACAUCUUCAGAUCCAGCUCCCAACGAACACAUCAACAUCAGCAACCAACAUCUGCACGCAAGGUGCAGAAGUGUAGUAUGAGUACAACCGACCCCAUGUACUCAAUAAGUAACAAACCUAACCUUAGGUUGAAAGUAGUGAUGAGCUAACACAAGGUCGAGUCCAACUCCAAUAAGUACCGAGUGGGUUGACUCAAAUGAGAGAAUUGCCCUGCAAGAUUAACAAGUACCGCCACAAAGAAAUGCUGAAAAUCCAUCACACGCCGUAGAACCAUCAUACGACUCUAACACAAGUUUCAUACCUUAACAUAACUCCGAUGCAACGCUUGACCACAUCCAAACGCUGGUCCAUACUAUAUAUCUCGAGCCACCCUGCUUAAAAUCAAUAACCACGGAUAGGAAAAUAACACAAAGCCACACAAAACCUGAAAGAACAUAACUAUUACGCAAUCGAUCAUGCAAUACCCAAAUACUCAUCUCGCUCGAAUUCCGCUGUGUGGCCCCCAAUAGAACCACACUAUGUGUGCAUAUAACUAAUGAAUCACAACCCCUCGUAGCAUAGAAGAGUAACUCACAAAUUAGUUCAGAACACGCAUAAGUUCAACAUCAACCGAAUGGCACAUCCCUCAACAAUAGCAGUAUGAAGCUAACCAAUACGACUCGGUGUAGAAUACACAUCCUAAUUGGGCCUACCAAUGGAACCCCAAAUCAACUAUGGUUACCCACAAAUAUAUAAAUAACCCUCCAAAAAUCCACAACGACUGAAUUAUAAUACACACUAUCAUCUGGCUAGCUUCGACCAUGACUUCACAGUCCGAAACCAUGAAACAAUAUGCUCCUGAAAACACCCGGUCUCCAAAUCCAUAGAACACACGAAUCACCAUUUCUGAUUCCAUCUCCACCGCCCGAAUAUCUAACAUAUCUCUCAUACACGAUCAUCCCACGAGGCAUACUUAUCCUAUUCUUUCGUGCCACAUAGGAACGUCUUAAAAUCAGCGGUCGAUCAACUAGGAGAGUGCCGCAAUACCUAUGACAUAUCCGUAAUUCAAAACAUAAUGCGCCUUCUAAAAGGUACACUCUACUCAUGCAAUACCAAAUAGUUAUAGCAUUCAUCUAAACAUCAAAAACCGUCCAUGCCCUCUAAGAAUUUAUGACCUCCUUUUCAAAACUAAAUUGUGACCUUGCACACGCAAACCUUAAUCCCACACAACAUACCGCAUCUAUCAUGCCAUCAUAUGAAAAAUACGAGAACCUCAUAAUCAUUCUGAGUUACAAGUAGAAUACAUAUCCGAUCAGCCAUAAGUCUUCUAUUUGAUCCCAUCCGGUAGAAAAUCACAAUACUCAAUAUGCUCAUCGGGUCGGUAGAAAAUAUCCAUCUCAAAUCGUGGUAGAAAUCCUCGAGAAUGCCUUGGAAUCCAUUUGCACAUAAUUAAGUCACGCAGGUCGCCAAACCCAAGAGUAUUGCCACAAAGCACUUGUAGAAACCCCCCCCCCCCCUCCCCCCACCACAUCAUAAGCACCCAAAGAACAGAUCAUAUCCAUUACCAUACUGAUCCAACCUACUACCAAGCUAUCCUAUUUCUCCCAGUCCCUUCCGAAUUUGUCUUCAGAUUGAUACUUCUCCUUGCUAACACACCCUGAUCUUUAACCACAACUCACUCCACGAACCCUAGCAUAGAACCACAACGCCCUAAGGCCCAUAAGCCGCUGAAUUCCCUCUUAAGUACCCAAAAGCAUCACAACCGAGACAUCCACUCCGAAAGACCUUAUGUGAAUUUAAAAUUAUUCCUCUUCCCUUUUCUUAUACCUAAAUAUAGAAUCCAUAGUCAUAGAGAAUUACCGCAAGUCCCGACACCAUCUAAUGUAACUAACCGAUUCUAGCGAUAUACCAAUCUGAAAAUAAAAAUUCAAUUGCCACUUAUACAUUUUUUGAAUCCAUUAGCACCUUCUCGAGAGUCACCCACUUUGCUCAAAUCUAAAUUGCACCGCCCAAAUGGGCUGAAAGUAACGUGCCCCAUUAGCACAACAACACUCAAAUAGGUUACCCUGCCUUAACAUCACCGAUCAAAUUCAUACUCCGUGCGCACUACAUUAUUCACAAAUAAUAACUCACUCAUCCUAUGAUUUUCAUAUACUCAUAAAGCGCAAUAUAACCCAUAUCUAGGAAUUUCAGUACUUGGGUCAUCCUCGAUCUCAACCUCUGCAAGUCAUAACUAAUCCACCAGUAUGCCUCAGACCAAAACUAAAAUUUAACAUAUAACCAUGAAUUGAAUUAUCAACAGUAGGCUCCCUCACUUGGCUCAAAGCCAUAAAUUAAAACACUCAAUAACUCACAGUACCCAUACUGUAUUACUGCCAUAAUACUGCGGUCAGUUCAACGAAAAUUCUUCUCAAGCUCAUACAACGCUAACCAUAAAAAUACCUCAAUCAUCCUCUAAGCUCGUAUUCAUUCUCUUGACACUCAAGUCAACUUUAUCAACCAGAUUCAAAUUCAAAUCUCAACGCAUACGCCCCGCUGGCAGAAAACAAACUCUCUACUCACAUUAUAAGGAAUACACCUAUGUAGAUUACUCUGCAGGGGGUAACUGUAAGGACCUGACUGGUCGUUUUGAGCAUUUACACUUCGCUCGAUAGUUUACGGGUGUGAGUAGCUCUGUAUGAUAUAUUUUUACUUAUGUGAAUCGUCGGUUUUGAUUUUCAGGUUAUUCGGAAUCGAAUUGGAUGAAAGAAUUUCAUUGUUGAAGCUUUAAAUUGGGAGAGUUGACCAAGUCUGACUUUUAGCAUUUGACCUUGGAUUAGAAUUUUGAUGGUUCUGUUAGCUCCAUUGGGUGAUUUUGGACUUAGGAGCGCGUCCAGAUUGUGAUUUGGAGGUCCGUGGUUGAAUUUGGUUCGAAAUGGUGAAAGUUAAAAUUUUGCAAAGUUUGACCGGGAGUAGACUUUUUGAUAUCGGGGUCGGAUUCCGAUUCCGGAAGUUGGAGCAGGUCUGUAAUAUCGAAUGUGACUUGUGUGAAAAAUUUGAAGUCAUUUCGGAUUGAUUUGCUAUGUUUCGGCAUGAGUUAUUGAAUUUUAAAGUUUAAAGUUUAUAGAUUUCGAUUUGAGGUGCGAUUCGUCGUUUCGAUGUUGUUAUGCGUGAUUUGAGGCCUCGAUAAGUCCGUGUUAUGUUAUUGGACUUGUUGGUAUCUUUGGACGGUGUCCCAAAUGGCUCAGGUGAGUUUCGGGCGAGGUUCUGAUAACUUUCGUUGCAUAGUGCAUUGCUGAAGAUUUCUAGUUCUGGUAUUUCCGCAUCUGCGGAAGAGUGGGCACUGUUGCGGACAAUUGGCCGCAGAAGCGUAGCAGGCUUGGCUGGAGGUCAUCGCAGAUGCGGAGGAGGAGUCGCACCUGCUAGUGCGCAAAAGCGAAAAUUAUUCCGCAAAUGCGAGGGGCCAACUAGUUAGUUGUAGUCGCAGAAGCGAAAUAGUUACCGCAGAUGCGACUAUUUAUAUGCAAAUGCGGAAAGUGCUGGGCAGAGGCUAUAAAAAUCGAGGUUUUUGGUUCUUUUAUCAUAUUUUAAGAUGUGGGACUCGGAUUGAGGCGAUUUUUGGAGCAAAUUUCAUCACAAGGAUUGGGGUAAGUAUUCUACACUUGGUUUUGAUCUUAUUCCACAAAUCUAUCUUUAUUUUGGCAAUUGGUUGAUAAAUUUUAAAGAGAAAUUGGGGGGUUUGGCCUAAAGUUUCCAAAUAUGCAUUUUUGAGUUUUGAACAUCGAAUUGGAGUCGGAUUUGAGUGAAACUAGUAUGGUUGGACUCGUAAUUGAAUGGGUUGUUGGAUUUUUGUAAAUUUUGUCGGGUUUCGAGGUGCGGGUCCAGGUUGGGUUUUUUGCCGGUUUUGGGAUUUUGAUUUAAGAUUUGAUCUUUUUCGAUCGGGAUUGGUUCCUUUAGCAUUGUUUGAUGUACUUGACUUGUUUUUGGUUAGUUUCAAGCCGUUUGGAGGUCGGAACGCGCGAGAUGACAUUUUGGAGCAUCGCUUGGUUUGCUCGGUGUUGGAAUUGGCUUGUUCGAGGUAAGUAACUCUUCUAAACUUAGUGUUGAGGGUAUGAAACCCCGUUACGUGUUAUGUGAUUGGUAUUGAGGUGAUGCACAUACUAGGUGACGGGUGUGUGGGCGUGCAUCAAGUUAUUUAGGACUCUGUUCUUUUCAUGGCACUAUAUAGUAGUCCUAUUUUGUUGAUAUUCGUGUUUUCACCAUGUGAUAAAGUAAUUGAGCUGUCAAUCAUGCUAGAUAUCGUGUUUAGGCUUUAUGCCGAUACUGUUAGGACCCAUAGUGGUUGUUUCUUACUGUCAUUUCAAUGAUUUUAUUGAUAUUUUGUACUUAGUCAUAUUCAUUAAGAGCGUUUGGGCUGAGUAGGACCCCCUCCGGAGUCUGCACACCCCCAGUGAGCGCGGUUGAUAUUAUUGAUGGGUGGAUCUUCCCUGGUCAUGGAUCUUGUCCGAAACAUUAUAUACCUGGAGAUGGAUCUUCUCCACGGGACGGAUUGGCCUUCCUUAGUCCUGAGUGACUGAUGGUUAGUGUUGUAUACAUUUCGAGAUGGAUUUUCCCUGGGCUGUAUGGGCCAUAUACAGUACCGAGUGGUUGAGCAUGAUGAGCGAAAAUUGUGAGACGGUGAGAUUGAGUACUCUGAGAGUAUGAGUAGAUGAUUCAUCUCUGAGAUACAUGGAAUUGACAUGCACACAUAACAUACAGGCAUAAAGAUGCAUUUUUCCUCAUGUUGUACGGUAUCACGUCAUUCAUGACUUUUACACACAUUGAUAUGUGGGCAUAUAGAGGUAUUUCAUACUUGCUAUCUGGAAAGAAAAUGAAACGUCUUAUUUAUGGUGGAAAGGAUAUUUGGAAAAAUUACAGUUUUCAAACUUACGCGUAUUUUUGGCUUUUUCGGUAAAAGAUUUGGGUUUUCAUUGAGAUACUUGAAAAGAAAUGCCUAUUUUUCUGGAACUGUGAAUAAACUGGACCUUUUAUUUCUGAGAUACUCUUUUGUUACUUAUACUAUGUUGUUAUGAACUGUUGUGGAAUAUUGGUGUUGGACCCGACCUUGUGUUAGCUCGUCACUGCUUUCAACCUAAGGUUAGGUUUGUUACUUAUUGAGUACAUGGGGUCGGUUGUAGUCAUACUACACUUCUGCACCUUGCGUGCAGAUAUUGGCUGCUUAUGUUGAUGUGUUCGAUGAGAGCUGGUUUUGAAGAUGUACCUAAGUCCCGGUUGUAGCUGCCUCUUGUUCGUGGUAGCCUUAGAUCUUUUUUAUUCUGUUUAUGUACUUUUCAAAUAGAUGAUGUAUUUAUUUCAUUUCAGCUUUGUAAAUUCUAUUCUUAGAAGCUCAUGAUUUGUACUACCAGUUCUUGGGAAACGUAUCAGAUUCAGAUAUUUCUUUACCUAAUUGCUUUAUUAAUUGUUAUUGGAAUUGGUUAGUGGUUAAUUGGCUUACCUAGAAGGUUGGGUUAGGUGCCAUUACGACUAGUGAAUUUGGGGUCGUGACAAGGUGGUAUCAGAGCUCUAGGUUCAUAGGUUCUACAAGUCAUGAGCAAGUGUCUAGUAAAGUCUUGCGGAUCGGUAUGAUGACGUCCAUACCUAUCUUCGAGAGGCUAUAAGACAUUUAGGAUAUACUUCCCAUCUUUAUUUCUUUAUCAUGCGGCAUUGAUUCAGCUUGAAGCGUAACUCUUUGAAUUUCUUCCACACAUUCGUAUGCGCAUGUGAGCGCUCGGUAUCAGCUGUUCAUCGACGGCUUGUGAUUUCAUGGAUGAGGUACGAGAGGUGAUUUUUGUGUGCUAAUGAAAGGUCAGUCUAGAGGACUUGAGGCCGGGUUUUGACUGUAGCUUGCGCACGAAGAUUUCGGUUGUGUGAGCACGUGCUUUUGGGACUUAUAUGUCUGAUAGUGUCAUUAUUAGUGGAAUUUGUGAUUGGAUAACUAUGUGGGGAGUAUGAGGUGACUGCGGGAUGUGUUCAGAUUGUUCGAAUGUGACGAGAAUAGUUUACUUGAGAUGUAGAAAGGACUAUGGGGUGUCUGAUUUCUGUCUUGAUUUGGCGUAUGGUCUCGAGUUAUGGGUGUAUUAAGGGAUCUCUCAUGUUGUUGAGUUGUGGAGUGAAGUAGAUUCUCAUGUCUUGUUAAUGAGUUUAGAAUCGAGAAGAUUAAGUGAUUGCGUAGUAGUCGUGACUAUGUAAGGGUGUAGAGAGAUGUCAGUUUGAGGCAAAGCAAGUGGGUUAUCCCCUGCGAGGUGUCCUGAGGUUGUGUGAUCCCUAAGAUGUUUUGUAGAGAGUUCCCUUUUACCAGUGAAUGAUAUAGGUUGCAAUUUGAGUUUGGAUCGCCUGUGGAAGUUGGCUUAACCAUCAAGAGGAUGAACGCGAGAUUUGCAAAUGAUUUGAGGUACUAGAUGGUUUGUGUUGCAUGAGCAGAUAAAGGAUUUAAUGGAAUCUCACUGUGGUAUUAUGGUAGUAAUAGAGUAUGGGUAUCGUAAUGUUAUCGACUAUUUUGUUAUAUGGCUUUGAGCCAAGUGGGGGAGUCUGUUAUCGACGAGUUAAUUGCACGACUAUGUGUUGUAUUGGUUUCGGUUUGAGGUAUACUGGUGAAUCAGUUGUGACUGCAGGGGUUGAGAUUGAUGAUGACUCGAGUAAGGAGUUUCUGGAUACAGGUUGUAUUACACUCUAUGGGUAUAUGGGAAUCAUAAAAUAAUUGAGUGGUUAUUCGUGAAGGGUGUUAUGUACAUAGAGUAGGAAUCUGCUUGGUUGCUUAGGAGUGUGGGUUACUCUCUUGGGUGUUGGUGUGCUAAUGGGGAAUUUUCAAGAUUUGUAUAUGGCUAGAACAGGGAGUUGCAUUGUAUGUUGUCGAGACUUGUGGCAUUUUAUAUCAUUAUGGAUUGUGCAUUUCAGUAUCAAGAAGGUGAAGGAAAUAAUUUUAGGUUCACAUAAGGUCUCUUUAGAGUGGGAGUCUCGGUUGUGGUGCCUUAGGGUGCUUAAGAGGGAAGUCAGCGGCUUAUGGGCCUUAGGGCGUUGUGGUUUUAUACUAGGGUCUCUUGUGUGAUGAAUUUUGGUUUAGGAACUUGGUGUUCCAUCAAGGAGAAGUAUCAAUUUGAAAGCAAUUUGGAAGGGACUUGGAGAAAUAGGACAGCGUGGUAGUAGGUUGGAUCAGCACAGUAAUGGAUAUAAUCGGUUCUUUGGGUACUUAUGAUGUGGUUAGUCUUCACAGGUGUUUCGUGGCAAUGCUCUUGGGUUUUGGCGACCUGCGUGGCUGGGUGAGUUAGAGAGAUUCAGUUCUGAUAGCUUAGUUGUGUGCAAAUGGGUUUCUAAGAGUUCUCAAUGGUUUUUACCACGGUUCGAGGAGUAUACUUCCUACCGGCGUGAGGAAUAUGUUGUGUACUGGGAUUUUCACUGGGAUGAGAUCAAAUGGAAGGUUUCUGACUGAUCGGGUAUGUAUUCUGCAUAGGACUCAGAGUUGAUUAUGAGAUUCGUGUACUCUUCACAGGAUGGCAUGGUAGAUGCGGUGUUGUGUGGGAUUGAGAUUUGCAUUUGCAAGGUCAUAAGUCAGUUUGGAAGGGAAGGGCAUAGAUUCGUAGGCCACAUAGACGGUUUCAGAUGACUAGGUAACUGAUAUUACUAAUAGGUAUGGCUUGAUGAGAGUAUACAUNNNNNNNNNNNNNNNNNNNNNNNNNNNNNNNNNNNNNNNNNNNNNNNNNNNNNNNNNNNNNNNNNNNNNNNNNNNNNNNNNNNNNNNNNNNNNNNNNNNNNNNNNNNNNNNNNNNNNNNNNNNNNNNNNNNNNNNNNNNNNNNNNNNNNNNNNNNNNNNNNNNNNNNNNNNNNNNNNNNNNNNNNNNNNNNNNNNAAGUAUUCCUCGUGGGAUGAUCGUGGAUGGGAGAUAUGUUAGACAUUCGGGGGGUGGAGUUGGGAUCAAAUAUGGUGAUUCGUGUGUUUUAUGGAUUUGGAGAUUGGGAGUUCUCAGGAGCGGAUUGUUUCAUGGUUGUGGACUGUGAAGUCAUGGCCAAAGCUAGCCAGAUGAUAGUAUGUGUUAUAAUCCAGUCAUUGUGGGCUUUCGGAGGGUUAUUUAUCUAUUUGUGGGUGACCACAGUUGAUUUGGGGUUCAUUUGUAGGCCCAAUUAGGAUGUGUAUUCUACACCGAGCCGGAUUGGCUGGCUCAAUACUUCUAUUGUUGAGGAAUAUUCCAUUCGAUUGUUGUUGAGCUUAUUCGUGUUCUGAAAUGAUCUGUGAGCUACUCUUUUAUGCUACGAGGAGUUGUGAUUCGUUGGUUAUAAGCACGCCUGGUAUGGCUAUAUUUGGGCUUUAUAGCAGAAUUUGAGCGAGAUGAGUAUUUGGGUAUUGCGUGAUUGAUUGCGCGUUGGCUAUGUUCUUUUCGGAUUGUGGUAUUGUGUUAUCUGCUCUUCGUGGUUACGGUAAUGCACCUUGAGUACUUGAUGUCGGAUUGCGCGUGGUUAUUGAUUUUGAGCAUGAGGGCUAGGGUAUUUCAUAUGGACACGUGUUUGGAUGGGGUCACGCAUUGCAGCGGAGUUAUGCUGAGAUAUGAUCCCUCGUGUUAGAUUCGUGUGUUUUGGUUCUACGGUGUGUGAUAGGUUCUUAGCAUUGAGUUGUGGUGGUACUUGUUGAGCUUGCGGGAAAGUUCUCCCGCCUGAAUCAGUUUUCCAUGAUUUGAGUAUAUUUGGAAGGUUGCUUAUUGGUGCACGGAUUGCACGGGUUAUGGCGUUAGAUUGUAUUGAUGUGGCAUGUCACUAGAGUGGUCGUGUUGGAAAAGAUGAGAUCAUUGGACCUAGAAUGGAUACUAUCGAAAUUGAUUACAGCAUGUUUGGAAGGAUAAUAUCGAAAGUCGGCUUAGAAUUGGCUAUAGUUCUUGUCGAAUGAGAGGGAAUUCCAUGACUGGAUGAUCUGAUGAAUGGUUAUGAGUUCUGUGUGUUCCUUUCAUCAUCGGCAGUGUACGAAGGUUUUAGAACGAGGUUUUGUUUGACAUGGGGUUUAUUACCGAUAUUGGGUGGUUUGCAGCUACUGUGAUUAGAAAUCAUUGCUUCGAGCAUUAAAGUUAUGUGGUAUUUGUGUUUUGAGUAUUCGAGUUAUGGUUACGGAUUUUGAUACAGCUUGUUCAGACUUAUACAGUAUGUAGAUGUGAAAUUCUGAUCUUAUAAGAAAUUCCGGAUGUCGGAAAUUGGAUUCGAAGGCUUGUGGGCUAGGUUGAAUUGAGAAAUUUCAGUUAUGUUGUGUUAUCGGGCCUAUAUGGGAUAGGGUGACAUGAGAUCACCCCGGGGUAUGUGCAUGGUAAGUUUGACUUUUAGUAUUUGACCUCGGAUUGAAAUUUUGAUAGUUCUGUUAGCUCCGUUGGGUGAUUUUGGACUUAGGAGCGCGUCUGGAUUGUGAUUUGGAGGUCCGUGGUUGAAUUUGGCUCGAAAUGGCAAAAGUUGAAAUUUUGAAAAGUUUGACAGGAAGUGGAUAUUUUGAUAUCGGGGUCGGAUUCCGAUUCCGGAAGUUGGAGCAGGUCCGUAAUGUCGAAUGUGACUUGUGUGCAAAAUUUGAAGUCAUUCCGGAUUGAUUUGCUAUGUUUCGGCACGAGUUGUUGCAUUUGAAAGUUCAAAGUUCAUAGAUUUCGAUUUGAGAUGCGUUUCGUUGUUUCGAUGUUGUUAUGCGUGAUUUGAGGCCUCGAGUAGGUCCGUGUUAUGUUAUUGGACUUGUUGGUAUCUUUGGACAGGGUCCCAAAUGGCUCGGGUGAGUUUCGGGCGAGGUUCAGAUCACUUUCAUUACACAGUGCAUUGCUGAAGAUUUCUGGUUCUUGUGUUUCCGCAUCUGUGGAAGAGUGGGCGCAGAUACGGACAGUUGGCCGCAGAAGCGUAGCAGGCUUGACUGGAGGUCAACAUAGAUACGGAGGAGGAGUCGCACCAGCGAGUGCGCAGAAGCGGAAAUUGUUCCGUAGGUGCGAGGGGCCAGCUGGUUAGUUGUGGUCACAGAAGCGAAAUAGUUACCGCAAAUGCGGUGGUCGCAGAUGCGACUAUUUUUUCGCAAAUGCGGAAAGUGCUGGGCAGAGGCUAUAAAAAUCGAGGCUUUUGGUUCUUUUAUCAUAUUUUGAGAUAUGGGACUCGGAUUGAGGCGAUGUUUGGAGCAAAUUUCAUCACAAGGAUUGAGGUAAGUAUUCUACACUUGGUUUUGAUCUUAUUCCAUGAAUCUAUCUUCAUUUUGGCAAUUGGUUGAUGAAUUUUAAAGAGAAAUUAGGGGGUUUGGCCUACAGUUUCCUAAUAUGCAUUUUUGAGUUUUGAACAUCGAAUUGGAGUUUGAUUUGAGUGAAACUAAUAUGGUUGGACUCGUAAUUAAAUGAGUUGUUGGAUUUGUGUAAAUUUUGUCGGGUUCCGAGGUGCGGGCCUGGGUUGGGUUUUUUUUGCCGGUUUUGGGCUUUUGAUUCAAGAUUUGAUCUUUUUCGAUCGGGAUUGGCUCCUUUAGCAUUGUUUGAUGUCUUGAGUUGUUUUUGGUUAGUUUCGAGCCGUUCGGAGGUCGGAACGAGCGGGAUGGAAUUUUGGAGCCUCGCUUGGUUUGCUCGGUGUUGGAAUUGUCUUGUUCGAGGUAAGUAACUCUUUUAAACUUAGUGUUGAGGGUAUGAAACCCCGUUACGUGUUAUGUGAUCGGUAUUGAGGUGACGCACAUGCUAGGUGACGGGCGUGUGGGCGUGCACCAAGUGAUUUGGGACUCUGUUGGUUUCAUGGCAUUGUACAGUAGUCCUAUUUUGUUGAUAUACUUGUUUUCACCAUGUGAUAAAGUAAUUGAGCUGUCAAGCAUGCUAGAUAUAAUGUUUAGGCUUUAUGCCGAUACUGUUGGGACCCAUAGUGGUCGUUUCUUGCUGUCAUUUCACUGAUUUCAUUGAUAUUUCGUACUCAGUCAUAUUCAUGCAUUCAUAUCAUAUCUCAGUCUCAGUUGUUAUUUAUUGAUACAUCAUAUCAUUGCUGUCAGGCUAGUUUCAUGACAUUGUGAGCCUGUGAGCGAGACUNNNNNNNNNNNNNNNNNNNNNNNNNNNNNNNNNNNNNNNNNNNNNNNNNNNNNNNNNNNNNNNNNNNNNNNNNNNNNNNNNNNNNNNNNNNNNNNNNNNNNNNNNNNNNNNNNNNNNNNNNNNNNNNNNNNNNNNNNNNNNNNNNNNNNNNNNNNNNNNNNNNNNNNNNNNNNNNNNNNNNNNNNNNNNNNNNNNNNNNNNNNNNNNNNNNNNNNNNNNNNNNNNNNNNNNNNNNNNNNNNNNNNNNNNNNNNNNNNNNNNNNNNNNNNNNNNNNNNNNNNNNNNNNNNNNNNNNNNNNNNNNNNNNNNNNNNNNNNNNNNNNNNNNNNNNNNNNNNNNNNNNNNNNNNNNNNNNNNNNNNNNNNNNNNNNNNNNNNNNNNNNNNNNNNNNNNNNNNNNNNNNNNNNNNNNNNNNNNNNNNNNNNNNNNNNNNNNNNNNNNNNNNNNNNNNNNNNNNNNNNNNNNNNNNNNNNNNNNNNNNNNNNNNNNNNNNNNNNNNNNNNNNNNNNNNNNNNNNNNNNNNNNNNNNNNNNNNNNNNNNNNNNNNNNNNNNNNNNNNNNNNNNNNNNNNNNNNNNNNNNNNNNNNNNNNNNNNNNNNNNNNNNNNNNNNNNNNNNNNNNNNNNNNNNNNNNNNNNNNNNNNNNNNNNNNNNNNNNNNNNNNNNNNNNNNNNNNNNNNNNNNNNNNNNNNNNNNNNNNNNNNNNNNNNNNNNNNNNNNNNNNNNNNNNNNNNNNNNNNNNNNNNNNNNNNNNNNNNNNNNNNNNNNNNNNNNNNNNNNNNNNNNNNNNNNNNNNNNNNNNNNNNNNNNNNNNNNNNNNNNNNNNNNNNNNNNNNNNNNNNNNNNNNNNNNNNNNNNNNNNNNNNNNNNNNNNNNNNNNNNNNNNNNNNNNNNNNNNNNNNNNNNNNNNNNNNNNNNNNNNNNNNNNNNNNNNNNNNNNNNNNNNNNNNNNNNNNNNNNNNNNNNNNNNNNNNNNNNNNNNNNNNNNNNNNNNNNNNNNNNNNNNNNNNNNNNNNNNNNNNNNNNNNNNNNNNNNNNNNNNNNNNNNNNNNNNNNNNNNNNNNNNNNNNNNNNNNNNNNNNNNNNNNNNNNNNNNNNNNNNNNNNNNNNNNNNNNNNNNNNNNNNNNNNNNNNNNAUCUUCAGUCUCAGUUUGUUAUUUAUUGAUACAUCAUAUCAUUGCUGUCAGGCUAGUUUCAUGACAUUGUGAGCCUGUGAGUGAGACUGGAGAGAUUGAUGACUGAGUGAGGCCGGGGGCCUAUUUGUGAGAAUAUUGAUACUAUAGCACGUGACUUGUCCGUGCAGCACAUGAGUUGUCCGUGCGGAUCCAGUUAUUAAUAUUAUGGCACGGGAGUUGUCCGUGCGGAUUAUAGCGCUUGGGCUUUAGGAGCCCCUCCGAACUUUGCACACCCCCAGUGAGCGCGGUUGAUAUUAUUAAGGGAUGGAUCUUCCCUAGACAUGGAUCUUGUCCGAAGCAUUAUAUACCUGGAGAUGGAUCUUCUUCACGGGAUGGAUUAGCCUUCCUCAGUACUGAGUGACUGAUGGUCAGUGAUGUAUAUAUUCCGGGAUGGAUCUUCACUGGGCCGUAUGGGCCAUAUACAGUACCGAGUGUUUGAGCAUGAUAAGCAGAAAGUGUGAGACACUGAGAUGGAGUACUCUAAGAGUGUAAGUACAUGAUUCAUCUCUGAGAUACAUGGCAUUGGCAUGCACACAUGACAUACAGGCAUAGAGAUGCAUUUUUUCUCAUGCUGUACGGUAUCACGUCAUUCAUGACUUUUUACACACAUUGAUAUGUGGGCAUAGAGAGGUAUUUCACACUUCCUAUCUCGAAAGAAAAUGAAACAUCUUAUUUAUGGUGGAAAGGAUAUUUGGAAAAAUCACAGUUUUCAAACUUACUCGUAUUUUUGGCUUUUUUGGUAAAAGAUUUGGGUUUUCAGUGAGAUACUUGAAAACAAAUGCCUAUUUUUCUGGAACUGUGAACGAACUGAGCCUCUUAUUUCUGAGAUACUCUUUUGUUACUUGUACUAUGUUAUUAUGAACUGUUAUGGAGACCUUGUGUUAGCUCGUCACUACUUUCAACCUAACGUUAAGUUUGUUACUUAUUAAGUACAUACUUCUGCACUUCUGCACCUUGCGUGUAGAUGUUGGCUGCUAAUGUUCCUAUAUUCGAUGGGAGCUGGAUUUAAAGAUGUACCUGCAUCCCAGUUGUAGCUGCCUCUUGUUUGUGGUAGCCUUAGAUCUAUAAAAAUUCUGUUUAUGUACUUUUCAAACAGACGAUGUAUUUAUUUCAUUUCAGCUUUGUAAAUUCUAUUCUUAGAAGCUCAUGAUUUGUACUACCAGUUCUUGGAAAACGUAUCAGAUUCAGAUAUUUCUUUACUUAAUUUCUUUAUUAAUUGUUAUUGGAAUUGGUUAAUGGUUAAUUGGCUUACCUAGCAGGUUGGGUUAGGUGCCAUCACGACUAGUGGAUUUGGGAUUGUAACAAUAACCCACCUACUUAGCCUCAAAUUGGUAUUUUGUUAUACCCUUUCGCAGUUAUAAUUACUAUGAAAUCACUUAACCUUUCUGAGCCCAAACUCAUUAACCAGAUAUGAGAAUUUAAUUUGUCCCAAAAUUUAACAACGUGAAAGAUCCUUCAAAACAUUCAUACUCGAGACAGUACGUCACAUCAAAAUGAAAAUCGAGCAUCCAAUGGCCCAUCCUUUACAUUUCAAGGAAACACUUCUCGUCACAUUCAAAUCGUCUUAACACAUCCCGUAGUUACAUCAUACUCAUCACAAAGUCAUUCCACCGCUCAUCGAGCCACAAAUUCCACUCGUAGAAACAUUAUCGGACAUAUGAGUCCAAAUGUACAUGUUACAACUGAAGCUACCGAGCCUAAGUUGCGGUCUAAACCUGGCCUCAAGUCCUCCAAACUGGACCAUCACCAAAACAUAGAAUACAUAUCUCAAAACCUNNNNNNNNNNNNNNNNNNNNNNNNNGAAAGAUGGGAAAUUAUCCUAAAUGCCAUGUAGCCUCUCGAAGAUAAGUAUGGACGUCAUCAUACCGAUCAGCAAGACUCUACUAGACACUUGCUCAUGACUUGUAGAACCUAUGAACCUAGAGCUCUGAUACCACCUUGUCACGACCCAAAAUCUAACUAGUCGUAAUGGCACCUAACCUAACCCGCUAGAUAAGCCAAUUAUCAACUAUCCAAAUCCAAUGUAAUUUAACAAGACAAUUAAGCAAAAGAAAUCAUCUAAAUAUUGUACAUUCCCCAAAGAUUAGUAGUACAAAUCAUGAACUUCUAAGAACAAAGUUUACAAAGCUGGUAUGAAGUAAAUACAUCAUCUGUUUGAAAAGUACAUAAACAAAGUUUUAUGAAUCUAAGGCUAUCAUGAACAAGAGACAGCUACAAUCGGAACGCAGGUACAUCUUCAGAUCUAGCUCCCAACGAACACAGCAACAACCAACAUCUGCACACAAGGUGCAGAAGUGUAGUGUGGGUACAACCGACCCCGUGUACUCAAUAAGUAACAAACCUAACCUUAGGUUGAAAGUAGUAACAAGCUUGUACCAAGGUCAGAGUCCAACGCCAAUAACCAAUAAUAGUUCAUAACAACAUAAAGCAAGUAAUAAAAGAAGUAACUCAAAGAAUAGAUGCUCAGAUAAAUCAUGAUUUCUGAAAAUAGUUCUGCCUUUCAAGUGUAUCUGUGAAAAUCCCAAGUCAUUUACCGAAGUUGCCAAAAAUAUAAGUAAGUUUGAAAACAGUAAUUCUCCCAAAAAUACUUUCAACAAUAAAUAAGAUAUUUCAUUUUCUUUCUAGAUUACUAGUGGAAAAAUGCAUCACUAUGCUCGUAGGCCAAUAUGUGUGAGAAGUCAUGAAUGACGUGAUACCGUACAGCAUGAGGAAAAUACAUCUUUAUGCAUGUAUGUCAUGUGCACAUGUCAAUGCCUGUAUAUCAUGUACGCAUGUCAAUGCAAUGUAUCUCAGAGAUAAACUCAUGUACUCGCACUCUCAGAGUACUCAAUCUCACUGUCUCACACAUUCCACUCAUCAUGCUCAAUCACUCUGUAUUGUAUAUAGCCAAUCCGGCCCAGGGAAGAUCCAUCCCGGAAUAUACACAUCAAAUGAUCAUCAGCCACUCAGUACCAAGUAGGGCCAAUCCAGCCCAUGGGGAAGAUCCAUCCCCAGGUAUAAAUGCUUCGGACAAGAUCCAUGUCCAGGGAAGAUCCAUCCCUCAAUAUAAAUCAACCACGCUUAUUGGGGUGUGUGCAGACUCCGGAGUGGCUCCUUCAGCCCAAGCACUAUCGUAAAUUAGUAUAACCACUGCGGCGUGCAGUCCGAUCCCAUAAAUAUCACUCAUAAUCAGGCACUCGACCUCACUCAGUCAUCAACUUCUCUAGUCUCUCGGUCUCACAAUGACAUAAACUAGCCCAAAAAUGAUGAUAUGAUAUAUCAAUAAAUAAUAAUAGAGACUGAGAUAUGAUAUGCAAUGAAAUAAAUAUGACUAAGUAUGACAUUGCAAUGUAAACAAAUAACUCAGCAGCACUAAUGACCUCAGUGAGUCCUAACAGAAUAAGCAUGUAGCCUAAACAUGGCUUCUAAUAUGAAUCAUAGCUCGAUAACUCUGGUACCUAGAGAUUUCAUGAUUACAGACAAGUUCAGGUAACUACAUAGUACCACAGAAAUAACGGAAUCACAGCUCACACAGUGCACGCCCACACGCCCGUUACCUAGCAUGUGCGUCACCUCAACACCAAACACAUAAAACGUAUAUUCAGGGGACAUACCCUCAGCUCCAAGAUUAGAAGAGUUACUUACCUCGAACAAGCCGAAUCUAAUAUCGAGCAAGCUAAAUAAUGCUCCAGAAAUUUUAUUUUGGGCGUAUCAUAUUUCGAACACUUCCUAUCUCCUCAAUUCAAGCCAAACGAUCUAUAUCUAUUCAAACAACGUGCAAAUAAAUCAAAAUUUACUCCAAUACUUACAAAUUAACAAUUUUUGAAAAUUCCCAACUCCGCUCGAAAAAUCGACGGUGCGGCCCACGUCUCGGAAUCCGACGAAACUCACAAAAUAUGACAACCUAUUCAAUUACGAGUUCAACCAUACUAAUUUCACCCAAAACCGACUCCGAAUCGAUGUUCAAAUCUCAAAAAAUCAUUUUAUGAAAUUGUAAAAACAUUCCUCCGAUUUAUCUUUAAAAAUCAAUAAUCUAACACCGAAAAUGAAGAUUAACUCAUGAAAUAUAAUCACAAGGGAUUCAAGAACACUUACCCCAAGUUGUGUGAAAAAAUUCCUCUCCAAAAUUGCCCAAACUGAGCUCCAAAAUCCGAAAAUGGGUGAAAAUAUUGAACCCUCGAAGUUAAAGGGUUCUGCCCAACGUUAUCCGCAUCUGCGGUCGAAUAGACGCAUCUACGACCUCCGCUUCUGCACAAGAAGCUCGCAUCUGUGACUGUGGUCGCUUCUGUGACGAGCAAACUGCAUCUGCGGUCUCGCUUCUGCGCGCGUUGGGCCGCUUCUGCGCCCGCAUGUCCGCAUCUGCGGCUUCUGUCCAAAGCCUCCUUGGCUGCUUCUGCGGCUCCUUUGUCGCUUCUGCGACCAUCGCACCUGCGCAAACCAGCCGUAGGUGUGGUCACACCAGAACCGGCAGCAACCAUCAAUAAUAACAUGAAGAAAAAUGAUCUGAAAUCAAUCCGAAACACGAAUGAGCCCCUCGGGACCCCGUCUGAACAUACCAACAAGUCCCAUAACAUAAUACGGACCUACUCGAGGCCUCAAAUCACACCUAACAAUAUCAAAAUGACGAAUCACACCUCAAAUCAAAAUCUAUAAACUUUAAACUUUCAAAUUCUAUAUCUUGUGCCGAAACAUAUCAAAUCAAUCCGGAAUGACUUCAAAUUUUGCACACAAUUCAUAAAUAACAUAACAGAGUUAUUCCAAUUUCCAGAAUUGGAUUCCGACCCCGAAUCAAAAAAUCAACUCCCCGGUCAAACUUCCAAAAAUUCAACUUUCGCCAUUUCAAGCCUGAUUUCACUACGGACCUCCAAAUAAUUUUCCGGACCCGCUCCUAAGUCCAAAAUACCAUACGGAGCUAUUAAAAUCAUCAUAAUUCAAAUCCGAGGUUGUUUGCACAUAAGUCAACAUCCGAUCAACUUUUCCAACUUAAGUUUUCAAUUAUGAGACUAAGUGUCUCAUUUCACUCCGAAAUCCUUCCGGACCCGAACCAAUUACCCCGACAAGUCAUACAACAAUUGUAAAGCAUAAAUUGAGCAGUAAAUGGGGAAAUAGGGCUGUAAUACUCAGAAUGACCGGUCGGGUCGUUACAGUGGGACCUUGGUGUUAUCGAUGUUCGUUGGGGAUUUCGAGACUUGAAAUAGGUUUGUAUUGUGAUUUAUGACUUGUGCACAAAGUAUGGCAUCAUUCUGGAAUAUUUUGGUAUGGUUCAGACUCGUUCGUCUAAGUUUGAAAGUUAAAGAAGGAUUUCGAUCGUCGAUUCGUAGUUUCGAUGUUGACAGAUGUGAUUUGAAGGCUCGACUAAGUCCAUAUAGUAUUUUAGGACUUGUUGGUAGGUUUGGUUGAGGUCCCCGGGGGCCUCGUGUGGAUUCUGGAUGGUUAACAGAUCAAUUUUUGGACUUAAGAAGAAGCUGGAAAAUUUGGUUACUGGUAUAACCGCUUCUGCAAAAGAUUUAUCGCAGAAGCGGCCUCGCAUAAGCGAGGAAGUGGACCGCACAAGCGGCUGAGAGUGAACUGGGCAGAGGCCACAGGUACGAAGGAUUUUCCGCACAUCCUAGAUCGCAGAUGCAACCGUUGGAGCGCAGAAGAAGAGGUUGGCCAAGAAGGCCUAGGCCGCAGAAGCGGAAAAGGAGGCGCAGGUGCGCGAGCGCAGAAGCGCCUGAGGCACGUAGAAGCGAAAGUGCAGGUGCACUACUUUGGGUGCAGAAGUGAGGGUUGUUGGGUUGUGCUGAAGCCGCAGGUGUGGAGUCGCAGAAGCGGCUACUGUUCUGCCAGUGCGAAGGUCGGGUUGGGCAGUGUGUUCUUUAAAAUGGGGGUUUGGCCCAUUUUCAUCUCAUUUCGUCCAUGGAAGCAUAUUUUAGAGCACUUUUGGCGUGUCUUCUUCAUCAACUAUAAUGGGGUAAGUGAUUUCUUCACAUUGAGAGUUAAAUAUAUGGUUUUUAUAUGUAUUCAAGCAUGAAAAUUUGGUAGAAAUUGUGAGAUUUUGAAAGAAACCUAGAAGAUGGUAUUUUUGAAUUUUUACCACGAAAUUGGACAUGAAAUUUGGAAUAAGUUAUAUAUUUGAGUUCAUGGUGUUAUGGGUGAAGUUUAUAUUCGAAAAAUUUAUCCGGGCACAUGGGCCUGAGGGCGAGUUCAUCAAUUUUUCGAGCAAAGUUGGAAAUUGUUAUAAACUGAUUUAUUAUGAGUAUUAGAGUAUAUGUUCAUGGAAUUUCACAUUCAUUUACUAGUUUUGGAGCGACGGACGUCGGUUUGAGUUGUUAGAAAAGUUUGGAGCCGGUUAUGGAACUUCAAAGCGAGGUAAGUCUCUUUUCUAACCUUGUAAGAGGGAAUUAACUCCAUAGGUGAAUUGAUUUAAUAUGUGCUUCUAUUUGUGGGGGCUCCGUAUGUACGAGGUGACGAGAGUCCGUACGUAGCUACUAAUUAUGCUUAUGUUCGGGUAGUCUAGGACCCAAAUCAUGUUAUACUUGCGAUGUUUGUACCCUACUUGUCAAUUUAAUCGCUUAAAUCAUAUUGGAAUUUGAUAAAGGAAUUGUAAAAGGUUAAAUUUCAUUUACUUGAGUUUUGGAUGGGUCACUUGACCGUUAACGAGAAUUGGUGUUUCUUUGAAUAUUAGCCUCGUAAUAAUCUUGAAUCGGUUGUUUAUAAAGUAUUUUCUCCUCUCGUGGAGCGGGCUGAAUGCCUCGGUAGCAGAUAGAUGCAUAUAUAGUUCAUGUCGUUCGACCCUCGGCAGUGCACAAUUUAUAUAUUUGUAUGUUGGAUCGGGUCGUACGACCUUAGCAUAAUUCGUGCGUAAUAAUUCGUGGAGUCCAAUUAUAAUUGAUAUUGUUUCAUUGGCUUGAGAGAUUAAUUUGUUAAAUGAUGGAAAUUAAUUUGGGAUUUACUGUCAGUGAAAUAAUUAUUUAUUUAUUUCUUGUUAUUGAGUUUUCAGCUGUAUUUACAUAAUCCAUGCUUAAUUAUAAUUUUGGUAUUUUAUUGUUAGCCCACAGUAAGCGUCGAAGUCGACCCAUUGUCACUAUUUCUUCGAGAUUAGACUAGCUAGAUACUUACUGGGUACACGUGUUUUACGUACUCAUGCUACACUUGCUGCACAUUUUGUGCAGGUACCGAUACGUCUAGUGGUCUUGUGAGCGCAGAGGCGCAGCUAUUGCGGGGACUUAGGUUAACUACAUCCCAUGUCACGAGUCCGCAGCACACAGAGUAUCCAUCAGAGUUAUUUAAAUUCUCUUGUCUAAUUUGUACUCCAGAUAGAUGUUGUAUUUUAUCGUAUUUCCUAGUUGAUGCUCAUGCACUUGUGAUACCGGGUUUUGGGGGUUCCUACUGGAUGUUUAGUAUGGUAGUUCAUGUAAUUAUCAUCGUUCCACUCUAUAAAUUCAAUUUUAUACUAUUUAAUUAAUGGAAAUUAAGAUUUCAAAAUGAAUAAAAAUGAGUAAUUAAGUGGAUUAAUCAUCGUUGGCUUACUUGACAGCGGCAUUAGGCGCCAUCACGAUCUAUAGUAAUUUUGGAUCGUGACAGCUUGGUAUCAGAGCAUUAGGUUCACUUGGGUCUCAUGAGUCAUGAGCAGUAGAGUCUUACGGAUCGGUAUGAAGAGGUAUGUACUUAUCUUUGAGAGACUACAGGGCUGUUAGGAGCACUUCCCUUCUUGAUUCCUCAUCGUGCGAUUUGAUUCCUUCGAGGCUUAUGCCUUAUUUCCUUUUGUAUUCAUUCUUGUACGCUGUUGAGCACGUGUGUCAAUUGGGCAUCGAGGAGUUGCAGUGGUACUACAGACGUGGAGCAGGAUGUUUCUCCCUGCACAUUUGAGCAAGUUAUUAUCGUCUUCUUACGGAAGGAUGUUCUGUCAUUUCAGCUCAGUAGCUAUAUUUUUUAUGGGAUCGAGGCUACGCGCAGAUUGCUAUGAUGUUCAGACAUUGUUAUCACACAAUGUUGAUGUAAUGGUUGGGUGUUUGUUUAUGUGUCGAGGCAGUGAAUGACUUGAAAGGAGGAUUUCUCAGCACAUGAUUUAGAGGUUCAACGUUUAUUUCCAGCAAAGGAAAGGCUACCGGACUAUGAAUGUUCAGGUUUGGGUGGAUGCAGUAAUGAGACUUGGUAUUUUCGAGCGUGGUAGAAUUUUCAUCUGUGAUUUGGUGUCAUUAUCCUUGUUUAAAUGCAUUACGUUCGCCGGUGUUAUGGUCUUCUUCAAUUUUGCCUUCGGGGUAAGGUGUUGUGAAAUGGUGCCUGAGAAGCGGUUGUCGGGGAUGGCGGUGUGUAGCAGUUUCAGAAAUCGAAUUGGUGUUUCUAAUGUUGAUGGCUCGUGAAAGAUGAUCUUCGAGGAGGCUUAGAGUUGGUAGCAAUUUAUUAGUUCAGGUGCUACAGAGAUGGAUUUUAAUUUGAUGCAACAUUUGGGCAGCAAAGUAUGAGGAAUAAAUAGCGAGAAGUGUCUCGCGGUGGUUGAAUUACGAGCAGACCAAGUAUGAAAAAUAGAGGUCGAGAAGUCGCUUAAAGAAGAUGGUUUGGCCAAAGUGGAAGUGACGGAGUAGCGUAUGAAUUCUAUGGUAGGAUAGCCACAUGACUUGAGAAAAGUUUAUGAGUGAUUUGAGAUUCAUGGUGGACAGUGACUAGGUCUACGGACUUAAUUUGGAAUGUUGGAUACUAUAUUGAGGAAGAUUGUAUACUACAGAAAAGAGUUUGCUUGAUAUGAAAGGGGAAUGCAACAAGACUUCGUAUUGGAAUGUAUUGUCACACUUUUAGUUGAUGUCAAUGGGGGGGGGGGUGAACAGACUUGUACAGCUGGUAAACGAGCACAGGCUCAGGAGGGUUUACUGAUUUCAUAGUAAUUGUACCCAGUUUAGUGUCGUUAGAAGAUGUCAGCAUGGAAUUUUCACAGAUGGGUUAUCUCCUGUGAGCAGGUUAGCGGUUGCGUGGUGUUGAUGAAACUUCUACGAAGAAUUUUACUGGCUAUCCGGUAAGAGGUCGAAUGUGUGAAUGUGUUUAGGGAUUCAUAAUGUUCAUGAAAUGUUUAACAUAAAAAAUUCGAGAAAUUUGGCGGGUUGAUUGUGCGAGAGCAUAGUAAUUUGGAAGGAGGAAUUCUUAUGGGUUCCAGGGUUAUGAAAUUGUAGCUUCAAGCUAAGUAGGGGAGCCCCAACGUCUAAGGUUGGAUCACGUGGUUGUCUACUUGUGCGGUUUCUGGUCAUCGGUAUAUUGGUGGGUUAUUAUGACUAAGGAAAGAAAACAUCAGUGGUAAUUCGAGCAAUGGAUUUGAGGAAUGUGUGCUAUACUUGGCCUUAUCGAUUCAUGUUCAGGUUUUGGGAAGACUCGGAGUUUAUGGCUCUUGUGGGGGUUAUGUAUAAGGAAAAGAAUUCAGUCGGGUGAUUAUUUGAUAGGGUGUUCCCGUGCUAACAGUGUAUUAGAGAGAGUUCAGCUUAUAUUCGGGACCAAGUCAGAGUGGGGGACUCUCAAUAGUGGUCCUAGUGGGUUCAAGAAUUUAAGUGCAGUGCCUAAGGACUUGGGAUAUUCUAUGUUAUCAUUGGGUAUGCAGUGUAGUAUUGGAGGAAAGGAGGAAAUAGUUUCGGAUUCGCAGAAGGUCUUGUAGAAUAGGUGAACCAGUUGGAGAUGCUAUUAUACGCGUAAGGAGAAUAUGAGAUGAUUCGUGAGUAAUAAGACAAUGUGGUCUCGUGAUACGGUUCACUCGGAACGAGUGCGGAUUUGGUUUGUUAGGUUUGAAUGGAGCUAUUAUUAUUUCUAAGGCAUGUCGAGAAUAAAUUGGAAGAAGUUGGGUCGGUUAGUAAUGGUUGAAUCAGUAUGAUUGUGGCAGCGAUCAGUUUCUUCAGCGUGAAGUUAUACAUGUAGUUUGUGGUUGUACACUUGGGCUUGAGCGCUACCACAACUUGGUUGAUUUGGAAGGUAUUUGAUUUGAAUGGCUUUAUUGUGUAAAUGGACUCCGGAAGAGUUAUGGCAGUCUAGAUCAUGACUUGAGGUUUCUACGGUUUGAGAAUUCAGUUACGUGUUGCGUUGGUUCUUCUGAAGUGAGCUGAGUGAAAAGUUUUCUAGCCAAGGAAGUGUUUAUUUUACUAGUAGUUUAGGAGUUAUGAUGAGUUCUGGUAAUCUUGUAUAGCGGCAUGAUAGGUGCAGUGAGCAGUAUGGGGACUGGAACCUGAAGGUCACGGUUGCGGUUCGGUGUUAAUAGAAUGUUACGAGCUCGGAUGAGCAUGAGUGAAUUUAGAUGUUCAGAGUAAGCUGACAUUUUCUUUAGUGUCACCUGAGGAUGGUGUUCUAUGGAAGAGGCUUUGUAUACUGACUUGCGAAUUUUUGAUUCGUUUUGCAGAAUUUGAACAGUUGGUGGUAUAGAAGUGCGGACCUUACUACCUGAGCGGAAGGUCGUGGAAGCGUACCACACGAGGGAUUUGUAUAAGUGUGACAUGUUGGUCUCUUGAUUGUUACAGAUUGAAAUCAAGUAUGGACGUUAUGGUAAUAUCGCAAAUGCCAGAGUUGAUGCCUGCUGUGAGUUUGUUCCUAAUUUGACGGCUGUUCUUAUGUGUCAUGAAUAGUUCAUUGUGGGUCCUUGAAAGGUUAUUUGCCCAGCAUGGUAUGAUUAGAAUCGGCUUGAGGUCCGUUGAUGGGUAUAAAUAUGGAUUGUGCUCUAUACCAGGCCGAGUGGGUUCAUUUAGCAUAGCGUUUCUUAUGGAGGAGUCUUCAAACAUUGGAUGUUAUUUCUGUCGUCAGCUAUUCCAUGUAACCCUCCACUGUGCCAUUUGGGUUGUGAGACAGCUUGAUUAUUCGCACGUGUGAUGUGGUCACAUGUAGCUUGUGGUGUUAUAUGAGCAGGAUGGCUCUCGAGAUACAGGUCAUUCAUCGCACCUUAGUUGUGCUUGGGUUUAGUAGCGUAUGGCACUAUCUGUCUCCCCAGGGUUGUAUUUUUGCACUAGUUAUGCUCGUGGUUGAUAUUCGGGUAUUUCAUAGGUAUGGGCAUUUUGGCUUGAUGGGUACUUCCUCAUUUAUUGUCAUGUGUGGAUCGGGUGGCACGCCGCCACGGGUAUGUUGUUUGGAUCGGGUUGCAUGCCACAACGUUAUUAUGUGUGGAUCGGGUUGAACGCCGCAAUAGUGAGAUGUUGAGUACGGUUCCAUGUAUUUAUUCUUGUGUAUUUUAUUUUCCAUCCUCUGAGAAAGGCUCAUAGUAUUUGAUGGUCGUUUUAUUCGUUACACGGGCUGGAUAGUUCUUUUUCAGAGUUCGUUCUUCCUUAUGUGUCAUAUUCCAGUUGUAGCUUGUAGGCGCAUUGAUGGCGUCAUUUGAAAUCUUAGAUAGUGUUUGCAGUGGCUUAUUGUCGGAGCAGCUUGUACUGGGUGAGACGAGUUUAUUGGACCCGGGAUCAGUGCGAUCAUAUUUAUAUAAGGCAUAUUAAAGUGAGAAUAUCGUUAUUCGGUUUAGAACGAGGCUAUGGUCCUUGUUAGGAGAAGCGACAACAUGAUUUGAUUGAUUCGGCAGGUGGUUAUGAAUUUCUACGCAUCUUCUCUGCAGUGGCAAUAUUGUGAGGAUUUAAAUUGGGCUUAUUUGUAUUACGAGGUGUAUUCCGGCAUCAUAUUCGUAAAAUUUCAGCUAUUGUGGUUAGGGGAUGUUAUUAUGGGAAAUCGACUUAUGUGGUGCGUGGUGUGAUUUCCGCAUAGAUGCAUGAUCAUGUUUUGGUACAAUGUGUGGUGAUUGGCACGACGUUCGUGUGUUAGAAUCAGGCAUUGUAGAGAAAUUCGAAGGUUGGAAUUUGGUUCGAAGGCUUAUUAACUAAAUAAAAAAAGGAAACUCUUCAGUCCGGCUCUAGCUAAUGUGUUCAACUGGGUUGUGGUGGUACAGGUAAGUGCACGAGGUGUUAAACAGAGAUUUUGGACAACUCCGAAGCAGUUCUUACCACGUUCGAAGACGAACGUAUGUUUAAGUGGGAGAGAAUGUAACGACCCGACCGGUCAUUUUGAGCUCUACUGUGUCAUACAGCAGUUUGAGGCCUUGAGUAGCUUCACUUCGGGUAUUUUUAUUAGUACGUGUGGUCGGAAUUGAAUUUCGGGAAGUUCAGAGUUGAUUUGGAAAGAAAAUUUUAAUUUUGGAAGCUUUAAGUUGGAGGAAUUGACUAAGGUUUGACUUUUAAGUAAAUAACCUCAGAAUCAGGAUUUGAAGGUUCCAACAGGUUAGUAUGAUGAUUUCAGACUUGGGCGUAUGUUCGGGUUGAGUAUCGGGUCGUCCGGGAGUAUUUUGGCGCUUAUUAUGGAAGGUUGGCAUUUUGAAGGUUUAGGAAUUUCUUAAGUUUGGUUCGAGGCGAGACCUUGGUGUUAUCGAUGUUCGUUGGAGAUUCUGAGCCGUGGAAUAGGUUCGUAUUGUGAUUUAUGACUUGUGCGCAAAUUUUGGCAUCAUUCCGGAAUAUUUUGGUAUGGUUUGGAUGCAUUCGUCAAAGUUUGAAAGUUAAAGAAGGAUUUCGAUCGUCGGUUCAUAGUUCCGAUAUUGUUUGAUGUGAUUUGAAGGCUCGACUAAGUCCGUAUAGUAUUUUAGGACUUGUCGGUAGGUUUAGUUGAGGUUCUGGGGACCUAGGGUGGAUUCUAGAUGGUUAACAGAUCGAUUUUUGGACUUAAGGAGAAGCUGGAAAAUUUGGUUGCUGGUGUAACUGCUUAUGCGGAAGAUUCAUCGCAGAAGCGGCCUCGCAGAAGCGAGGAAGUGGACCACAGAAGUGACUGGGAGUGAACUGGGCAGAGGCCGCAGGUGCGAAGGAUUUUCCGCACCUGCGAGAUCGCAGAUGCGACCGUUGGAGCGCAAAAGCGGGGGUUGGCCAAGAAGGCCUGGGCCGCAGAAGCAGAAAAGGAGGCGCAGGUGCACGAGCGCAGAAGCGCUUGAGGCCCGCAGAAGCGGAAGCGCAGGUGCGCUACUUUGGGCGAAUAAGUGAGGGUUGUUGGGUUGUGCUGAAGCCGCACCUGCGAUGGAUUAUCCGCAGGUGCGGAGCCACAGGAGCGGCUACUAUUCCGCAGGUGCGAAGGUCGGGUGGGGCAGUGUGUAUUUUAAAACGAGGGUUUGGCCCAUUUUCAUCUCAUUUCGUCCAUGGAAGCCUAUUUUGGAGCACUUUUGGAGUGUCAUCUUCAUCAACUAUAAUGGAGUAAGUGAUUUCUUCACAUUGUGAGUUAAAUAUAUAAUUUUUAUAUGGAUUCAAGCAUGAAAAUUUGGUAGAAAUUGUGAGAUUUUGAAAGAAACCUAGAAAAUGAUAUUUUUGGAUUUUUACCACGAAAUUGAACGUGGAAUUUGGAAUAAGUUAUAUAUUUGAGUUCGUGGUGUUAUGGGUGAAGUUUAUCUUCGAAAUAUUUUCGGAAUCCGGGCACGUGGGCCCGAGGGUGAGUUCAUCAAUUUUUCGAGCGGAGUUAAAAAUUAUUAUAAAUUGAUUUAUUAUGAAUAUUAGAGUAUAUGUUCAUGGAAUUUCACAUUCAUUUACUAGUUUUGGAGCGAUGGGCGCCGGUUUGAGUUGUUAGAAAAGCAUUGGAGCCGGUUAUAAAACUUCGGAUCGAGGUAAGACUCUUUUCUAACCUUGUAAGAGGGAAUUAACCCCAUAGGUGAAUUGAUUUAAUAUGUGCUUCUAUUUGUGGGGGUUGCCUAUGCACGAGAUGACGAGAGUCCGCAUGUAGAUACUAAUUAUGCUUAUGUCCGGGUAGUCUAGGACACAAAUCAUGUUAUACUUGUGAUGUUUGCAUCCUACUUGUUAAUUUAAUCGCUUAAAUCAUAUUGGAACUUGAUAAAGGAAUUGUAAAAGGUUAAAUUUCAUUUACUUGAGUUUUGGACGGGUCACUUGACUGUUAAUGAGAAUUGGUGUUUCUUUGAAUAUUAGCUUCUUAAUAAUCUUGAAUCGGUUGAUAAUAAAGUAUUUUCUCUUCUCGUAGAGCGGGCCGAACGCCUCGGUAGCAGAUAGUUGCAUCUAUGAUUCGUGUCGUUCGACCCUCGAUAGUGCACAUUUUAUAUAUUUGUAUGUUGGAUCGGGCCGUACGACCUUGGCAUAAUUCAUGCGUAAUAAUUCUUGGAGUCCAAUUAUAAUUGAUAUUGUUUCAUUGGCUUGAGAGAUUAAUUUGUAAAAUGAUGGAAAUUAAUUUGGAAUUUACUAUCAGUGAAAGAAUUAUUUAUUUAUUUCUUAUUAUUGAGUUUUCAGCUGUAUUUACAUAAUCCAUGCUUAAUUAUAAUUUUUGGUAUUUUUAUUGUUAGCCCAUAGUAAGCGUCGAAGUCGACCCCUCGUCACUACUUCUUCGAGAUUAGACUAGAUACUUACUGGGUAUAUAUGUUUUACGUACUCAUGCUAUACUUGCUGCAUAUUUUGUGCAGGUACCUAUAUGGCUAGUGGUCUUGUGGGCGCAGAGGUGCGGCUAUUGCAGGGACUUAGGUGAGUUGCAUCCUAUGUUACGAGUCCGCAACACACAUAGUCUCCAUCAGUGUUAUUUACAUUCUCCUGUCUAAUUUAUAUUCCAGACAGAUGUUGUAUUUUAUCAUAUUUCCUAAUUGAUGCUUAUGCACUUGUGACACCGAGUUUUGGGAGUUCCUACUGGAUGUUUAGUAUGGUAGUUCACGUAAUUAUUAUCGUUCCACUCUGUAAAUUCUAUUUCAUACUAUUUAAUUAAUGGAAAUUAUGAUUUCAAAAGGAAUAAAAAUGAGUAAUUAAGUGGAUUAAUCAUCGUUGACUUGCCUGACGGCAACGUUAGGCGCCAUCACGAUCUAUAGUGGAUUUUGGGUGAUGACAUAUGUAGUACAUCAAAUGAACAACGUUUUCUUGUAUAUUUGUGAAAUUUUAACUUACAUUUCACAUGCAACUAUUAUCUUUUUUCUCCUGUUUGGUUCUUCUCCAAUAAGUGGUUUACCGUUUCUAACAUGUAAACUACAUCUAAAAGGCAUGAGAUUAAAAUUAAUGAUAAAUAUCAAGUAAUUAUGUACGAAGAAUAAUUCAUAAAUUCCAAAGAUAUAUAGUAUCGUUACUAAAAAUUUUGUCUCUUCCAAAAAUACAAAAACGUUAGAAUAAUUUCGGAUAGAAAUAUCAUUGUCAAAUUCUUUGCAAUGGUGUUGUUAGUAUAAAUCAUUUCAAAUGGUUCGUUGUAUCAAAUCUUAUACCAUCAAUGAGAGUUGUAUAAAAUCUUAUAUUGUUCCUCCCAUAAUAUGUCAAUUGGUUUUGGAAGCAACCUCAUGUGAAUUAUUCAUAUUUUCAAAUCAGAAUAUAGUAUUAUUUCUUUAAACUUAUAUAUAUAUAUAUAUAUAUAUAUUCAUCAACUUAUUCACUUCAUCGAUCUCAUGUACGAAACAAGAAAAAUAUAAGGAAAUUGGUAUAAAAACUUACCCUUUAAGGUAGGCCCCUCCUAUCACUUAUAUAAGCGCUAAUCAUAGCUUGGUUAAAUAGAAAAUCUCAAGUUAACUUUGUGAAAUUUUGAAAAUCGAAUAAACUAUUCUGGAAUGUCAGUGGAGAGAAUAUUUUUGAAGUGGUAAGAUAAUUAUUUGAAUGGUUGUGACCCUUCAGAAGAAGAAUGAAGGUUGGGUUGGAAUGGUGUAAGCGUUAAGCAAGAUAAUGAAAAUAAAACAGGAAGUUAGAUAAUUUGUCCUUGACAGUAUAAAAGGAAGGGAAAAAAAGUUUACUUAUGAAGAUGAAUAGAAUGCAGUUUACCCUUAUUUUGUUAAUAACAAAUUAAUUCGGACUAUUAACUAAUUUCAUUGUUCACACCUGACGCAAAAGCAUAAGAAAAUGAUACCCACCAUAACAGAUUCAUGAUGGACUCUUAUUGAUACAUGCUAAUAGGUAUGUAUAUUAAGGAGUUAUGUAUCUAAAUGGUUGUGACUAUUAAUGAAGGGGUGUUUAGGUUUAGUUAUUUUAGUUUUUUUUAUUGAUUAAAAAAUUGAUACGAUAUAUAUUUUUCUUAAAAUAAAAUAGGUUAAUUAAAGGGCAUUUAAGUAAUUUGACUUUUUGAUUUCAGGGCUCCCAUUUUUAAUAUAUACUAGUUUUUCGACACGUGCGUUGCACGUGUAUGCUCGAUAAUGGAGUAAACAAUUUGUAAAAUAAAAUCGAUACAACUAAAGCAGAAGUUUUGAAUAACAACUUGUUUGGAUGGUUGUUACCUAUUGUAUUGUAUCGUAUUGUUGCUUUAAAUACGAUGUUUGUUUUGAUUGUUACUUAAAUUUUAUUAUAUUGUAUCGUUAAAUCCGUCGUUACAUAACAAUGAAAUAUGCCACUUUAGGUAACGACCGAUUUGGUGUGGCCGUGUCGUUACUUUGUCUUUUUCUCUCAAUCUCACCCUUCAUUAUUAUUAAAUAAUUUUAUUUUAUCAUUUACCCUACCUUUUUAUAUACCGUAGUUUUUAAUAAUAUUGCGAGUUUAUUCUUCAUAUUGCUGGUGUAUGAUAUCAUAAAACGACGGCAAAUGACACAAUCUAUCCAAACAUUAUAUUUAUGAAACGAUAUAGUACAAUAUAAUAUGAUAUAUUAUGAAACGAUAUGUAACAACCAUCCAAACAAGCUGUAAAUAAUUAUACAUGAAGAACAAAGUAAAUCAAACUCUCAUCAAUGUGAAGCUCAACGCAACAAAGUAGUGUUCGAAGAAAUAACAAUUCUUCUGAUAUAUCAAAUACUUAGCUUGAUCACUAUUUCCUUGUUUUGGAAUAUUUCAACAACAAUUUUUUUUUUUUAAUGUGAAUAUGAGUAACAUCAACUAUGAUGGCAAAUAUUUCAUGUCUUAAAGUUUCUGCCAUGUUUUAAGUAAUUGUCGUCUCCCAAAUUCGAAAUCUAAAAAUCUCGGUGGACAGGCACAUUAGCUUAUAAUGAGAAAGAACCUACCCGCAUAAAUGCAUUGACUUGUUUAAUUAGGUAAGAAAAAGAAUUCAUAACUUAAUAAAUGAAAUAGCUAGCGUAGAGUGAAAUCUUCUCAAUAGUCACACUUACAAACAGAAAUAUCAGUUACAACUUAUCCUUCAAGUCUAUCUUGGAAGAAGUGUGAAGUAAAUAAAGGAAAACGAUUUAAAAACUAAUUUUCACUCAUCAAAUGCUUGACCUCCAAUGGUUAAUCUAUAGCUUCCUAAGAAUAUUUCCUAUCUUGUAACGCAUAGACGUAUUCAACGUAUUCGUCUUCUCUACGACUUAAUUUUGCUGCGCUAACUUUUAAAUCUCACUUGGACCAUAGAAAAAGAAAAAGAAGUAACUCUAACCUCAUAGAAGUAAUUCUGGCGGUGAGAUCUCUAAGUGUGACAUAUGAAUCUCUUCCUCUUAAAAAACUAUCAACCUUUAAUGGAUGAACUGAAGAGGCCUACACACAAGUCAUGCCAUAUAAAUAUGGUUGAAUAUUGUAUCACAUUGACUUUAGAAAUUAAGGUUCCAACUAAUAAUCUUACAUCCAUACCAGUGAUUUUAAAAUAUUCACUUGGAUGCUUGAAAAAGGAAUAAAUACUAUAUGGCUAAUGACACAAAUAGUGGCAUUGUCAAAUGCAAAAAUGAAGAGGUCAAACACAAGAAUUUUCUUUUACAAAUUAUGAAGAAGACAUCUUAGAAUUUCUUCCCCUGUUAUGCCUUCAAAUUUUUAUCUUUCAUCUUCAAUGUACCAUAUGACUGCUUGAAAAUUUCUCUAAUAUGUCAAUAUAACUCCAUGGUAUUUCUCAGUUGUCAUCUCCAAUUCCAAUUGAAAUCCAAGUGAGAUUCUAAAGUCUAGUGUUAUCUUUUUCAUAAAUUAAUGGGUAUUAAUUUUUUCAUAAUUAGCACAGAGUACCAGACAUAAAAUUUGUUACUUCUUCUGCUUUCAUGUGAAGAAAAAAAUAAUUUAUUUCUUCCUCUACUAAGCAGUCAAAUCUUUCAGGAAACUCAAACAAAUCACACUAGUCUCACUACAACAAAGAAUUACAGAACAAAGAAAUCAAAAGAAUGACAGCAAAGCUUAAUUACUGAAAAUACCGAGACCUUACCCUCAUCUCAGUAUCCGUUUCUUCCGCAGUCUCUGCAUCCUCACCAUGUAUUCCAUCAUAGAGUCCUUAACAUCAGAAGCCAAAAACAGAUUGAAGUUUACUUUCUGUCAGUGGGCCAAGUAAGCCCGUUGACAAAAAGUUGUCUCUAACUCUCUAUCUAACUAUUGUGCACGGUCAAAACCGAUUCUCAGUCAUAAAGACCGGUCGAGACAAUAAUGUUUCAAUCGAAGGGUAUCCGCAUGGCGAGCUCGGACGAAUUCCGAAGUAGAGACAUCGAGCUUCGAGCCAUAAGACCAAUCAACCGCAAAACUCGAUAUUAUUAUCGAACCCGCGUCCGGAUCGGACUACGGGAUAACGACGACCGACACAGGCCCCGAAUAUCGAUACUCCAAGGCAGAACCGAGCUCGAACUAAGAUUGGGAUUCAAUCUAGCACCAAGCUCGCAAGACAAGAGCCGUUAUAACCGCACCAAGGGAGAGAAUCUUGGCGAGAAUCAAGGGAGAGACAAACCAUCAUGGGUUCUCCACUAUAUGUAUUAUUUUAUGUAGUUACAAAUAAAGUAGUGACCCUCUACUAUAAAAGGGGAGAUAGACUGCAAUAGGGGGGAGGGGGGAGAUUAAGAUUUCAUUGUGCUGGUUCUUCUAAUAUUCUUCAGUCUUCCCUUCCAUCAUUUUCCAUUUUCACAGCAAAAAUACCUGUAUUGUCAUUUUAUAUCAAAGAAAUUUGCAUACCCUUAGAACCAUAUCUAAAUUUAAUGUUAUCCGAUUUUUCGGAUAAACAGUUUGGCGCCUACCGUGGGGCUAAGGGUAACGGUCAUUGUCUGAUAUAAAUCUACAGUACACUCCAGCUUACAACUUCGAAUCAGCCAUGGCUCUACCUAUCGACCUCGAAGCCGGCCUUCAAGAUGAAACCAACAACUUGGUGCCCGGGGCCGGAAGGCUACCUAACAACGAUAACGAGGCUCGAAUCGAAGAACCCGAAAUUUGAGCCGAAGUACCACUGGAUAUCAAUUAGCAAAUAGCUCUAGAAGCGAAUCAACGUUCCGAACCAGAGAGGAGCGUUCAGGGCGGUGCUCGGUCUAUAGCCCGAGACACUUACAGCAUGGGAGAAAUCGGGGUCAGCUUGCGUAUGAUUUUUGAAAUGUUGCAAGCCCAACAAGCAGCAAUAGCUCAGUUGCAGAGCCGAACCCAUACGUAAAGCGGGCCGAACUCCAAUCCGCUUCUUCGAGAAGUCACACCCAGAAUGGAACCCGCCGUAGUGAAAUCGAACGAGCGGAAAUCGGGGAUUGCUCCUGAAAUUGCUAAAUUGCUCGAGGAACUCACGAAGCGAGUCGAAACCAACGACAAAAAUGUGAAAACGUAUAAUGCUAGGGUCGAUCAAAUUCCGGGGGCUCCGCCAAUGAUAAAAGGGCUCGAUUCGAAAAAAUUCAUACAAAAGCCUUUUCCCUCGAGCGCGGCCCCAAAACCAAUCCCCAAAAAAUUCCGUAUGCCCGAAAUUCCCAAAUAUAACGGUACGACCGAUCCUAACGAACACGUCACCUCCUACACAUGCGCCAUCAAAGGCAACGAUUUGGAGGAUGAUGAAAUAGAAUCCGUGUUAUUGAAAAAGUUCGGAGAGACCCUCGCAAAAGGAGCGAUGAUCUGGUAUCACAACUUACCGCCGAAUUCCAUUGAUUCUUUCGCCAUGUUAGCGGACUCAUUCGUAAAAGCACAUGCUGGUGCCAUAAAGGUUGCAACAAGAAAAUCGGACCUCUUCAAAGUAAAGCAAAGGGGUAACGAGAUGCUGAGGGAAUUCGUAUCCCGAUUUCAAAUAGAGCGUAUGGACUUGCCACCGGUCACAGACGAUUGGGCCGUACAAGCUUUCACCCAAGGACUGAACGGGCUAAGCUCGACAGCAUCACGUCGGCUAAAACAAAAUUUGAUCGAGUACCCUGCAAUAACUUGGGCAGAUGUACACAACCGGUACCAAUCAAAAAUCAGGGUCGAAGAUGAUCAAUUGGGAGUUCCAUAUGGGCUCGUACGACAGAACCACACAACCACUAAAAAUCAAAGGGAAGCCAACAGAGAGCAAAGGUCGAAUAGAGAUCGAUACCAACCGUACGACACAGAUCGGAUGAACAACAGUUCAGCACGUGACACGGUUCGGAACAACCGAAGGAUUGAUCGGGGGCAAAUUUCUCGGGGACUUAUGAGCAAGAGCGGCUUUGAUAAAUAUACAGAUCCUAUAGAAAUUCCUUGACUAUCGGAGUAUAAUUUCAACAUUGGUACAUCCGCCAUCGUAUCGGCCAUCGGACGCAUCAAAGACACUAGAUGGCCUCGACCCAUGCAAACUGAUCCUGCCCAAAGGAAUCCCAAUCAAAUGUGCGAAUAUCAUGGCACCCAUAGUCACAAAACAGAAGAUUGCAGGCAACUAAGAGAGGAAGUGGCCCGCUUAUUUAAUAAAGGGCACCUUCGGGAAUUUCUGAGCGAUAGGGCGAAGAACCAUUUUAGAGACAAGGAAUUCAGUAAGCGAAACGAGCCAGAAGAGCCGCAACACGUCAUUCACAUGAUCGUUGGCGGCGUCUAUGCCCCCCACGGACCGAUGCUUAAUCACGCUAAAACGUCGAUUGUGAAGCGAUCUCGAACCCAAGAUCAUGCACCCGCAGGGACUUUAUCCUUUAGUGAUGAAGAUACAGAGGGAAUCAUCCAACCCCAUAACGACGCGCUAGUAAUAUCCGUACUCAUGAAUAAAACUAAGAUUAAGCGUGUGUUAAUUGAUCCAGGUAGCUUGGCCAAUAUCAUCAGAUCGAGGGUCAUAGAACAGCUCGGCCUACAGGAUCAGGUCGUACCCGCAACUCUGAUUCUAAACAGAUUUAAUAUGGUAUAUGAAACCACUAAAGGCGAGAUCACCCUACCAAUAAACGUAGUCGGAACCAUCCAGCAAACAAAGUUUCACGUAAUCGAAGGUGAUAUGAGAUAUAAAGCCCUCUUCGGAAGGCCGUGGAUCCACAGCAUGAGAGACGUACCCUCGACCCUACACCAGGUCCUCAAAUUCCCAACAUCGGAAGGUAUCAAGGUAGUGUACGGGGAACAACAGGCCGCAAAGGAAAUGUUCUCCGUUGAAGAAGCAAAAUCAAUAUCCUCACCUUCACCAAUGAAAGGAUCAGGUUCAAAGCUGAGCGCCAAAUAGCAAUCACAGACAUUGGCUUCGACCCGACCAGGUAAGCAAAACGUUGAAGAGGACGAUAAUGAUCGAUGGAUCCCUUGAUCCUUCGUAACCCCCGAUGAUUUCGAUGCCACCAAAUCAACAAUUGAGGAACUGGAGCAAAUCAUACUGAUCGAACACUAGCCCGAACAAAAGGUAUACCUAGGAACGGAUUUGAGCCCCGAACUCAGGAAGAAACUCAUUCAAUUUCUUAUCAAUAACAUCGAUUGUUAUGCCUGGUCCCAUCUAGAUAUAACAGGGAUCCCGCCGGACAUAACGGCGCACCAGCUAAGCUUGAACCCUAUGUUCAGACCGGUGAAGCAAAAAAAGAGGCCCCAGUCCGAGGAAAAGCACGCAUUCAUAAAGGAUGAGGUAACCAAACUUCUCAAGAUAGGGUCCAUUCGGGAAGUAAAAUACCCCGAAUGGUUAGCCAAUGUGGUUGUUGUGCCUAAAAAAGGAAACAAACUUAGAAUGUGUGUGGACUAUAAGGAUUUGAACAAAGCAUGCCCCAAAGAUUCCUUUCCACUGCCCAACAUCGAUCGUAUGAUCGACGCCACGGCCGGCCACGAGAUUCUCACCUUUCUCGACGCCUAUUUCGGGUAUAAUCAAAUUUAGAUGAAUCCGGACGAUCGGGAAAAGACUUCAUUUGUGACCCGAUAUGGAACAUAUUGUUAUAACGUAAUGCCCUUCGGGCUAAAAAAUGCAGAAGCUACUUAUCAACGCCUAGUAAACAGAAUGUUCGAAGAACAAAUAGGUAAAACAAUGGAAGUUUAUAUUGAUGACAUGUUAGUUAAGUCCCUGCGCGUAGAGGACCAUUUGGCCCAUUUGCAGGAAAUGUUCAAGAUUCUGAGGAAAUUCAACAUGAAGCUCAACCCCGAAAAAUAUGCUUUCGGGGUCGGUUCGGGCAAGUUCCUCAGCUUCAUGGUCUCAAAUCGGGGAAUUGAGAUCAACCCCGACAAAAUCAAGGCCAUCGAAGACAUCACCAUCGUGGACNNNNNNNNNNNNNNNNNNNNNNNNNCUAUCAGGCCGAUUGGCUAAAUGGGCCAUCGAACUCAGUGGAUACGAUAUCGAAUAUCAAUCCCGCACGGCCAUCAAGUCUCAAAAUUUGGCAGACUUCGUGGCCGACUUCACGCCAACCCUCAUACCCGAAGUCGAAAGGGAACUCCUUUUGAAAUCAGAUAUAUCGUCCGGGGUAUGGAUGCUUUUUAUGGACGGUGCUUCGAAUAUAAAGGGGUCCGGGUUAGGCAUAGUUUUAAAACCCCCCCCACAGGUAACAUUAUUAGGCAAGCUAUUAAAACUAUCAGGUUAACUAAUAACGAGGCCGAGUAUGAAGCCAUGAUUGUAGGUCUCGAACUAGUUAGAAACUUGGGAGCAGAAGUCAUUGAGGCGCAUUGUGACUCUUUGCUGGUGGUGAGUCAAGUAAACAAAACCUUCGAAGUCAGAGAAGGUAGGAUGCAAAGGUAUUUGGACAAACUGCUUAUCACCUUACACCAUUUCAAACAAUGGACCCUACAGCAUGUCCCCCGAGAACGGAAUAAUAAGGCCGAUGCUCUAGCAAAUUUGGGAUCGUCGGUCGAGGUAGGUGAUUUGAGCUCGGGGACUGUCGUCUAACUUUCAAGGUCGGUAAUCGAAGAAGGGCACACCGAAAUAAAUUCUACUAGCUUAACCUGGGAUUGGAGAAACAAGUAUAUUGAGUACUUAAAAAAUGGAAAGCUCCCUUCAGACCCUAAAGAUUCCAGGGCCCUACAGACUAAAGCUGCUCGAUUUACGUUGGCUGCGGACGGAAAACUAUAUCGAAGAAUAUUCGAUGGACCGAUGGCGGUAUGUGUGGGUCCGGGAGAUACCAAUUAUAUCCUCCGGGAAGUACACGAGGGCACUUGUAGCAAUCACUCCGGCGCCGACACAUUAGUCCGAAAAGUGAUCAGAGCGGGGUAUUAUUGGAUCGAUAUGGGCAAAGAUGCGAAAGAAUUUGUUCUUAAAUGUGAUAAAUGUCAGAGGUUUGCGCCAAUGAUCCAUCAAGUCGGGGAUCAACUUCACUCGGUCCUAUCCCCGUGGCCAUUCAUGAAAUGAGGGAUGGACAUCGUCGGCCCUCUGUCGUCGACCCCAGGUAAAGCCAAAUUUAUUUUAUUUAUGACUGACUAUUUUUCUAAGUGGGUUGAAGCGCGGGCGUUCGAGAAAAUAAGAGAGAAAGAAGUCAUAGAAUUUAUUUGGGAUCAUAUCAUAUGGCGAUUCGGGAUACCUGCCGAAAUAGUAUACGACAAUGGGAAGCAAUUCGUUGGCAGCAAAAUCACAAAAUUCCUUGAAGAUCACAAAAUAAGAAGGAUAUUAUCAACACCCUACCACCCCAGUGGGAACGGUCAAGCCGAAUCAAUNNNNNNNNNNNNNNNNNNNNNNNNNNNNNNNNNNNNNNNNNNNNNNNNNNNNNNNNNNNNNNNNNNNNNNNNNNNNNNNNNNNNNNNNNNNNNNNNNNNNNNNNNNNNNNNNNNNNNNNNNNNNNNNNNNNNNNNNNNNNNNNNNNNNNNNNNNNNNNNNNNNNNNNNNNNNNNNNNNNNNNNNNNNNNNNNNNNNNNNNNNNNNNNNNNNNNNNNNNNNNNNNNNNNNNNNNNNNNNNNNNNNNNNNNNNNNNNNNNNNNNNNNNNNNNNNNNNNNNNNNNNNNNNNNNNNNNNNNNNNNNNNNNNNNNNNNNNNNNNNNNNNNNNNNNNNNNNNNNNNNNNNNNNNNNNNNNNNNNNNNNNNNNNNNNNNNNNNNNNNNNNNNNNNNNNNNNNNNNNNNNNNNNNNNNNNNNNNNNNNNNNNNNNNNNNNNNNNNNNNNNNNNNNNNNNNNNNNNNNNNNNNNNNNNNNNNNNNNNNNNNNNNNNNNNNNNNNNNNNNNNNNNNNNNNNNNNNNNNNNNNNNNNNNNNNNNNNNNNNNNNNNNNNNNNNNNNNNNNNNNNNNNNNNNNNNNNNNNNNNNNNNNNNNNNNNNNNNNNNNNNNNNNNNNNNNNNNNNNNNNNNNNNNNNNNNNNNNNNNNNNNNNNNNNNNNNNNNNNNNNNNNNNNNNNNNNNNNNNNNNNNNNNNNNNNNNNNNNNNNNNNNNNNNNNNNNNNNNNNNNNNNNNNNNNNNNNNNNNNNNNNNNNNNNNNNNNNNNNNNNNNNNNNNNNNNNNNNNNNNNNNNNNNNNNNNNNNNNNNNNNNNNNNNNNNNNNNNNNNNNNNNNNNNNNNNNNNNNNNNNNNNNNNNNNNNNNNNNNNNNNNNNNNNNNNNNNNNNNNNNNNNNNNNNNNNNNNNNNNNNNNNNNNNNNNNNNNNNNNNNNNNNNNNNNNNNNNNNNNNNNNNNNNNNNNNNNNNNNNNNNNNNNNNNNNNNNNNNNNNNNNNNNNNNNNNNNNNNNNNNNNNNNNNNNNNNNNNNNNNNNNNNNNNNNNNNNNNNNNNNNNNNNNNNNNNNNNNNNNNNNNNNNNNNNNNNNNNNNNNNNNNNNNNNNNNNNNNNNNNNNNNNNNNNNNNNNNNNNNNNNNNNNNNNNNNNNNNNNNNNNNNNNNNNNNNNNNNNNNNNNNNNNNNNNNNNNNNNNNNNNNNNNNNNNNNNNNNNNNNNNNNNNNNNNNNNNNNNNNNNNNNNNNNNNNNNNNNNNNNNNNNNNNNNNNNNNNNNNNNNNNNNNNNNNNNNNNNNNNNNNNNNNNNNNNNNNNNNNNNNNNNNNNNNNNNNNNNNNNNNNNNNNNNNNNNNNNNNNNNNNNNNNNNNNNNNNNNNNNNNNNNNNNNNNNNNNNNNNNNNNNNNNNNNNNNNNNNNNNNNNNNNNNNNNNNNNNNNNNNNNNNNNNNNNNNNNNNNNNNNNNNNNNNNNNNNNNNNNNNNNNNNNNNNNNNNNNNNNNNNNNNNNNNNNNNNNNNNNNNNNNNNNNNNNNNNNNNNNNNNNNNNNNNNNNNNNNNNNNNNNNNNNNNNNNNNNNNNNNNNNNNNNNNNNNNNNNNNNNNNNNNNNNNNNNNNNNNNNNNNNNNNNNNNNNNNNNNNNNNNNNNNNNNNNNNNNNNNNNNNNNNNNNNNNNNNNNNNNNNNNNNNNNNNNNNNNNNNNNNNNNNNNNNNNNNNNNNNNNNNNNNNNNNNNNNNNNNNNNNNNNNNNNNNNNNNNNNNNNNNNNNNNNNNNNNNNNNNNNNNNNNNNNNNNNNNNNNNNNNNNNNNNNNNNNNNNNNNNNNNNNNNNNNNNNNNNNNNNNNNNNNNNNNNNNNNNNNNNNNNNCCGGAGCUCGGCCUCACAAUGGCUAAAAUCGACUCGAAACCUACCAAUGGCCUGCACAGUAAGAAACAUGAAGUCAAGUAUGGAAAAGAACAAAUAAACGAAGUAUGGAAGAAUCAUUACUCGAGUAAUGAAAUGCUGAGCCUCCUCCAAUAAAAGAGAAGCGUCACCGAUAUCGGAACCGUUGUCGACUCCAGUAAAACAAUCCCCAAAAGGAUCCUUUGCACUAGAGCCUGCGCCGAUAUCAGGAGUCUUCAAUUCUCGAGCUUCCUUCAGCGCCUCCUCAGAAAAAGAUGGAAGAGAAGGCGAAUCACCCAUUGUCAUAGCCCCAAGAAAAUCGCUCGGAGUACUCCGAUCGAGAUUCUGGUCUUCGGGAACAACCCCGACAGGUACAGCCGCCAUCGGCCCGGGAGCUCUGGCAACCUCGAUGGCCUCCGUAGACCGAACUACCAAAGACGAGGAGCUAUUUUCUUCUUCUUCUUCUUCUUCUUCUCUCAUUCGUUGGACCGAGUCAAUCAAAAGGGCAAUUGUUUUUCUCUUCACCCUGCGAGUUUUGGGCUUGGGGUCCUCUAACCGAGAGGAAGCUUUUCGCUUCUUAUCUUCCCCCUAUUUAGGGACCAGGGACUUGUUUCUUUCCUCGCCGCUCGAAGGCCUCAAAACGGCAUCCCUGGUUACACCUGCACAAGAGGAAAUCGGUAACGAAUAGAACGAAAAGAAUACUUCGAAGGAAACAAGAAGCAAACCUCACCAUAGUUCUUGGCCUCCCAUCUGCCUUUUGCCAAAUCACGUCAAGCGCGCUCGGCGUAAGAGGAGGUCGAGGCCAACUUCCGAACCCAGUCCUCGAGGUCAUGCACCGCUUGUGGUAUCCAAGGGGCAGUAGAACAUCAGGGAAGGACAUCAAAAAAAAUCAAAAAAGCACCUGAAAAGUGAACAAAAAUCACUUACGGUCGAAAUUCCAUUCCUCAGGGAACGACAUCUUCUCCUCCGAAAUGAUAUCACGGGUCCUCACUCGGAUAUAACGACCCAUCCAACCUCGAUCCUUGUUUUCAUCGAUGCUCGACAUCAAUGCCUUCGAUGCCCGACGAUGAAGUCUGAUUAGUCCUCGAAAGAUCUGAGGCCGAUACAGUCGGAUGAGGUGGUUCAGAGAAAAAUCCAACCCUCCGGCUUUGGUAGAGAAGAAGUGCAAUAAGAUCACUAUACGCUAUAAAGAGGGAUGGAUUUAGCCAAGGGUGACUUGAUACCUUUUGCAGAAAUCAAUAAUCACCGGGUCGACGGGUCCCAGUGUGAAGGAAUAAGUAUAAACACUUAAAACCCCCUCCACGUAAGUGGUAACAUCCUCGUCGGAAGACGGAAUUUGCAGCACGACCUCGGAGCCCCAGUUGCAGUCUUUUCGGACGGCCUCGAGGUGGUCCUCCGUUAUAGAGCAUGUAUACAUCGAUACGUGUUCACAUCGACCCGAAACGGAAGAAGGGUUCUCAACCUUAAAAUCGGUUUUCAAAAUGCACGGGCCAGGAACAUAGUCAUGAACUGACGGCUCCACCGGCGCCUUAUCAUCAGACAGCCGUGAGGAAGAGGUUUUUUCCUUCUGAGGUACAAUUUUGGAAGUUUUCGCCAUUGGUUUGAAAGGAAAGAGUGCAAGGGAAGAAAUAGACAUCACCAAAAUUCUGGUAUGAACGGCCCCGUAGCAGCAAAGUAGAGAGGAUAAAUAGGAAAGUUUGGAGGAAGAGAAGGCGCAAAAAUGGUAAAAGUUGUGUAGAAAGAUUAUUUAUAGACUAAGGCAUGACGGUUCGGUAUCAGCAAUGGCCGACCACUGUCUGACACACAUUAAAUGCCUUGGAAAAACCGAGCUGAUGGGACAGCCAUUACAUACGUCGAGAUCGGGUUCGAUAGAAACGUCGGCAUAAAUUUGAUCGAGCCGCAGGGAAAUCAUAUCGUUCCUCGCCACAUCCUUUACGAGGAACGAGGGGACUAUCUGUGUACGGUCAAAACCGAUUCUCAGUCAUAAAGACCGGUUGAGACAAUAACGUUUCAAUUGAAGAGUAUCCGCAUGGCGAGCUCGGACAAAUUCCGAAGUAGAGACGUCGAGCUUCGAGCCAUAAGACCAAUCAACCGCAAAACUCGAUAUCAUUAUCGAACCCGCGUCUGGAUCGGACUACGGGGUAACGACGAUCGACACAGGCCCCGAAUAUCGAUGCUCCAAGGUAGAACCGAGCUCGAACUAAGACUGGGAAUUCGAUCUAGCACUAAGCUCGAGUCAGUGCCAAGCUCGCAAGACAAGAGCCGUUACAACCGCACCAAGGGAGAGAAUCUUGGCGAGAAUCAAGGGAGAGACAAACCAUCAUGGGUUCUCCACUAUAUGUAUUAUUUUAUGUUGUUACAAAUAAAGUAGUGACCCUCUAUUAUAAAAUGGGAGAUAGACUGCAAUAGGGGGGAAGGGGGGAGAUUAAGAUUUCAUUGUGCUGGUUUUUCUAAUAUUCUUCAGUCUUCCCUUCCAUUAUUUUCUAUUUUCACAGCAAAAAUACCUGUAUUGUCAUUUUAUAUCAAAGAAAUUUGCAUACCCUUAGAACCAUAUCUAAAUUUAACGUUAUCCGAUUUUUCGGGUAAACAACUAUCAUCAUCAAAUUACAUAUAUUACGAAAUUACAAUUUUUAAUACAUGAUAAACCACAUAUCGUAUUAAACAGCAAGAUGUAUAACAUAAUUUUGACAAAAUAAAAAACUUACCUCUUGUUGGCUGGUACAUAUCUUCUCAAUGUUAGGAUGAAUUUAUGCAACGAUAUGGAACUCAUCUCUUUCACUUCCUUUCAUGUUACUGAAUCUCUUGGUAGUGUCUUACCAACAGAUAUUACUCUGAAGGCAUGCCGAGAAACCGGUUCUAUGGUGGGCUGGUGAACAAAAAAUGAAAUUGAAAUUAAAUCUCACAUGAUGGUGCACUCUUCAAGCCUUUCAUCUUGAGCCCAUAACAUGGGGUCUCAAUGUAAAACUAGAUUCCAGUCCCUGCAAACAUAUUUAGAGGCUUCCUAAUCAAAAUGAAAACAAACGUUGACAGUAUAAAAGUAGUAAUAAGCGAUAAUAGAAGAACAAAAUACGUGAAUAAGUGAAGUGGUUUGAAUGAGAAAUUUUCCGUUGGAGGUAUAACUACAGAAUGUGGAACUUUGUGAAGGAGCAUAUCUCUUCGUAACAAUAAGUAAUCGUCUUGUUUAAGCCCGUUUGCUAAGCUUUAUUUUUUAAUUUGGGUACUUAAUUUAAAUAGGUUAAUAAUUAAAAGGGAUAUUUUGGUAAUUUAACUUUUAACUUAAUGCCUUCUCAUUUUUAAUAUAGUAUAGAUAUAGAUUAUAUAUAUAUAUAUAUAUAUAUAUAUAUAUAUAUAUAUAUAGUAGUGAUGAUAGUAGUAGGGAGGUGGUCAGUGGCUGUCCAGUCUGUANNNNNNNNNNNNNNNNNNNNNNNNNNNNNNNNNNNNNNNNNNNNNNNNNNNNNNNNNNNNNNNNNNNNNNNNNNNNNNNNNNNNNNNNNNNNNNNNNNNAUGAUAUAAUGGGGAAGGGAGGUUUCAUUGGCUUGUCCACUCUGUAAUACUGGGUAUGAUGGGGAAGGGAGGUUCCAUUGGCUUGUCCACCCUAUAAUACUGGAAAUGAAAGUAUUUCACACUUGUUCUUCAAUGUGAUAUAUUUUUCUAUAUUUGAAAAAAGGUCUUAGCUUGGCAAGGAAUAAGCACAAUGGUAAUGGAUUGGCAAGAGAAACUAAAGUGGGUUGAAGAGGAAGAAGAGUUGUGGCAGAGAUAUGCAGAAUGACACUUGCAGCGAGUGUGUACUACAUUUGGAGAGAAAGAAACCAAAGGGUAUUCCAAUGUACACGGUCAAAUUCGGAGCAUAUUAUAAAACAAAUUAUCCAAGAGGUAUAUUGCAGAGGAACAAUGUAGGCAAGAUUACCUAGGAAAUUUGAUGAAUUUAAUUUCUAUCCUUUAACUUUUGUGGUUAUAGUAGUUAGAUGCGAUGUAGCUAUGAGAUGAUAUGGUUGGCUUAGGUAGAUCCUGAUGUUGGGCAUCAUGCCCAACUAUCAGUUUCGAUUAGUAAUAAAAAUUUAUUUACCAAAAAUAUAAUGAUUUUAAAGUUAGACAGGCAAUUAUAUUCUUUCCUAAUUAUAGUAUUAAUCAAUUUUUCUUAUUCGAUUGUUGUAACGACAACAAUUAAAAAAACAACAGUAGUAGAUUCGUUAUUACGCACCACUAGCUAGCGAUGGCCAAUCAAGCUCUUUGACAAAUAGAAAAUUUUAACUCCUAUAACAAAGAUAUACAUCAUAUUUAUUAUAAACCAAAAUUAUUUUAAAAUAUUAUUUUCUAUAGGUACCUUUUAUAUUUUAUAGCAAAAUAAGUAUUUUAUGGUAUAUAUUACCAUUGAUUCAUGAAAUAAGGCACGCAAUACGUUAUUUAUACUUUUCCUCUCUCUUAGACAGAUGGACAUACCUAUUUUUAAGGGAUUGUCGUUACUGUAUUCAUGAAUAUAUGAUGCGAAUAUAUGUGAAUACAUGCGCGUACAACUGUAUUCAUGAAUACAUCAGCAUGAAUACAUGUGAAUACAUGCGCGUACAGCUGGACUGCCCUGAUUUUAGGCGCUUUUUGCUUCUGUAUUCUUGAAUACAUGGCGCGAAUACAUGCACGUACAACUGGACUGCCAUGAUUUUAGGCGCUUUUUGCUGCUGUAUUCAUGAAUACAUGACGCGAAUACAUGUGCAUACAAUUGGACUGCCUUGAUUUUAGGUGUUUUUUACUGCUGUAUUCAUGAAUACAACAGUAUAAAUACAUGUGAAUAUAUGUGCGUACAACUGAACUGCCAUGAUUUUAGAUGCCUUUUACUGUUGUAUUCAUGAAUACAUGACGCGAAUACAUGCGCGUACAAUUGGACUGCCCUGAUUUUAGGCACUUUUUACUAUUGUAUACAUAUAAAUACACUAUCAUAAUAAUUAAAUAAUAAUUAUAAAAAAUAAUUAUAUAUAUAAUAAUUAUAGAAAGUUAAUAAUUCAGUAAACAAUAUUGAUUUAUAGAAAUUUCUCUUGCGGUAACGAAACAAGAGUUCAAGAUAGAUUGAUUUCCAACUACAAAACAAAAAUUCCAAAUCAUAAAUCAAGCCUUCCAGAUUACUCAAAGAAGCUCACACGUCACAAGUCAUAAAAUGAUUCCCCUCUGUCACGGGUUGGAGACCGUGAACCGUAGACACUUCAAACACGUACGCAAAACCAAACCAAAAUAAAAAAUCAAAAUGUAUUUAACUUAAAGCACAUUUGUUUAAUUUUUUUCUUUUAUUAGUGUAGUUUCAUCUAGUAUAACAGAUUAUCAAUCUUGAUUUUCAGAUAAUUAAUUAAAUUUAUUAUGAAUAAAUAUCGUGCUAUCCCCUCCAACUUAAGGGAUCUACAAUCAAGUGGUGUGAUGAAAUAGAUAAAAUUAUUUUAUUUUUAAUUGGAGAUUUUAAUUUUUACGGGAUUAACUGGCUAGUGAGUUUCCAAUAUGGUAUUAGUAUGAUAAAAAGAAGAGUCAUCCCUAACCACAGUGCUCAAAUCUCAAAAUAGACAAUACAAACAUACUUCCCCUGCACUUGCCGGCCUUCCUAUAUUGGCACCAGCUAAGUACACCUUCCAUUUUUCAUCUUCCCACCUAAUUACACUCCACCGCUGUUCCACCCUCUUUAGCAAAAAUCCAAAAAUCCAUAUUAUAACACUCCCACAAAAAGAUUACACCUGCAGAGAUUCACUUAAUCUUGUAAAUUUUCCCUUCAGAUUACACAACUCACUUCAGAUUGUUCAGAUGUCUCUAAAAUCUACACCAUUUUUAGACUUUCAUUUACAGCAAUGACAACAGCUUCAAUAUUCCUCCAUCGCUUCACCUCAUUUUAGUCAGAUCACCUAAAAUUUGAAAUGAAGAAGCUGAAAACCUAUUAUCUUCACCUUAGACACCCAACAACAAUGGAGCGGAAGUGGAUCUUUCCACUAGCCAUAGGCUCCAUUGUUUCCCUUUUCCUCUUAUUCCUCACAACCCUAACUUCACCGGACGGCACUCCUUUAUUACCCCUUUAUCGCUACUACUCUUCCUAUUCAGCCGCCGCCAACGUCUUCGUCGAAUCAAAGCUUAAACCUUUACCCAUCUCCGCCGUUCCUCCGCCGCCGCGAUUUGCUUACCUCAUCUCCGGCUCCGCCGGCGACGGCAACAUGACGAAGCGAACCCUUCAAGCUCUGUACCACCCGAAUAACCAGUACGUUGUGCAUCUCGAUGUUGAGUCAUCACCCGAAGAGCGACUCGAUCUGCGUAAUUAUGUGACUAAUCACCCGAUUUUUAAUAAAUUCAAGAAUGUAAGGAUGAUUACUAAAGCUAAUCUGGUCACUUACCGGGGCCCCACUAUGGUUGCGAAUACCCUUCACGCUGCUGCCAUUUUGCUCAAGGAAGGUGGUGAAUGGGAUUGGUUCAUUAACCUCAGUGCUUCUGAUUACCCACUUGUUACUCAAGAUGGUAAAAAAAGCCUGUCUUUUUUAUUUUUGUGAAUUAGUACCUUAAUUCUGAUUAAAUGGGGUUUAAUGAGGACGUUGAAUUGAUUUUUUUUGGUUGAUUAGAUCUGCUUCAUACAUUUUCGUAUUUGCCCCGGGAUCUUAACUUCAUUGAUCACACAAGUAAAAUUGGCUGGAAGGAGUAAGUUAUUAUCCUAACUGGUUGUUGUUGUUGUUGAUUCUAAUUUUGGGUUUGAGAAUUAAGGAUUAGUUAUUUAGGUUUAAUUUGAUUUUUAUUUCUGAAGGUUUCAAAGGGCAAAGCCAAUUAUUAUUGAUCCGGGAUUGUACAUGACUAAAAAGGCAGAUGUUUUCUGGAUUACACAGAGAAGAAGUGUGCCAACAGCUUUUAAGCUUUUUACUGGUGAGAUUUGGCAUCAUUUUAUGCUUGAGCUCAAAGAUUUGAACUUUUUCUUUUAGCACAUGUUAAACUUUAUGUGUGAUGGUGAGUUAAUCAUUAUUCAGUCCAUCUCUGCAAGCGUGGAUCUUUUGUACAAGUUUUACAAGGAACAUGCUAGAUUGAACGGGUUUAGUAUAGUGAAAAGAUCAGUGCAAACAAUGGCAUUAGUUGUUUUGAAUUGAUCAGUAUUUUGCUUUGUUACAUAAAAAGGUUAAAAAUGUGAAGAACAAAAGCAGAUACUUCGUCUACUCCCAUGUAUCUCCAUUGCCUAUCUUAUAACUAGCCCAGGGCUUGAUUCUGGUGGCAUACACCUUGGAACUCGGAUUAUAACUUGCAGUUGCAAUUGUUAAAUCACAUAUUGGGGAAGACCUGGGAAACAGAAUUCUCUUUUGUAUUGAAUGGUUAAGAUGCGCAAGGGAUUUUGUAAUUCGUGGUCAAUAAAUUGUUUCUUGUAAGGGCGUGCCUAAUGCACUUUAACUUUGAUUUCUCUCUUUGCCCGAGAUGCUGAGGAACUAAUUGAGUCUGCUUUACUAGUUUAUUUGAAAAGAAAAUUAUGCUAUGCUUUAUUACAAUGUAGUGUGGUUAAACGAACAGUGAUGGUUAAACGAACAGUGAGAGCUCAUAAGUCAUAAGUACAGUACAGACUGAGGAGUUUGGGUAGUUUAAGAGGAUGUCUCAAAUAUAUUAAGUAAAUUUCAAGGAUAGAGAAACUAGAAUUAAGAGGAGAACGUUUUUCUGCGAUCAUCUUUGCCCCAAAAGUUUUGCUCCAGCAUAGUGGAAAUAUGUUUUGUAGGAUUAUGCAUGUUACUAGUGAAGAUUGACAACUUAUGAACACAUGGUAAUAGCUGGAAAGUUUAGUAUAUGGAAGUAUUGGCUAUCACUUAGCCUGCAUGUGAUUGAUUGGCAAGCUCCUUGCCUUUUUCGCCUGGAAAAGGGUUACUCUCAAAGCAAAUGAAAGCGGUUGAUUUGAUGCCCUCAGAAAGAGCCAACGUAGCCCCUUGUAUUAACAGCCUUUGAGAUAUUUGAAUUCUGUGUGACAGUUGACACUGAUAAAAAGGAAUCCACAACAGCCACAUUGGAGGGUUUAAGUAUCUUGUUACGAACAGUAAUGAAUUAUGAUACUGUGUGAAGGAAGUGGAGUUUGACCUUAACAGCAACUUCACUUGUCUCAUUGAGUGGAUAGUAAGGGUUUCCAACAUCAGUAUGGAUUCAGGAUUUAUUAACUACGUUGUCGAGAGAAUUACUUGCCUGAAGAUGGUAAGAGUUUCCAAAAUCAGUGUAGAUUCAGGAUAUCUUGACUACAUUAUAGAAUUGCCUGAGUUUAUAGGUCUCUUUGACAAAACUCUUACGAGUAGUGGGUUUGUUUUCAGACACAUCAUAUCAACAGUAUUUCCACCCUUCUCUUACAUUCAUAUGGAUGAAAUGAGGGAAAGAUUGAUCGUCAUUCUGCCUCUAUCAUUUUGUUUGCUAAUAGGAAUCAAGUUCAAUUUCCUACAGCUUUGAUGGACUGUUUCAAUCAAAUUCUAUUCACUGCUACAAAUGUUUUUGCUGACAGAGACUCUCUAUGAUCAUUUUUACGCUGUUGAAAAAUGCCAACUUUGACAACUGUGGGGCCUGAUGCAUUUUAUAUUUUUUGUUAAGGAUCAUGAGAUUUCUAAAUAAAACUUUUAUGUUUCAUCCUUUAUUGCCAAUAUAAACCCUGUAGCAGCUUAAAUUUCAGUUUGGAAUGACUUUCUGAAAACUUUGGGGAAUCCUGAGGAAAAGUAUCCUUUUCUAGCUUUCUGUUAAUAAAUUAAUUUUUUUGGGGGGGCGGGGGGGGGAGGGGGGAGCAGCAUUUUAAUAUGGGAACCGUUGUUUCAUUUAUUCCAUUUCCAGCUUAAAUGAUUUGUCAAGAAAAGCUUAAAUGAAUUUGUUUUGACUUGUAUUUAGAAAACAGCAAAUUUAUGUUGCUGUUUGAACUUCCGCAUACUAGACAAUAAAACAAUGCCCCUGCUCUCUUUACAGGGUCUGCCUGGAUGGUCCUUUCUCGCCCUUUCAUUGACUUCUGCAUAUGGGGAUGGGACAACUUGCCCCGGACUGUUCUUAUGUACUAUGCAAAUUUCAUCUCUUCUCCGGAAGGCUAUUUCCAUACUGUCGUCUGUAAUGCUCAGGAGUUCCGCAACACUACAGUAAACAGUGAUCUUCACUUUAUAUCAUGGGAUAACCCUCCAAAGCAACACCCACAUUACCUUACACUUGAUGACAUGCAAAGGAUGGUUGACAGUAAUGCUCCUUUUGCAAGAAAGUUCCCUAGGGAAGAUCCGGUGCUUGACAAAAUUGAUUCUGAACUCCUAUUUAGAGGUAAAGGCAUGCUUGUUCCAGGUGGGUGGUGCAUUGGAAGUCGGAAGAAUGGGACAGAUCCUUGCUCUGUCACAGGUAAUAUCGCCGUCCUCAGACCUACUGCAGGGGCAAAGAGGUUGGAGAAGUUGAUAGGAUCUCUCUUAUCGAAUGAGAAUUUCCGGUCCAACCAGUGCAUAUAGCAAACAUGCCUUAGAAAGUUGUUUUCUUAAUUAUAGUCUUCAGAGGAAAACAAGGAAUGCCAUGAUCUGAUUGUUUUCUUCUGCAAGAGACUGAUCUGAAUGUAUCCAAUCUGCAGUAAUGCUUGUAUUCUGCAGAGAAAAAUGGAAAAAAGAAAAAAUAUACAGUAAUGCUCCAGUAAUGCAAGGGCACGUGUAUCUGGUCUUUGUUGCUACAUGCCUUAGAAAGAGCAUGUAAUCCCCUCAUUCUGAAUUUUGUUACUUAAAUAGGAUGGAGCAUUUUGACGACGUGAGACCUUUGGGGAAGAGAAGUGUAUCAGGUUUGUUUCCGCUUCAAUUGUGAAACUACCGUGUAGUUAUAUCUUCUUUCUAUUAUAGGCUUGUAGAACAAGAUUAAUUGGAGUCUCAUCUAUAAGUUUUGCUCAUCAUUUAAUCUGGAAUUUCCCCCCUUCUAUUUUGAGUUUCAUUUGCUGUUUUAUCUUCAUUGCUGACAAAAGCUUUUCCUAUUCUUGUUAUUGCAUCAUAAAGAUAUUCUUUCACUUGCCUGCAUGUGAAACUGUUGUAGCUUCCCCAAUGUAUGGAAAUAGAGUAUGGAAAUUGAGUUCAGCGGCGGAGCCAGGGAUUUUAUUAAGGGGAAUCAAAAUAUAAAAAACAAGCUCACCAAGAAGUCAAAGGGUGUCAUUAUAUAGUAUAUAUACAUAUUUUAAAAAAAAUUACCGAGCUAAACAGUGUAAUUUUCCAACGAAGGAGUGUUGACACCAUUUGGCUGCAUGUGGCUCUGCCACUGGUUGAGUUAGGGCCCCAAUGUCUAUUUUUAACAUUAUGUUUAUGGCUUGUAUAUCGUGGAGAACCGUAAUGAAGGCAAUAUGUUUUUCCCAUAGCCGGAUUCCAUAUAGUUUGUUUUUUAAUAAUUGUAGUGAGGACAAUUUCUGGUUUCCCUAUAAUCAGUAUCCAGAUAGUUUUAUUUAUUUAUUUUAUUUUUUAAGGCAACCAUAUUAACCAACCGGUUGGUAAAAUAACCAAAUUAUUAAAUAGUUGGGUGGAGCUACAAUAACAAGAUUAUUGAAAUAUUGAAAUAACUACAGUAGGUGAGUUGUCUACCGACGAUAUGAAUAUUUAAUAUAAGCUAAUGGCUCGUUUGGUACGAGGGAUAAGGAAUAAUUAAUUCGGUGACAAAAUUAAAAUGAGUUUAUCCCAUGUUUGGUUGGUAGAAAAAUAUAGUAUAAUUAAUCUCGGGAUUAGUUAUCCCGGGAUUAUUUUUUUAUUCCUAUGGAAGGGUGAAAUAACUAAUUACGGAAUAAUUAAUUCUGUGAUAACUUCUUUCCAACCAAACGACCCCCAAAUGUCUGUGUCAGACCUCUCUUAUUAACCACUCCUAUUUUGUAAUGGGAAAAUCAACGUCUAAUGGGCAAAUUAACGACCAUACCUAAAGAAACGAAGCACUUGACUAAUAGUCUUGCAUGUAGCAAGUCUAGAAGCUUAAAAUAAAGAGAAAACUAUCCUCUAUAGCCCCUUAAAAUUUUAAUAGCUCAUAUUUUUUUAGGGGUGAACAUAAUACCGACCGAACCGAAAAAACCGAUCGAAUCGAAAAUUUCGGUUUAUUCGGUUUCGAUUUUUCGGUUUAUUCGGUCGGUUUGCGGUUUAUUAUUUUAAAAAUUUCGGUGUUCGGUUCGGUGGUCGGUUUUUAUGAUUCGGUUUUCGGUUAAAUCGAAGAACCGAUAAAGAAACCAAGUGUUAAAAUAGUCAAUGGAUUUGUACAUUAGCCUUGGAACAAAAUCACAUUAUAAUAUUGUUAUUUCCACUAUCACUAAUAUAGUUUAUUAGCUAAUAGUACAUGUUGGAUAUUCUUUGUAGCAAUAUGUGUACCGUGUAUAGGAAAUAGACAACAUCAAACAAUUUUUCGUAUGCAUUGCUGAACGUUCGAAUUUCAUCAUCCAAGAUGUACCAAAGCAAAAACAUAUUUGCUAUGUGUUCCAACACAAUUGAUGACCGCGAGAGCUUAUUGGAAUGGUUCUCUUAAUGAAAGAUUAAGAGAUAAUGAGUUGGUUCUGGAGCAAAUGAACACCCAAUGCUUCUCCUAUAGUGCUGCCACUGCCACUGCUGCUUUUGUUUUGUCUUAGCUCAGUGAAGGAUUAUCAUAAAGGGAAUUAUAUGAAUUUGAACCGAAAACCGAACCGAUUAAACCAAACCGAACAUGGAAAAACUGAACCGAACCGAACCGAACCGAACCGAAGUUAUUAUGGUUCAGUUUUGGUUAUUAAAACCACAAACCGAAAACCGAAUUAACCGAACCGAAAUUCUAUAAAAUCGAACCGAACCGACCGAUACCCACCCUUAAUUUUUUCCCACUGACACGUAAUGGCCCUUCGGCCCAAACAUAUUACAUCUAAUAGUCCGAAAUGUCUAUUUUGUAUAUUUUUUGUAUAGUGACAGUCUAUUUUGUAUAGUGACAGUCUAUUUUGUAUAUAUUUUGUAUAGUAACAGUCUAUUUUGUAUAGUGACAGUCUAUUUUGUAUAUAUUUUGUAUAGUGACAGUCUAGUGUAUAUAAAUUAUAUAUUGGCAAUCUAUUUAGUAUAUUUUUGUAUAGUGACAGUUUAUUUUGUAUAUAUUUUGUAUAGUAACAGUCUAUUGUAUGUAAAUUGUAUAGUGACAGUCUAUUUUAGUAUAUUUUUUGUAUAGUGAAUUAGUGACAGUCUAUUUAGUAUAUACAUUGCAUAAAAUUUAUAUAUAGAGUAUAUCGUGCAUCUUUCAAUGUAUCCAUAAUAUAUCAUUAAUGUAUCCCGGGCGCUUUUGUGUAUCCAAAGUGUAUAGACUGUUCUACGAUGUAUAAAUUUUGUAUAUAUAAAUUGUAUCGUGCAUUUUACUAUGUAGUGAUGUAGUAAAAUGUAUAUAUGAAAGAUUUUUUAGAAUUUAAUGUUGUGUUAAAAAUUACAAUGAUAAUAGUUAUUGACAAUUUAUAUCUAUUAUAUAGUAUUUAUUUGAAUGUACAUUUACAUUCUUUGUACGUAAAGGGGUAUUUGAUUUAAAGAGUGAACAUAUUAUUGUGUAUUAAAUAAAUAAAUAAACCCAUGAAACAAAAAUCAUAACUAUAAGUUGACGACUGCUUUCAUUUAGCCAAUUAAGAGCCAACAACAACAAAAAUUAAAAAUAAUUUACAUAAUCUUUUGAUAGUCAGAAAAAGUUAGGUACCUAAAAUGAUAUGAAAAUUUAUUGUUUUCAAAGAUAAAAUACCAUAAGCGGUAUAUUUGAUAACAAGAAAACUGAUUUUGCAUAUUAUUGGUGGAUGAUUGGAACGGCUCGAUGGCUACAAAAUCUAUCGCAUUUGAGCAAAUUUAGGCUAGCCAUUAUUUUACUUGGGGCUAUAAAUUGUAUGGAUCAAUUCAUGGCUAGCGGAUGAUAAUUAUUUCUACCGACCGACUACAAAUGAAAUUUGCUCUAAAAUAAAAUCAUUACCCAUGCCCACCCUAUGUACCAAUCCGUACCCUUUAUUUUCCUCCGCCGGCUAGCUUGAUUAUAAAUAUAUAUAAUAAAUACAGAAAUUGCUGUCAAUGAUUUAAGAAUCUUUAAAAAGAUCAAACCUUCCAAUGUAAAGACUUUUUCGAAGCUGAUUCUCAACUUUUCAUGCACACCAAAAUUCCUUUGCAGAAUAAUGAAAGAAGUAGAAGGUGGAUCGUGUUAGUAGUGUCAGAUAUAGCACUGAGUUAUGCAGAUUUGGCAAGACUCACAGCAUCCAGCUCGAAUCAUAUAUGUGCGCGACAAAGAAAAAUAUACUACAUUCGUUCCAGUUUAUUUGAACUUAUUUUCUUUUUGGUCCGUUCCAAAAAGAAUGAUCUCUUUCUAAAUUUGAAAAUAAUUUUGCUUAAACUUACAAUUCUACCCUUAAUGAAAAACUUUUAUAACCAUACAAAUACUUUGGGUCCCUUUUUGAAUUAUUUAGGACCACAAAUUCCAAAAGUCAUUCAUUUUUUUAAACUCCGUGCCCAAUCAAACAAGUUCACAUAAAUUGAAACGGAUAGAGUAGAUAAAGUUUGAUGUGUCUUUUAGAAUUUGCACUCUCAACUCAAAAUUCACAAUGUCUAAAAUUUGGAUUCGCAUGGCGCCUUUCCUGCUACUUAGUGGUAGCAAAAUGGAUAAAAACAAUAAUUCGUACAUAUUAUUCAUUAAAAAAUAGGUUGUUGGAUAAUGAACUUUUAAAAAAAAGGUCAAAUAUGAAUAAAAAUCAUAUUAUCAACUUAAAAAAUGGAUAACUAAUGGGUUUACCUUUUACAUUUGUAAAAACUCAAAUUGGAUGUUUCUCACGUUUGAAAAAUUAAGAAUUCUCUAGAAAAUAAUCAUAUUCAAAAAGUCAUGAUAAUAUGGAUAUCCAUAAUAUCCGUCGGUUAACCUAUUUUUUAUCUGUAUUAAAUAUGAUUCAAGUAAGAUAUAUUAUCUGAUUUUGGAUUAUCCAUUUUCGUUCCUCUCAUAUCCGACCCAAUCAGUCCGUUUGCCAACUGUAUAUGCGACAGGAUCUACUUUACAGUUCGUGGUCCCUUAUUUCAAAAGUGCUUGGUCACGGAACCAAAGUUGAGACUGUAUUCUAUAUCUGAUCCCCAUUUUAUCUAGAAGGGCAAUUGCGAAAACCAUUUUCCACACUGAAAGGUCUCUUCUUGUAGAGCUAGAAGAUAUCUUUAUCAUAGUCAAAGGAUUUCACUUUCAACAAAAGAUGACACCGUCACUUUCUGAGUAAGACCUUUUUGUUUGUGAUAAAGAGCUCUUCCAAUUUUAAAUUCUUCUAAAAAGUAAUUUCAACUGUAAACAGUACAUUAUGUGUGGUUAAACAAUUAGGAAAUUGUUAUUCAAAUCAAAUUACUAAAUGAGAAAUAAUAAUUAGAUGCAUUAGUCCUUAAAAAUCGAAAGAGUAGUAUUUUCCCAGGCCCCAGUUCUCAAUAGUGCUGAUCUGAAAAUGAUAAGAAGAUGAUAAAAAAGGACCUGCAAUAGAUUUUCAUAGAACCCAAGACCUAUAGUUGCUUGACAAAUUACAAGGAUCAAUAAAGACAGAUAUUGUGGAACCUAUACAGCAGGGAAGGCUACUAAUUUUGACGUAUAAAAUAAAGUAAGAAGUUGGGCUAAUUUGAAGGUUAUUUGGAUUUUUUUUUUGUCCGACAAAUAUUUAUCUUUCCUUUUUGAAAGUGGCUGAAGUGUCUAUUACUCAGAUUGCAAAGUAGAGAAAAGAGAUGUAGAAACAAAAACAUUGCCUCCUAUAUAUUAAAGCAAAAGGAAGAGUUGCAGUCUAAUGAAGGAGAAAUUAAGAACCCAAGUCCUUACCUUAGUGAAUCAGAAAAUGGAGAAAAUGACGCUCAUCUUUCAUACCCAUUACGAACUCGUAUAUUGAGUAGAUGGUUGAUGUAUUAUACUCAGACUUUUAUCUUUCAUAGCAUGUAUUCCCAUCUGUUCGAAUUAUAUAUGCAACAGAAAUUGUGGGCAUCGUGUCGAAAGAAAGAGGCACUUAGGUUCCAUUUUUGGCAUUUUACCAAUAGAAUGCUAAGUGCCAUCUCUCCAGCGACAAGACCCCCUCAAUCCCCCUUUUUUUUCCUGCUUCAGUGACUAAUGCAUUAUGAUGAGAAGUACACAAAACCCUCCAUUUCCAGCUAAUUUAUAUAGCCAAAUUUAAGUACAUUUCCAAAUUGCUUAGUCAAAUAGUCAACCCACGAGCUUGAAUGAGUAUGCAUGUGAGAUUCAAAUAGUCUUUGGUCUAUUGCACGCGCCAUGUGGAUACAGUUGAAUACUUCUUUCAAUUUCACAUUGGCUUGGACCAAAUGACUUUGACUUCCUGGUCAUCCUUCAAUUUCAUCUUAAUUUCUUCCUUUCUUUUCUUCUUCCCAAUGACUCGUCUGGGACAAGUCCAACAUAUAGUCAGAUAUAAUCAACUAAUGCAACAUAAUGUUUUCCAAAAAGAAGUAUCUUGGCAAAAUAAAAAGAAUUGGUACUUGGUUUAUUUUUUGCGUGUGAAACUGAUUAUGUCGAGCUGUUAGUCGUUUAUUCCAGCAAUAUAACAUCAUAAUUCGCUGCUAAUAAGCAAAUGGAGAUGGACAAAUCUUCAGUUUGACACCAUCGAUUGAAACUCCUUGAUAUGAAUAUCGCAAUCGAUAAUUUCUCUUACUACGUGUUGUCUUCCCCUGGUGUCAAUUCAAGGCCAUAUAUGUCAUAGUAAACCCAGAUGCAUGAAUACAUGGAAAAAUAAGAGAGUACAGUAGCAUUUUAGUUUUGGUUUAAAUAAAAACUCAUUAUACAAAUUGUUUACCCGUAAAACGGUACAGUUGAAUUUAUACGUGGUUUCUAGACAAAUGAAUUAAUUUGAUCUUGUAAUAAUAAAAUAAUUAAAGAAUUAUGCAAUACUUAGCCUUAGGAUGUGGACGAAACAACAAAAGCAACAGUUCUGGGAACAAGGUUUCCGGGCACAACAACAACGAAAUCAAAAAGCAAGAAGAUAAGAUUGUAUUGAGUUUUGUAUAGAAUGUAGCGUAAGUUCGCCAGAAAAUUCGUGUCCUUACAAUGAUAACUGAGUUCACUAUUUAUAGCUAUGUUUAGGGAAGGAGGUUCUAGGAUCGUGCCCUUCUUUAAUGUCAAUUAUGAGGGUCAUUGAUGAAGAUGCAACGGUGAAUAUAAAUGUCAAAUUCCCUAUAAUGAGUAAUUGCUCUUAAUGCCAUAGAAUAUUCUCUAUUAAAUGCUAACGGGCGAAGAGCAUUUAUCACAUAUUUAUGAGCGUUAUUCUUGCCGGUGACAAACAAAACAGUUGCCUUCGGUCUUUGGCCAUCCCCGCGUCUUGGGUUCCAUGUGUCUCUUUUUUGGACGGUCACAUAUCAUAGCAUAUUUUACCCCAUACAGAUAGUCCCUCUGCUUUUUGGUGACAUAACUUUGUGUUACAUGGAAGUUGGUAGAAAUACUUUUUUGGCGGGAAUUACUAUAAUUCCCUCUGAAGGCUUCUGACGGUUGAUUAGACGCACGUCUCUCCGCAUUUAAUGCCCCAAACACACGUCAUCCCACGAUUCACCACAACUUUUACCGAUUAUCGAGCUAAUCAUGACAAUGAAUUUAGUUGUCAGAAUUUUUACUUAUACGCAUCAACAUUUUUCCUUAUACUCCAUAAUUUUUCAAGCUUCCCUUAUCUGACUUGCAUUUUGCUCUUCAUCUUUUCUCUUAUUCUCUUCAAACAAAAAUCUUCUCCUUCUUCCAUACAAUGGCUUCUUCCUCAAAGCGUACCGGUUUUUCAAAGAACAAGAACAAGGCCGAGGACUCUACCCCUUCAAUAGUGGGGUCCAUCAUCCCUCGAAGUCUUAUUACCACAAAAGAUUUCGAAGAGAAAUUCCCUACUGCUAACUCUCGUAUAUGGGUCGUUAGUAGGUAUCCUUUUUCCAUCCGUCCUUCUAGCAUUCAUAUUGUGAAGGAAGAUUGCCGCUGCCAUGUCUUGGAUAUUAUUGCUCCUGAUCUAUCGGAGCGAGUGACCCUACCCAAGGAGGGUUUUACAUAUUUUUAAUGUAUCUCUUUACGUUGGGUGCGUUCUCUUUGAGUGGAGAGCUUGACUCCGUAAUUGUGGAGUUUUGCCUCUGCUAUCAAGUGUAUUUGGCACAAGUAAGUCCUUCUGUGUAGAGGACGGUUGCUUGCCUUCGGUGUUUGUACCAGGAGACUGGAGAAGAGCUAACCUUAGCUCAUAUGAUGAAUCUCUAUUCUCCCAUGAUCUUCCGCGGUGGAAUGAUAAACCUCUGCAAGCAUGGCCACCAUGCUCUAUUGUCUAGCAUGGAUGAUGAUAAUGAUUGUGGGUAGAUGGAACGGUUCGUUGCAGUUGCCACCAACGACUUCAUUCUGGCAACGGCUUCAUCCUUUCCGACCGCUUAGAAUCGCACUCGUAAGCUCUUUGUUUAAUAGUUCCUUUUACUAAAUAUUCUUCUCUAGCCAUAUUGAUCCUCCAUCUUUCACCUGUUUCAGAUACUCGAUGGAUCCCACCGGUGGUUGAAUGUUUGGACCGGUGGGUCCAAAAGAUCUUGGACGUUACGAUGCCCGAUUUUUCAAUUUUUUAUGUGAAGAACUUGAUUGAUCCCUUCUAAUUUGUCUAUGAAAUUAUGUCUACCCGUGGGCUCUGUUGUUGUUCCCGAGGAGGACGUCUUGGUUGAUCCUACUGAUGCAGCGAGGCUACUUCAGGAGGCGCUUACUCGAACAGGUGUCUCCGGGCCUGCUUCAGGCACAAAUGUUUAUUUACGGAGUCCCCGACCGGAGGACAAACAACCAAAGAGAAGACGCUCCUCCGCGGUCGGGGAAAAGAAUAAGAGGGCGAAGACCGAUGCCCCUAAGUCAUCUCUGGUAAUGAUGGUGACUGACCCUUUUUUCGGGCCGGUCAUAAACAUCAUGACGAUCGACGAUGAUGAAGAAACUAGUGAUGAGGGAGCUUCUCUACAUAGAAGACGACGAUCAUCAUCAUCUCAACAAGAUGAUCGACAUGUUGAGAUAAUUACACCAACAGAGGAUGAUGCCUCGGCACUUUGGGGAGAGUUUAAUUUGGUAGAUAAUGUCAACUUUCGUUUUCGGGCCCCAAUUGUUGUGCCUGGUACUGCAGGGCUGAGUACCGGGUCCCUGUCGUCUUUGGUUGGCGAGCAUCUAACAACCAGUACUGCAUUUGAUGCAGCUGCUUCUCAUUCUUCAACUCCAUCAUCUUUAUCUCCAUCUUCACCAACACCAACAACUGCUACUUCAUUUCCAUCUUCAUCCACUCUUCCCGCCAUCAACUGCUACAUCAUCUCCACCGGUCGCACCUGACCACGAAGAAGGUGUUCUUCUUCCCCAGUUCAUGGGAAUUUGGGGCAAAAUUAUACUGCCCUUUCUGAAGAUCCACAAAGGAGGAUGAAUAUUACUAUUUCGGUCUCUACUGGAUGCAACUUGAUAUCCUGGUCGGUGGAUCUUGCUAAUUAUGUGAAGCCUUUGGCUUCAGAGAAAGAUUGAGAAAAGAUUCAGGCACUCUCGGGAGAGUGUUUGUUGAACAACACCAUGCACAACGCUGCAACGGUAUGUUCCUUUCUUCCUUUAUUACUUCUUCUAUUUUUGGUAUGACCAUAUCCUGAAUUUUACCUUUCUUGCUUUGUAGGACAACUUUCUUGCUUUCGAGGGUCUUUACAGGUUGAUUCAUGAAAAGGAGGAAAUUACCUCCGCACGGGAUCAGCUUUUAGCAGAGCAUGAGCAAAAUGUCGCUCGCCUUUCGGAACUGGAAGCCAAAGCUGCCGAGGUUGUUGUAUUGGAGGCUCAUUUGCAGCAAAGCGAGCAAGAAGUGAUAAUCCAUAUCCAAAAAAUUGGCCCGCUGAGGGUUAGAUUUGACAAAGCCAGGGCCAAAUGGGCUGAAGUCUAUAACGUCGUUCUUGCUGUAACUGAACGUGAUGUUGUCUCUGUUGAAAGAGUAACCAACUUAGAGGCAACCUUGAACUCCAAAAUUGAAGAGCUUCCUGCUGCGGGGCCGAAACAUGCCCAACUGGAAGAGAAGUACAUGAAAACUAUCGAGCAUAAUAGGCUCUUUAGUUCAAUUGUCUGUGACCUUGAUGUUAACCUCAAAUCUGUUAGGUCUGCCCGGAAAAACCUUUCUGCCGAAGUAACCCAACUCAAAGAAGAACUUAAGCGUCGAGCAGCUUCCCUCGUUGUUGAGAAAACUUACGGUAUGUACAGCAUGAGGAGAAACCCUUUUUUGUUUUGGUAAGAGCAUGAGGAGAAAAACCUUGGAAGAGGUCAAAGUUGGUGUUAUUGAUUUUGAUGCGGAAAUUGCUAAGGCAUAUGAGCUUGAGUUAGCUGCUAAAAGUGGACUCCCAGCGAGGUCUGAUGUACCUUGUCCUUCUGGUUCCGGUUCCUAGUUCUCGGUAACUGAAAAAGAAUCGGAGGAUGAUGAUGCUAAAGGAUAAACUAGUGAAAAUAUUGAGCCAUCGGUGGAUCCAUCUACUUCUCCCGGGGGCGCGGACACUUCUCUUCCUCCUGGUUUCGGAGAUACUGCAGUUUAGCUUUUCUUUUCUUUUUCCAAUUCUUGUACAUGUGCCGUUUUGGCAUGUUUUUUGUAAAUAAAAACAUAUUUUACUCAAGUAUUGUUUGAGUCUUUAUUUCGUUUGAAUAUUCAUGCAAGUCUUUAAUCUUUGCAUUUUCUUCCUUUUGCUUAAGAAUUUUGCGCAUGCUUUUUUGUUUUGCAUCUUAUUAUGUGAAGCCUUGGUUAUAUUCUCGCCGAAAGUAUUUUUGGCUCAGGGCAUCAACCCUUUUUCAUGAGGAUUUUGAUAAGUAUUUGUGCAAGUUUACUUUUUGUGUCCUUUCGUAUACGGCUUCGGGUGUAUCUUUCCUCGAAGGUAUUUUGAUUUCGGGCAUAAAUUCUUCUGAAACCAACCCUUUAACGUGAGGGUUUUUAUAAGAAAGGGCCUUCUUAUGUUUACGGUGCUCUUGAACCAGCAUAUGAACCUUUCCCGGUGAUAGCUGAAACCCGUUAGGGGCCUUCCCACAAGAAAUUCACCACUUUGCGUUCUCCGAUCUUUUGAUAAGGACUUGCUUCCAUCCACUUAGAAAAAUAGUUAGUCAAAAUUAAAAGAAAUCUUACCUUUCCAGGAGCUGGUGGCAGUGGUCCGAUGAUGUUCAUCCCCCAAUUCAUGAAUGACCACGGGGACAGAAUCGAAUGUAAGGGUUCUGCCGGUUGAUGCACUAGUGGUGUGUUAGGUUGGCACUUAUCACAUUUUUGUACGAAAUCUUUGGCGUCUUGUUCCAUGCGGGCCAAUAAUAUCUUACCCUUACCAACUUCAGCACUAAGGAAUCUGCAUCCGAGUGGUUGUCGCAUAUCCCUUCGUGAACCUCUCUCACGACAAGUUAGCUUCGGAUGCCCCUAAGCAUCGGGCUAGUAGGCCUUGAAAAGAUUUUCUAUACAAUUGGCCUCUCUUGAAGCUAUAUCGCGCUGCUUUGGCGCGCAGGGAUACUUUGUGGUCUUCGGGUAGCUUCUCGUGCUCGAAAUAAUCGAUGAUUUCAUUUCUCCAAUUCCAUACCAAAUUAGUCGAAUUUACAUCAUAGUAACCAUCUGUAUCAGGCAUUGAGUUUAUCAGUUGUACUACCGUCCCGGACUCCGAUCCCUUUAUUUUCGCCGAUGAUCCUAGCUUUGUCAAUGUGUCUGCUUCUGUGUUAUCCUCCCUUAGGAUAUGAAUAAUUUAGUAUACUUUUUUGAGUCCGGACCUUUCAGCACUGGUGGCGCGCCCGAGAUCUGGUCCAUGCGGGCGUUUACAUCCCUUAUAAACCGUGAAAGUUCAUUCUUGAAAGGAUCAUUCUCGUUAUUGAGGCCGGAUCCACUCCCCCUGCCCCAUUGGAGCCAAUUUCACCCCUGAGAGUGUUGUUGUCGACCCUCUGCGUUGUUUGAUUUGUGGGAGCCCCGCGAAGAAUUAAAUCUCGUUUGUUUGCAUUAUUCGAGGCUCCCGACAACGCCUACUUUAACUCCGUCAUAACCUUAUCCUGUCGCGUGAGGUGGCCUAGAAUGAUUGCUUGUUGCACUUUCAAGACUCUUACAACGUCAACGACAUGUUCCUCAUCAGCAUCAUCGGGAGUUGUCUCCCGAACAUGUCGAGGAUAUUGCCUGUCAUGCACCGGUGUGGAGCCAUUUCCCCCAUUGUGGGUGUCACUAAUUGAGUCCUCGAAAUGAGAUUGAUCCUCUCGAAUCUCGGGGUUGUGCAUGUUGUUAACAGUGUUAUUUGCCAUUUCUUAUAAUUUUUUCUAAAACAAAAUAAUCAAAACACAUUAGUAAAAAGAAGCAAGGAUCAAUUUAACUGCACGACUGUCUAGACCCCACGGUGGGCGUCAAAUUGUUUACCCGUAAAACGGUACAAUUGAAUUUAUACUUGGUUUCUAGACAAGUGAGUUAAUUGAAACCUGAAAUAAUAAAAUAAUCAAAAAAUUAUGCAAUACUUAGCCUUAGGAUGUAGACAAAACAACAGAAGCAACAGUUUCGGGAACAGGGUUUCCGGGCACAACAACAACGAAAUCAAAAAGCAAGAAGAUAAGAUUGUAUUAAGUUUUGUAUAGAAUGUAGCGUAAGUUUGUUCGAAAAUUUGUGUCCUUACAAUGAUAACUGAGUUCACUAUUUAUAGCUAUGUCUAGGAAAGGAGGUCCUAGGAUCGUGUCCUUCUUUAAUGUCAACUAUGAGGAUCAUUGAUGAAGAUGCAACGGUGAACAUAAAUGCCAAAUUACUUAUAACGAGUAAUCGCUCUUAAUGCCAUGGAGUAUUCUCUAUUAAAUGCUACCGGACGAAGAGCAUUUAUCACAUCUUUAUGAGCGUUAUUUUUUCCGAUAACAAACGAAACAGUUGCCUUCUGUCUUUGGACAUCCCGGUCUUGGGUUCCAUGUGUCUCUUUUUUGGACGACCACAUGUCAUAGCAUAUUUUACCCUAUACACAAAUUGAAAAAACAUACACCCCGCAGAAGCUGAGCAAAAAGAAAAAAGAGAGCAGGACUAGUUGGUGUUAGACGUGAAAACAUCCUUCAAAAACACUUAUGAGACGACCACAAGUUUUGACUAAUAUUGUGGAGAAGUUUUUGUUUUUCUGGGAAUUCAAACUGGCUUUUUUCUUGGCGUUCUUCAAAACUUGGAUUAAGUUCUCUAAGCAAAUCUCAGACAUUGCUGAAGAAUUUUUGGGCAUCAAGUUUUCAGCAACAUCACAAGGACUCACAUCUACUUCCUCUAGUAAAUGUUCAAUUCUCAAGUAAUUCUUAGCCAACACUUUGAAUGCUUCAAAUCUGCAAUACGAAAUCUCAAUGUGCAUAUCCAUCCAUCCUCUACGUAUUAGAGCUGGAUCAAGUUUAUCCACAUGAUUAGUGUGUGAAAAUAAUGAUUCCAUCAAUGAAAUUCAACAGCUAGCCCUGAAAGUGUGAGUUUGCUUGAUUCCUUAUUUCGCUUUCUUUUUCUGCAGAGGAGUCCGAAUCUUCUUCCUCCUCAUCGUUUGUUGUUUCCUUAUUUUCUUCGUCUUCUUUCUCUUGAGUUAUUCCUAACUGAUGUGAGCUCAAGAUCAUAUGUGUCACCGUUCACGAAGUUAGCAAUAGCUGUGUGAAAUUACUCUGUAGUUAUAUCUUCUUUCUAUUAUAGGCGUGUAGAGAUUGGAGUCUCUUCUAUAAGUUUUGCUCAUCAUUUAAUCUGGAAUUUCCCCCCUUCUAUUUUGAGUUUCAUUUGCUGUUUUAUCUUCAUUGCUGACAAAAGCUUUUCCUAUUCUUGUUAUUGCAUCAUAAAGAUAUGCGAAACUGUUGUAGCUUCCCAAUAUAUGGAAAUAGAGUAUGUAUUAGAAUGUCUCACGUCAGUUGAGGGAAUGGACUGUUAUUUUCUUAUAGGGAACAAUAUUUACGUAUGAGCUAAUUUUCGGGGUUGAGUUACGGAUCCAAUGUCUAGUUUUAACAUUAUGUUUAUGGCUUGAAACAAUCUCUCUACCCUACAUGGUAGGGGUAAGGCCUGCGUACAUACUAUUAUCCCUAAAUCUCACAUGUGAGAUUAUAUUAGAUUGUUGUUGUAUAUCGUGGACGAAGUGAAGGCAAUAUGGUUUUCCAUAUCCGGAAUCCAUAUAUUAAUUUUUUUUAAAAAAUUAUAGUAAAGACAAUUCUGGUUUCCCUAUAACCAGAAUCCAGAUAGCUUUAUUUAUUUCUUUUAUUUCUCAAGGCAACCAUAUUAACCAACCCGUUGGUAAAAUAACCAAAUUAUUAAAUAGUUGGGUGGAGCUACAAUAACAAGAUUAGGAGUUAAAAUUUUGAAAUAACUAUAGUAGGUGAGUUGUCUACCGACGCUAUGAAUAUAUAAUAUAAGCUAAUUAGUGUCGACCAGAUCUCUCCUACUAACCACUCCUAUUUUAUAGUGGGAAAAUUUACGUUUUUAAUGGGCAAAUUAACGACCAAAGAUAAAGAAACGAAGCACUCAACUAAUAGUCUUGUAUGUAGUAAGUCUAGAAGCAUAAAAUGAAUUCAUUAGGCAUGCCCACCCUAUGUACCAAUCCGUACCUUUUAUUUUCCUCUACCGGCAUGAUUAAAUAUAUAAUAAAUACAAAAAUUGCUGCCAAUGAGCUAAGAAUCUUGAAAAAGAUCAAACCUUCCAAUGUAAAGAGUAAAGACUAUUUCAAAGCUGGUUCUCAACUUCUCAUACACACCACAAUUUCUUUGCAGAAUAUAUAAUGAAAGAAAUAGAAGAAGAUGGAUUGUGUUAGUACAAGUGCAAGAUAUAGCACUGAGUUGUGCAGAUUUGGCAAGACUCUCACAGCAUGACAUAAAGUCUGCUGUGUCUUUUAGAAUCUUCACUUUCAACUCAAAAUUCAUAUGGCGCCUUUGCUGCUACUAUAAAUACGACAUGAUCUACUUUACACUUCGUGGUCCCUUUUUUCAUAUAUAAGUGCUUGGUCACGGAUUUUAACUAGAACUAGAAGGGCAAUUGCUAAAACCAUUUUCCACAAUGAAAGGACUCAUCUUGAAAAACUUUAAGAUAUCUUUAUUAUAGUCAAAGGAUUUCACUUUCAACAAAAGAUGCCACCGUCACUGUCUAGGGAGAAACAGUUUUGUAUUUUUGUUUUUAUUUUUUGAGAAAGAGGCUUUUUAAGUACGAAUUUUAAAUUCUUCUAAAAAGUAGUUUCAGCUAUAAAAGAUUUUAUUGUAACAUUAUGCGUGGUUAAACAAUUAAGAAAUUGUUAUUCAAAUUACAAAAAGAUAAAUAAUAAUUAGAUGCAUUAAUUAAGCCUUAUAAACCGAGAAAGAGUAGAAUUUUUCCAGCAUUAUAUUUCUCGAUAGUACUGAAAAUGAUAAGAGGCUAGGAUGAUUAAAAAGGAUCUGCAAUAGACUUGAGUAGAUAGUUGAUGCAUCAUACUUAGACUUUUAUCUUUCAUAUAGCAACAGAAAUUGUGGGCAUCGUGUCGAAAGACAGAGGCACUUGGGUUCCAAUUUUUGGCAUUUUACCAAUUGAAUGCUAAGUGCCAUCUCUCCAGCGACAAGACCCCCUCAAUCCCCCUUUUUAUUUCCUGCUUCAGUGACUAAUGAAUUAUGAUGAGAAGUACACAAAACCCUCCAUUUCCAGCUAAUUUAUAUAGCCAAAUUUGAGUACAUUUCUAAAUUGCUUAGUCAAAUUGUCAACCCACGAGCUUGAAUGAGUUGUGAGUAUGCAUGUGAGAGUCAAAUAGACCUUAGUCUUUGGUCUAUCGCAUGUGUCAUGUGGCCACAUUUGAAUAGUUCUUUUAAUUUCACAUUGUCUUAGACCAAAAGACUUUGACUUCCUGGUCAUCCUUCAAUUUCAUCUUAAUUUCUUCCUCUCUUUUCUUCUUCCAUAUGACUCGUAUGGGGAAAGUCCAUAAUAUUGUUAGAAAUUAUUAACCAAAACAUUAUAUUUUCCAAAUUAAAGUUGUCUUCAGUUACCUAUUUAUAAGACUAGUCUAAUAUUAAAGCAGGAUGCAGGAUGCAUGGAAAAAAGAGAGUGUACAACAUUUUAGUUCUGGUUAAUAGGAGUAUAAACACUCACAGUUAGGGGUACAAAAUGAACCGAAAAACAACAACAAACCAAAAAGUCAAACCAUAUCGAUUAAAAAUUCCGACUAGGUUUGGUUUGAUUCGGUUUGAUAUUGAGAAAAAAACUCGAACAAACCGACAUAUAAAUGUAUAAUUUUUAUAUAUACUUUUAAGAUUUUAAAAGAAUUUUAUUUAAAAAUUAUCUAGAAAUAUUUGAGAUUCUCUUGCACGAUAUAAUAUUUAAUAGAAUAUAUAUGAAGUGCUUCAUAUUUAUUAACUUUAAAUAAUGUGUUGUAUGAUCGCUUUCUUAUUAAGUAUUGCUGAAAUACGUCAAUCUCUUUGUUCUUCCAUAUUCAUAAGUCAAAAUCUAUUAAAUUCGUUUUUCGAAUUUGAAGUGAUUAUUAUUAUUUAGGUAUCAUAUUGAUUUUUAUGUUUAAUUGCUAAAUUCGGUUAACCUUGAAGUGUACAUCAACGAAAAAUUAUCAGACAACUAAAAAAAUAACUAUUAUGUGUUACUAAGAAAAUUCUCCUAUAAGAAUAUUUUAAUAGAUAAUAUGUUUGUCAAUUUUUAAUUUUUUACUAAACAUAUAUUUACUUAUAAAAAAAUUAAUAAAAUAAAAUUAAAAUAAUAUUUAAGUAACAAAAAAUCCAAAAAACCCGACAAAACCGAACAAAUCCAAACCGAUAUAGUUGGUUUGGUUUUAUUUUGAUAAAAACUAAAUGAACUCGAUCCAUGUACACUCCUACUCUACACAGUGGUAUACAUGGAAAAACCAUAUACCCCGCAGCCGCAGAGAAAAAAAGAAAAAAAGAGAGUAGGACUAGUUAAAGUUAUUAAACGUGAAUGCAUCAUUCAAAAAACCUUCUGAGACGGGCACAAGUUUUGACUAAUAUUGUGGAGAAGUUUUUGUUUUUCUGGGAAUUCAAACUGGCUUUUUUCUUGGCGUUCUUCAAAACUUGGAUUAAGUUCUCUAAGCAAAUCUCAGGCAUUGCUGAAGAUUUUUUGGGCAUCAAGUUCUCAGCAACAUCACAAGGACUCACAUCUACUUCCUCUAGUAAAUGUUCAAUUCUCAAGUAAUUCUUAGCCAACACUUUGAAUGCUUCAAAUCUGCAAUACGACAUCUCAAUGUACAUAUCCAUCCAUGAUCCAUCCUCUACGUAUUAGAGCUGGAUCAAGUUUAUCCACAUGAUUAGUGUGUGAAAAUAAUGAUUCCAUCAAUGAAAUUCAACAGCUAGCCCUGAAAGUGUGAGUUUGCUUGAUUCCUUAUUUUCGCUUUCUUUUUCUGCAGAGGAGUCCGAAUCUUCUUCCUCCUCAUCAUUUGUUGUUUCCUUAUUUUCUUCGUCUUCUUUCUCUUGAGUUAUUACUAAAUGAUGUGAGCUCAAGAUCAUAUAUGUCACAGUUCAAGAAGUUAGCAAUAGCUGCAAUCAUAGUUGAUUUUCCAGUUCCUGGUGGACUAUAAAGAAGAUAGCCGCGCUUCCAAGCCUUUCCAACCUUGGAAUAAUAGUCCUUUCCCUUGCUAAAAGCAAUGAGCUGAGGUCGUCGAUUAUCUCCUCCUCCUUCUCAGGGUCCAUAGCCAGAGUAUCAAAUGUUGCAGGAUGCUCGAAAUUGAUGUGUCUCCACAUACCAUAGUAAUUACGAAUACCAAUUAUCCCCAUUGUCGUUGGAGUAGAUCUUCUGUUUCUUGUUCUUGAACUGAAUGGCCUUGCUUUCUUCCAUCACAUGUUUCAGGCAUUGUCCAUUGACCCUAUCUUGAUGGUUUUUUAUUGAAAGUUAGCGUGUAACAUUUCCUUUCAAAGUACCCAAAUAAGCUUUGAUAAGGGUGUAGACUUCAUUUCUUUCAUCAUUGGAGCAUUCGUCAAUGGUAAUUUGGACAUAAGGGUAGAAGAAAUUGGCCAAUCUGCUCCACAUAUAUUUGAUGCGUUUGCAAAGUGAAUUGGGGAAGAGUUGCUGAAUUGUGCCCAAAAUGAACAUUAGUCCAGCAAGCUUGGAGCAUAAUUCAGUUAUUGUAUCCACCAUGUUGUUCUUUUUCAAGGUAAUUUCCACACGAGAUUAUUAUGAAUAAGGUACAUAUACUCGGUACUUAAACUUGUCCAUCACUUAGCUACCUCAUUUGUACCUAUUAGAUAGGUCAACUUCACUCAAAAUAUGUCUAUCAAAACACACAAAAGUGACAUGGCAAAAAAGGUGCAUUCCACUUCUCUUAUACGCGUGUCAAGCUCAAAUUUCCAAUUUGUUUUUUUGAAUUUUUAAAACUAUUUUUAUAGAACCACCAAACACUAUCCCAUCGCCACUGGUCCGCCAUCGCCGUCCACCAAAAAUCCUGGCAUCGUUAUUGUUUAAUCUUCUUCCAUCUUCCAUUUUCCAUUUGAUACUGGCCCAAGUUGAGAUUUUCAGUAAUUACGAACUAAUUUUUAGGAAGAACAAGAUAAAAAAUAAACAAAAACAGACCGAAUUAGUGACUAACAACUUGAGCCUACCCAAAUCAAGAAACACUCAAGUUUUUCGAAAAAUUGUCUUAAUGGGAUAUAACACGAUUUUCUUAUUAUGAUAAGAAUCCACUAAUAAAAAUGACAUAUACCAAGAAAGUAAACCCGAUAUCUUGCCAAAAAAUUACUUUCGAUCGGAUCCGAUCACUUCUCUGUCACUCCUGGUAAAGGAAACUACAAAAAGAUGGACGUAAGAUCUAGGAGAUAUGGCUGGGCCAUGGUUGAAGUCGCUAGAGGAGAUGAAUUCGUGAGAAGAUGGAGGUUGAAACAGUGGUGACCGGAUUCCGGCCAGUAGUCGCCGACGGCGGAUCUGAGAAAAGAGAAGAGAACAAGUAACCAAAAUGUAAUCUUUUCCUAAAACUACACCCCAGCCAUAUCUGCUACUUCUACAGUAGGUUAGUUCUGAAAUUUUAUAAUAUGAGUAAAGGUGAAGGGGAAGAAGAUACCCGUGAAGAAGAAAGGUUGGGGNNNNNNNNNNNNNNNNNNNNNNNNNNNNNNNNNNNNNNNNNNNNNNNNNNNNNNNNNNNNNNNNNNNNNNNNNNNNNNNNNNNNNNNNNNNNNNNNNNNNNNNNNNNNNNNNNNNNNNNNNNNNNNNNNNNNNNNNNNNNNNNNNNNNNNNNNNNNNNNNNNNNNNNNNNNNNNNNNNNNNNNNNNNNNNNNNNNNNNNNNNNNNNNNNNNNNNNNNNNAGGGGGUGGGGGGGUUGUAAAGGUAAGAUGGCAGGGGAGGGGCUUUAUCUAUUAAAACAACUUUGUUUUAAAGGAUUUUUCAUUAACUUAAGUCAAAAGCACACCAUAUUUGUUUUACUUAAGGGUGGCAAGUAGGCCUUAGUUUUACUGAUUAAUUUUUUGUGUUGGAUAGAUACAUAUGGAAUGAAGUUAGAAGUAUUUAAUAGGUGCAAGCCUCACCGAGUGAUUUAAUUUGAGGUUGGUGUUGGUGAUUAAUGCAAAUAUAUAGUAUAUAUAAAACGGAGAUAUGUACGUAAUUGUUUAAUUAACAUCUGUUCGUGUGGCUUUAGUACAAGAAAGUUGGCCGGUUGUACGCGUUCCACUUUAGAGGACCUUCACUACAUUGUGGAGUGAUAAGAAGAUGAGAAGAAGGAUCCGCGCGAUCUUUACUAUUAAAAAAGAAAUGUUUUUUAAGAAUGUGAAAUAAAGAAAAAUAAUCUGCCCUAAAAUUAUGUGAAAUGUUUUAAGAAUAUGUUAAAGUACAUAAUUGUAAUUAUCAAGACAUUAGGGACUGGGAAUGUUUGGUUUCGAAAUUUUCCAGGCCUCCGGUUGGGUGGCUUUUUCCCCAAAAGCUUUGUGAAAUAAAAAGGGCAAAAGUGAAAAGAUAGACCAACUCGAACUAUUAACUACCCCAUCCGUUUUAAUUUAGAUGAGAUAGUUUGACUCGACACAGAGUUUAAGAGAAAAAGAAAUUUUUGAAACUUGUUGUCUUAAAAGUUUAAAAGUUUAAGGGGUAAAAAUUUUAUGGGGUCAUGACAUUUGUGUGGUUAUAAAAGUUUCUAAUUAAAUGUAAAAUGAUAAAAUGAAGAGUUUAAAAUUAAAUUAUUUCUAAAUUUAAAAAUAUUUUAUUUAUUUUAAAAUACACUAAAAAGAAAGUAUCUCAUUUAAUUUAAAAGAGAGAAAGUAUUUCUAUUUGAAACUCGUGUGUAGCUGCUACAUGCUUCACUUUUUCAUUCUAUGGAAUUUCUUUUGAACGUGGGGCUCUGAGUUUGCGUGGUAAGAAAAGUAGCAUGAUUUGCACGUAACAAUUUCCAGGCACCAAUCAUUUAGUGCGAGAUGGAGUAAUAUUCCGCGACCGAUCGAGUGCCUUGGUCACGAAAUAUUUCUGGAACACAUUAAAAAAUUACUGCCACGUAAUCUGGAAAGGAGGGUUCAUUUUUCGACAAAGGUCCAAAUAUAUCUGCUCUCGAAAAUUAUCUAAGAAUAUUCCUCGUUAUACUAUUGAAUUAUUUAUACAUCUGCAGUCAUAUUUUGGGUUUAAAUAUACCCUCAUUUAAAUAGGGGGACACGUGCCAUCGUCUUGUUGGUCAAUUCUAAAUAUCUCAUAAUUAAUUAAAAAGACCCAUUAUCCAUACCCAAAAAAUAUUUUUUUUUUGUAAAAACUGAAAAAACUAAAAAAAUAUUUUUACUAAAAACUGAAAAAAANNNNNNNNNNNNNNNNNNNNNNNNNNNNNNNNNNNNNNNNNNNNNNNNNNNNNNNNNNNNNNNNNNNNNNNNNNNNNNNNNNNNNNNNNNNNNNNNNNNNNNNNNNNNNNNNNNNNNNNNNNNNNNNNNNNNNNNNNNNNNNNNNNNNNNNNNNNNNNNNNNNNNNNNNNNNNNNNNNNNNNNNNNNNNNNNNNNNNNNNNNNNNNNNNNNNNNNNNNNNNNNNNNNNNNNNNNNNNNNNNNNNNNNNNNNNNNNNNNNNNNNNNNNNNNNNNNNNNNNNNNNNNNNNNNNNNNNNNNNNNNNNNNNNNNNNNNNNNNNNNNNNNNNNNNNNNNNNNNNNNNNNNNNNNNNNNNNNNNNNNNNNNNNNNNNNNNNNNNNNNNNNNNNNNNNNNNNNNNNNNNNNNNNNNNNNNNNNNNNNNNNNNNNNNNNNNNNNNNNNNNNNNNNNNNNNNNNNNNNNNNNNNNNNNNNNNNNNNNNNNNNNNNNNNNNNNNNNNNNNNNNNNNNNNNNNNNNNNNNNNNNNNNNNNNNNNNNNNNNNNNNNNNNNNNNNNNNNNNNNNNNNNNNNNNNNNNNNNNNNNNNNNNNNNNNNNNNNNNNNNNNNNNNNNNNNNNNNNNNNNNNNNNNNNNNNNNNNNNNNNNNNNNNNNNNNNNNNNNNNNNNNNNNNNNNNNNNNNNNNNNNNNNNNNNNNNNNNNNNNNNNNNNNNNNNNNNNNNNNNNNNNNNNNNNNNNNNNNNNNNNNNNNNNNNNNNNNNNNNNNNNNNNNNNNNNNNNNNNNNNNNNNNNNNNNNNNNNNNNNNNNNNNNNNNNNNNNNNNNNNNNNNNNNNNNNNNNNNNNNNNNNNNNNNNNNNNNNNNNNNNNNNNNNNNNNNNNNNNNNNNNNNNNNNNNNNNNNNNNNNNNNNNNNNNNNNNNNNNNNNNNNNNNNNNNNNNNNNNNNNNNNNNNNNNNNNNNNNNNNNNNNNNNNNNNNNNNNNNNNNNNNNNNNNNNNNNNNNNNNNNNNNNNNNNNNNNNNNNNNNNNNNNNNNNNNNNNNNNNNNNNNNNNNNNNNNNNNNNNNNNCAUUUUUUUUUCAGUUUUUAGUAAAAAUAAUUUCAGUUUUUUCUUGUUUUUACAAAAAAAAUUGCUUUAAAAAAUUAAUUUUCGGGUAUGAUUAAUGAGUCUUUUUAAUUAAUUAGAAGAUAUUUAGAAUUGAUUAACAGGAUGAUGACACGUGUCACUCCGUUUAAAUAAGGGGUAUAUUUGAACCCAAAGUAUGACUGCCGGGUAUAGAUAAUCCAAUAGUAUAACGAUGGGUAUUCUUAGACCAUUUUCGAAAAUAGAUGGGUAUAUUUAGCCCUUUGUCGUUCAUUUUUUCAUUCUAUGGAAUUUCUUUUGUAUGUAGGGCUUUGGAUUUUACGCAUUAUACAGUUGGCGAUGAUCUGCAUUCUGCACGUUCCAAUAUUCAUUAAUCGUUUAGUGCGAGAUAAUGUAUAUACUAUAUUCUACGACGUAUGUGUCUUGGCCACAAAGUAUGUGGUGGAAACAUCUUAGGCUAGCUUUACCACCUUUCUUCAGUCUUAAAUUAAACUCAAUCAUACACAUAAAAGUUGUGGCGGAAUAGACAAAAUUCAUUACCCUCAAUAAAAAGUCAUGAGUGUGAGUCUUGAAAAUUAAAAGACUUCCGAUAGAAAAAUGCUAAGGUAGGGGCUCCCAUGAAUACACCAGACAUCAAGUGGGAAAAUUAAAAAAAAAAAAGUCAUUCUAAUAUUAAAUCCAAACAUGUAACGAUUUCCAAAACUUCUUACCCUAUAUCUUAAACUUAAUCUUUUUUUUAUACUAAAUCCAACAUGCAUGUAAUGUUUGGUUGAUCUCUUCUUUUAGUUUAAAAUAAUUAAUAUCUUGUUUUAGUAUUACAAGUGAAUUGACUAUAAAAUUCAAGUAUAGGUAUAGAUGGUAAUUUUCUAAAUGUAUAACUACAAAUGAUAAAUAUUGUGUAUAUAUUUGCUGUGUUGUGUUGCAUAAUUUAUCACAAAAUAUUUUGAACACUUUGCAAAAUUAACAUAUAUACCUUGGUUUCUCAACAUAUCAUUAUACUGUUUUUUUCUUUUAAUUUUCAUUUUAGGACUACUGAAUUUUAACUUUUACUUAGGGGUCGUUCGGCUGAAGUUAAUAGAAAAAUUGAUUCCUUAACUAAAAUUUUGCAUAAGUUAAUACAGUAUGUGACUGGCUAAAUUGGUAAAAAUAAUCGCUGGAAUUGGACCAUAAUGUACCACUUGAAUUUACAAUAAAAAAGGUAAUAAAGCUUGGCUAUGAAGAUUCCACUCUAAUGCUUGGCUCACUGUAUGCCACUCGGUAGAUGAAUACAAGAAGUAUGUUAGUCCCACACGAGUCUUGCGAAAGUGCCGAACUUUAGUACUAAUUUAAUAGCUGUAUUUUUCACUUUAAUAUUACAUUAAUAGCUGGAGUUUGACACUUGGACUAUUUUUGACUCUAUUAUAGGAGUAGUCUUUUUCUUAAGAGUUGUUGGAGAAAAGCGACCCCCAACGAAAGUCUGGGGAAACAUCCAACAAAUGUUAUACAUUAUCUUUUUGUUUUUUUGUUACUCUCUCGUCCCCAAUUUAUUUUUUUAUUUUAAUUUAAAAUAAGUAUCUAUUUAUAUAAUUAAGAAAAAGUUAAUUUAUUUUUUUAAAAUUAUUCUUAUGUACGUAUUCCUAAAAAGUCUUUUACUCCUCACAUUAAAUUAUACUGUAACAUUUAAUUAAGAAUAAUAUAGUCACACUAACUAUUUUUAUCUAAAAUUUAGUAUUUCCUUAAUGGGUGUGUCCAAAGCAAAUUGAUCACUUAUUGUGAACAAGAGGAACUGACAUAUACUAACCCCAAUCCCCACACUCACCCAAACCCGAGCGCAUUUUCUUAUAUAUCAAACUAAAUUAGUCAUAUGAAAACAGAGUAAAUAACAUACUACAAUUGGUUCAAUUUAUAAUGAUAGUGAAAAGUCUUAAACACUGUAAGCAUAUAUAUAAAACUUAAAUUUGACAAAUUAGCAUUUUAUUGAUAGAGCAACUUCUUUAUUUUGGAGUUGCCCAGUUGGAUUGGAGGGUGGUCAUCCAUAUGAUGGUCUGGGAUCGAAUCCCUCCUCAAUACUUUAUGGGUUGAGCAUGUCGCACAAGUGCGGUUUACAUCUCCUGUGUGGUUUGCAUGCUAUUACACAGAGGGAGAUUUACCUCGUGCGCACAAAGUGCUCACCCAAAAGGCAAAGACUGUGACAGAGGUUGUAGCGACUGCGAAUUUCUCUUCUUACCAAAAAAAAAAAUUCCUUAUUUCUUAAACUCUUAAACAUUGUGACCAGUCGAACAUAUCGAAAAAUUGGGAUAAUCGAGAAGUGGCAUUUGUUUUAAACUUUACAAAAAAUAUUUUGUAAGUGUUUUGUUAAAACUGUUUUGUAACAAAUAUUUACUUACUAUAUUUUGAAAGAGCUGGAUGAUGCAGUUUUUAUCGUCAUUUAUUACUUCACUUCCGUACUGAAAGUCAAGUUUCUACGGCCGCGUUUAACCGGUCAAUUUCCUUGCGCUACAGGGAGCAGACACUUCUUCUGAGCUAACUUUACCAAUUUUAAAGUAGUAUAUAUAGUUGCACUAAACACCCCUCCAAUUCACUAAAAACACGCUCAGCUUCCAUUUUCACUUUCAUCCUCAUUCAUAAUCUUACUGCAAAAAUACCUCAGAAUAUAACACCAUGGGAGCAAUAUCAUUGACUGAGUUAGGCUCUAAGCUUGCUGGAUUGAUGUUCAUUUGGGGCACAAUUCAGCAAUUCUUCCCCUAUACACUCCGCAAACGCAUCAAAUCCUUUUGGCAGAAAUUGGAAAAUUACUUCUACCCUUAUGUUCAAAUUACUAUUGAUGAAUUCACCAAUGGUAAAAGCAACGAUAUAUACACCCAGGUCAGCUCUUAUUUGGGUACUAAGUCAAUCAACAAAGAUGCUAAAUAUCUCAAAGCUGAAAAGUCCAAGAACAGUAAGUCUUUUGCUGUUAGCUUAGAUGAAGGAGAAGAGAUUAUUGAUCAAUUCCUAGGAGCUAAACUCUCUUGGCGCUCUCAUAUUGAAACAUUCAAUGAAAAUUCUUCAGGACGCAAUAAUUCACGUCCAAUUGAAAAGAAAAGUUACACUAUAACUUUCAAUCAACGAUAUAAAGAAAUGGUCAUUGGAAAAUACUUGAAGCAUGUGAUGGAAGAAGGCAAGGUUAUAGAGUUCAAAAACAGGAAACAAAAGAUCUACACCAACAAUUGUAGUGAAGAUUGGUAUUGGUAUGGUAAAGGUAUGUGGAGGGACAUUAACUUUGAGCAUCCUGCAACUUUUGAUACUUUGGCUAUGGACCCUAAGAAGAAGGAGGAAAUAAUUAUCGAUCUCAUUGCUUUUAGCAAAGGGAAGGACUAUUAUUCCAAAGUUGGUAAGGCUUGGAAGCGUGGCUAUCUUCUUUAUGGUCCGCCAGGGACAGGAAAAUCAACUAUGAUUGCAGCUAUUGCGAACUUCUUGAAUUAUGAUAUUUAUGAUCUUGAGCUCACUUCUGUUAAGGACAACUCAGGGCUUAAGAAGUUGCUUAUGGAAACAACAAGCAAGUCUAUUAUUGUAAUUGAAGAUAUUGAUUGCUCUAUUGAUCUCACAGGCAAGAGAAAGAAGAAGAAAAAGAAGAGCGAGGAAACAGUAAACGAAGAUCAGGAAGAUGACUCAGACUCGUCUAAAGAAAAAGCAAGUGAAAAUAAGGAAACUGGCAAACUUACACUUUCAGGACUGUUGAAUUUCAUUGAUGGAAUAUGGUCAGCUUGUGGUCAAGAGAGGAUAAUCAUAUUUACAACCAAUCAUAAGGAUAAACUUGAUCCAGCUCUUAUACGUCGAGGACGGAUGGAUAUGCACAUUGAGAUGUCGUAUUGCAAAUAUGAAGCAUUUAAAGUGUUGGCUAAGAAUUACUUGGAAGUUGAAACACACCCUCUGUUCCAACAGAUUCAAGGUUUACUAGAGGAAGUAAAUAUGAGUCCUUGUGAUGUGGCUGAGAAUUUAAUGCUCAAAAAUGCUUCAGAAGGACCUGAGAUUUGCUUGAAUAACUUAAUUCAGGCUCUUAAAGAGGCCAAGAAAAAGGCCAACAAAGAUAAAGAAGCCAAGGAAAAAACCAGCUUGAAUUCCAAGAAAAUCAAAAAGUUCUCUACAAAAUUUGUUGGCCGUCUAAAAGAGUUGUUGAAAUGAUUUUUCCAUAUGUUUUCAACUUCACCUACCCGAUCUUUCCUUCUCUUUUUGGCGGCCAGGGGAUUGGGGCUUCUCCAUGUAUAGUCUUAUUACUCUUAUAUUAUUGUAACCUAAGAUCAAAUGAAGAUAUCCGGGCUAGAGUGGGUGUGUAUCCGGUGAAGGACAAGAUACGGGAAGUUUAGCUUAGAUGGUUUGAUCAUCUGAAGAGGAGAAACACAUAUGCCUGAGUGAGGAGGGGUUGGCGCUAGAGGGGCUGAGAAGAGGUAGAGACAGACUAAAGAAGUAUUGGUCUGAGGUGACCAGACAGGAUAUGACGUAUCUUCAGCUUACCAGCUUACCGAGUACAUGAUCCUUGAUAGGAAUGUGCGGAUGUCGAGAAUCAAGGUAGACAUCUAGUAGGUAAUCGAGAGUAUUAGCGUUAGUCCUUUUUUACCUGUUGUUCUUUCCGUUUCAAUUUCUUACUAUCUUGUUGUUGUUAAUGCUUGGUGCUAUAGUUUAUUUUAUUUUAUUUUAUUUUUUUAAUUGCUUUUCGUGAGCCGAGCGUCUAUCAGAAAUAUUCUCUCUACCUUUUAGGGGGUAAGGUUUGCGUACACACUACUUUUCCCAUAUCCCAAUUGUGGGAUUACACUAGGUUUGCUAUUAAUGUUGUUUGUACUCUUAUAUUAUUGUAACUAGAAGGAAGCUACUAUUUGAUUUUGUUCUCUCGAUCAAAUUCUCCGCCUUUUUUAGUGAAAUAAUACUUGCAACUCAACCUUAAUUGAUAAA